rnacentral:lncRNA from 1 species
AUUUUAAUACUAAAAUGUGUAUUACUAAUAUUAAAAUAAAUAUUACUUAAAAAUUCUAUACCUUUUUUUACUCCAUCGGCCGCCUGUGUCCAUAUUGAAUUCAUAUCCUCGGACGACAGAUGGAAAUCAAGUUGAUUUAGUUGUCAUUCCUCCAAUCUUUUUUGUUGCCAUUUUCCAUGGCAGUAUUAUGAAAUUUUCUUAUUGGAACGAGUUGUUCACCUCGGUAGUAAAAUGAGAUACACUUAUGGAUUGGGUCAUACCACCUUGACAAUAUCAUGUAGUACUAUUCUUAUAGGAUCAGAUUGUUCACCUCAGAAAAUCGUGCAUAUAAUUCAUUAGGGAGUCACUGCAUAUGUGAAUUUCCUAGCUUAAGCUUUGAUAUUGGCACUUGAUAUUGGUCACAUAUAUCCAUUUGAGGCAGCAAUUGGUAUUUGAUGAUUUCGUAUUUAUUCUUCUGUUGAGAAACAUGUUAUUCAUAUUUAUUCAUUUCGUUGCUACAUGUUAUGCUUCAUAUUUGUUGUGAAGACCUUGGGUCAUCACUUGUUUUGAAAGUAAAUUCAACAUUUCGAAGCCUUAAAACCGUCCUUUUAUCUCACCUCGAUUUACAUGCAUAUUUCGGGCGCAUUUCCGAAAAGCUUUUAUGUGAAAACUAAGUGAAAUAAUGAAAUUGGAUUUUAAUAUUGAAAAAAGAUGAUUUGGGUCAACAUUCUUGAUAAACGGACCCGGACCCGUAAUCCGACGGUCUUGUAGGGUCCGUAGUAUAAUUUGGGACUUAGGCAUAUGUCCGGAAUCAAAUUCCGAAGUUCCAAGCCCGAGAAGUGAAUAUUAAAGAAAAUUAUUUUCAUGAAAAUAUAAAGGUUUUUAGAAGUGAAUUGAUUCGUAUCUUGGUUCCAGAGCCCAAUACAAGUUUAAAAUAAUAAUUAAGAUGAAACUGUAAAAUUUGGUGGAGAUCGGAGGUGGUUUGAUAUAAAACGGACCUAUAGUUGAGAAAAUAGUAACUUUUGAUCUUCUUGAAUGAUUUCGUGAAUAUGAGGUUUAAUUCAUGGUUGUUAAUAUUAUUUUGAUGAUUUGAUCACACGAACAAGUUUGUAUGAAGAGAUGAAGCAAGUAGACAGAUAAUAUUCACAUAUAAACAUUUGGACAACUUAGAAAUUUGAAAAGGGAAAGGCAUAAGUUAAAUGAAAUAGAAGAGAGAAUGGAUUUGAAAAGAAAGCAUUACAUUAGAAAAACGUGUAAAUAAAGCAAGCAAAGGAAAGGGGGUCCUGAGUUUGACUAUAAUAUGGAUCACAUCGGUGCAAUACCCCGCACGCACUCCUCAAAGAGGGGUCGCAUAUGGUAUUAGCGCACUGGUCAUCAUCUCCAUAUUCUACCCUUCACGCCCCGUUAAGGUAAUUAAACGUGUUGGUAUCGUUUAUUUAUUGCAUACUAAUACCCGUUCCAACCUGUUAGUUCUGGGGUAUUAGGACUUCUAAUCCUAAGAGGGGGGAGAAAGAGAUAGGAUAAAUAUGGAGUUUUCAAAGGUAAAAAUACUAGAACAACAAGCAAAACAAAUAGCACAUAAGGUAUGCAAAUAAGACAUUCAAUGGCUCAGAUAAAACCCCGUAACAUAACAGCAACUAGUUUAGCAUGACUUCAAAUACUGGUUUGGUCUUUAAAAGAGGUUAGUAGAGCGGACCGGUUAUUUUAACACAAAAGAUGAAAAGAAAAUCUACUUCGAGCUCCCCAGGCCCGUUUUAGGAAUUGACAGUUUUUGAAAAUCAGUUAAUCUUAGAGCAGAACAUCAGUUUUAGACAUAGAUCUGUUGAAAAGAGAGUUGAAGUUGCAGCAAGGUUUAGAAAUGGAUUACAAUUUAGCCGGACUGUUUGAGUAAAGAGGAUGCAAGCAGAAAGUUUUCAAAAGUACCUUAAAGUAUUAAACUUAGGCAGACAAAGUAGUUCAAAACUGCAGACUUAGUAGAGUAGCGUAAAAGGGAUGACCUGGGCCCGAUUUAAAAGUGAACAAAUUUGGGACAACUGCGCUGAAACGUUUUAAGCACUGGGCGAGUUUGGACCUUAUAACAUGCACACUGACACUUUUUGUUACUACUUUACACGUUUUAGUCGGCAUGCUGUUUGCCUAGCGUUUUAUUCAAUUUCUAUAGGCAUGUCUUUCUAGGCGAGAUGCAAUGUUCAAAACUUACAAGAAUGGUUUCUAUAUGAGAUAUGACAUUAAACUUAUAGGCAUGGUUUCAGUACGAGAUGUGAUAAUCCAAGCCCUAUAGUCAUGGUUUCAAUCACGAGAUUGAUGCAAUAAUGAAAAGCCUUAUAGACAUGGUAUCUGUAUGAUAUUGUGCAAUAAUGUAAAGCCUUAUAGACAUGGUAUCUAUAUGAUAUUGUGCAAUAAUGCAAAGCCUUAUAGACAUGGUAUUUAUAUGAUAUUGUGCAAUAAUAUAAAGCCUUAUAGACAUGGUAUCUAUAUGAUAUUGUGCAAUAAUGUAUAGCCUUAUUGACAUGGUAUCUAAAUGAUCUUGUGGUAAAGUAGACCAAUAGGCAUGAUUUCUACCAUUAAUUGAUGCAAGAAAGUAAACCCCUCCCAUAUGCCCUUUCACUAUAUCCCCGAGUUCUUUUACACAAAUUUAUUUACAAAAUCUAGACAGAAAAACGUUAAAGGAAAUAAGCUAAAUACAUCAACAAUUACAACAUGCACGAAGAAGCUCAAAGCAGCUUUAAUGUCAACAGAAAAAAAUUAAAAGAAAUAAGCUAUAUACAUCAACAAUUACAAUAAGCCCGAAGAAGCUCAAAGCAGCUUUAAUGUGAGACAUAUGCCUUUCACCAAAUCGAGGCUCCCAAAUAAGAGGCUUUCUCUUUAGAGUGUUACAAAGUUCCAAAUGAUUUUCAAGGAAACUCAGGCAAUGCUUACACCCCAAGCAUUUAGAGUAGUGCAAGUGUGGAAUUACCGGCCCUAAGGCAUCCAAGUUCAGAGGAGACUCCAGGGUCCCUAAGCAUGGCUUACCAAAGUGGGGUAGGACUUAACGAACUAAGAAUAAGUGUGAAAGUGAGGAAUUAGAGGAAAAUCAAUGUGAUAGGUGGUCAUACCUAGCCGUGAAGUGAGAACUUACUAAAGGGGGGUAGGACUUAAAGAACUAGGAAUAAGUGUAAAAGUGAGGAAUUAUAGGAAGACCAAUGCGAGAGGUGGUCAUACCUAGCCAUGAAGUGAGACUGGCACAUCCCUAACCUCUUACAUGGUUCAACAGGCAAGAGCAGACUUGCAAAGAAGUCAGACUAGGGCAUGUAUGGUGAUUAGGACACCAACAGGCCUAUGUCAAGGCUCAAACACAUAGUAUGGGGGAUAGGGCAUAGGAUUACUUUGAGUAUAUGAUGAUAACAACCUUAGUUCUAAACUAGGAGUGGCAAUGAAGUGCCACCCUAGUCCAAAACACACUCAUACGCAAACAGGGGUUAAGGGAAUGGGGAAUCACAUAAGAAUACUUGAAAGAACAGAACUAAAUUAAAGGUAUUCAGGGGAAAGGGGUGUACAGGAACUUAAACCAUAAUAAUGAACAAUAAACAGACAAGGGAAAGGGGGAAGGGGGUUAAUCAUGCAAUAACUUAACUGAACAUACACAGGCAAAGGAAAAGGGUGAAGUAAUCAGGUAGUUUGGAGGUUGAUAAUACAAAUUAAGAGCCAACCAGUUGCAAACUUGAAUAACAAAGUAAGUAAGGUAGAUGGAUCCGUAUAGUUAACAUUGGCUUUCAACCGGCUAACUCCAGCAAUAGAUCAAGUAACAAGGAAGAACAGAAGAGAAGAGAGGUUUCUCAAUGAGUAAACAUAGAGUAGUUCGUGUAUCUCUGUCUAAGUGAGAAAAGGUGAAGGCUAUUUAUAGUUUUAAAAAUAAGCAAAACUAAGGCAAGAAAAUAUCCAUCAGUAUCAAUUAAGACAAAUUAGGGAAAAGGUUCCCUUCAACUAAGGAAUUGGGCUUGAGGUAAAUAAACCUCUGUUUAUUUUUGGAAAGAAAACCAAGUACCAAUCACGAAAUAUGGGGCAAAUACAUGUAAAGAGUUUUGAAAUUCACACGUGUAAACACAUAAGGCAAGUUAAUCACCAAGAAAAUCAAGGAAUUGAGAUGCUAGCUUGUUUUGAAUUUAGUCAGUAAGCAGGUCCCAAUUAGAGAAUCACACAAGCUAUACGAAAUCAAUUUUCCCACAUUAGGGUUAUUCAGAAAAGGGGGAGAAUGUUACUAUAUAAAGAGAUGCAUAGAUUUGCACAUGCAAAUUGGAAUAUAGAACAAAUCAUGUAGUUGAAACACAUAAGAAGGAAAUUAGAGGCGGCUAUGGUUUAACAUGAAGCAAGUAAUAACACAGAAAGAAGCAUAAAACCCUUUAAACAUAGGGUUUCCGUAACACAUAGAGCAUAAUGAAGAACAUAGAUGAAGAUGAACAAAAUAAGAACAACAUAAUGAAGAGCAAAGAGCAUUUUAACUCGAAACCUUAGAAAAUAACCCAGUAAAUUAAAAAUGCCUCAGAGCUACAGUAGAAAAUACUUAAAAUCACAGUAAGAACUAGAGGAGAACACAUCGUAGAGAAGAUAAAGCGGAGAAAUCAAAGAAAUCAAAAAAAUCAAAGAAACCCUAAAUUUUAAGAAGAUGACAGUUUGAAAACAAAAAUAGGCGAAGAAAAAGUGAGAAAUACUUUCAAAUUUUUAGAGAAUAACUAGGAUAUAGAGAAGAUCGUAAAGAUAAACACAGAGAAAACCAUCAAAAAUUAGGGUUUAAGAGAAAGAUCUCUAGAUAGCGAGAAAGCCUGGAACGGACCAUUCUGAGUCAGCUAAGGACUCAUAGCCUCAAGGCUUGCCGGAGAAAGGUCGGACACGGCUACAGAACUCAAAUCGGAGGGCCUCUAGUCCGAUAUCUUCGAGAUACGGUUCCUAUCUUAUAACCCAAGAGCCAUGCGAGGUGAGGAGUGGUGGAUAUAGAUGUUUUGGGGCUUGAACGACCAUAGACACCAGUGUAACGGAGCCAGAACAGACUAGGGUUCAGAAGGACUAGAGAGCAUUUGAGGAUACAAGGGCGGCUGGGUUUGCAAAGUGAAUACGGUUAGGGGUAUUUAGGGGUUUAAUUAUGGUAGAUUUGAUGUGGACCGUCGAUCUAUGUGAUCAACGGCCACGAUUAAAAGGAAAGAUGGGGCGGGUUAGUUUUGGUGGGUUUGGGUCGGGUAAAUUUAAAUUGGGUCAUGUAAUUGGAGGGGUUAAUUUGGUGGUGGAAUUUGGGCUAAAAUUUAAAUAACUAGGGCUAUAAUUUAAAUAAUCAUUUUCCGCAAAUUUAAUUUUAUAAAAAUAGUAAAUGUCAUAAUAAAAAAUCCAAUUAAAAUACUGAGUUAAUAUAUAUNNNNNNNNNNNNNNNNNNNNNNNNNNNNNNNNNNNNNNNNNNNNNNNNNNNNNNNNNNNNNNNNNNNNNNNNNNNNNNNNNNNNNNNNNNNNNNNNNNNNNNNNNNNNNNNNNNNNNNNNNNNNNNNNNNNNNNNNNNNNNNNNNNNNNNNNNNNNNNNNNNNNNNNNNNNNNNNNNNNNNNNNNNNNNNNNNNNNNNNNNNNNNNNNNNNNNNNNNNNNNNNNNNNNNNNNNNNNNNNNNNNNNUUUUAAUUUAGAAAUACCUAAUGACCUUGUAAAAUUCUGUAAAAAUUAUAUUAAUUAUAUUUUUAUGUAAAUGAGAGAAUACAAUAGAUUACUUAUCAAAAUAACAUGAUUUGGGACUAACUAUUGGAAUUUAUAUCGCAAAAUAAGUCGUACGUUGAUUUUAAAAUCCUUAAAAAUGUAGAAAAAUACCAAGACCGUUGUGGAUGCUUAUAUAUGAAUAUAUAUGCUCAUUUGGGAAUAUUUUGAGUACAGAAAUACAUGGAAAAAAAUUGGGUAUCAACAGCUGCCCCUCUUUACCCGAGGAGGAGGAAAGUGUUGUCAGGUAAUGACAAGAUGGCCAAUUUUGACCAGAAAUGACGACUGUUAGAGAACAUUUACCACGCUUUGUCUUCUGAGCUGCCUACAUAUCCCUGGUUUUAUAGGAACCAGGCCGUAUGUAGUUCAGGAAUCAUUGACAGGAUAUGCCAAUGAAAAUUUGGAAAAGGCGGAUGCAACAAGGUUUGAGAUUUGUUAAGGAUUCAGAAAUCAGACGGGCAGUGGAGAACUAGAGCGGGACCACUCCUGCUGAUGUAGCCAUGCCAGUCGGGAUACCUGCAAAUGAAUGAUGUGCGUAUAUAAUUCAUAAUUUAAACGUGAUGCAAGUUCCCUUUAGACCAUGAAUGUUGUCUUUGGACGAUUAGGAUGGCGUCCUCGGACUAUGACGUCCUGGGUUAUGCGGAUCAUGGAAGUAAAGAUUCGCAGGCCAUGAAAUGGUGUUCUCGGGCUAUGACGCCUUUGAAUAAGUUGGCGAUAUUUCAGCCCAUGAAAAGGUGGAAAUAUUUCAGCCGAGUGAAUGCAAGGGGUGGCGAUCUUUCAGCCGAGCAGGAAUUUAAAAUGCAAGGCGGCUAUAUUUCAUCCAAAUGAAAAAAGGUGGCGAUCUUUCAGUCAAAUGUAAAAUAAUAAAGGUAGAUCUUAACCUCAGACGGCAGAGAAUAGCCUUAUGAAAAAAUGGAGACAUGGCUUAGUCUCGAAAGGCAGAAGAUAGCCUUAUGCAGGAUGGAGGUAGAGCUUAACCUUGGAAGGCAGAGAAUAGCCUUAUGCAAAAUGCAGAUGGAGACAGGGGUUAGUCUCGAAAGACAGAAGAUAGCCUUAUGCAGGAUGGAGGUAGAGCUUAACCUCGGAAGGCAGAGAAUAGCUUUAUGCAAUGCAAAAAUGCAGAUUGAGACAGAGCUUAGUCUCGAAAGGCAAAAGAUAGCCUUAUACAGGAUGGAGGUAGAGCUAAACCUCGAAAGGCAGAGAAUAGCCUUAUGCAAUGCAAAAAUACAGAUGGAGACAGAGCUUAGUCUCGAAAGGCAGAAGAUAGCCUUAUGCAGGACGGAGGUAGAGCUUAACCUCGGAAGGCAGAGAAUAACCUUAUGCAAAAUACAGAUGGAACAGAUUUAGUCUCGAAAGGUAGAAAAUAGCCUUAUGCAGGAUGGAGGUAGAGCUUUUCCAUGGAAGGCAGAGAAUAGCGUUAUGCAAAAUGCAGAUGGAGACAGGGCUUAGUCUCAAAAGGCAGAAGAUAGCCUUAUGCAGGAUGGAGGUAGAGCUUAACCUCGGAAGGCAGAGAAUAGCCUUAUGCAAAAUGGAGAUGGAGACAUGGCUUAGUCUCGAAAUGCAGAAGAUAGCCUUAUGCAGGAUGGAGUAGAGCUUAGCCUCAGAAGGUAGAGAAUAGCCUUAUGCAAUGCAAUAUUGCAUAUGGAGACAGAGCUUAGGAUUGAAAGGUAGAAAAUAAACUUAUGCAGGAUGGAGGUAGAGCUUAACCUCGGAAGGCAGAGAAUAGCCUUAUGCAAUGCAAAAAUGCAGAUCGAGACAGAAAAGAUAGUUUUGUUUUACGAUAAACCACAACUGCAACGUGGUUCAAGUCACGGCAACCUUGUUGGCUCCGGAAUUUUGAGGGUCCUCCUCAAAAUUCCGCCCUAGUUUAUUGGGCUAACGCUGUUGAUGGCGGUGCUGAAUGACUGAAAAUGGACCGACCUCGUAAUUUUAAGGGUCCUCCUCAAAAUUCUGCCCCAGUUCUAAAUUCAGGAGGGGUGGGGGGAAUGGAAUUUUAUUAAAGAUGUGAAUGCACACAUAGGGCUGCCUAUGUAUCCCCUCUUAAACGGGAAUCAUGUCAGGCGUAGUUCAAAUUACGUCAUAAAGAAAGGCAUACAAUCAAAUGUAGUAUCUCUUCACUGCAUUAGAGUUGAUCGGUUUUGUCCAAACUUCUCCUCCAUUUCUGGGAGAAUAAGCGCUCUUCCAGUUAGAAGCUGGUGAACCUUGUAUGGACCUUUCCAGUUGGGAGAGAAUUUCCCUUUGUCUUCAUCUUGAUGUGGGAAUAUUUUCUGUAACACCAGCUAUCCCGGUGUGAACUUCCUUGGUUGAACUCUAUUGUUGAAGGCUCUGGACAUUUUGUUUUGGUAUAGCUAACUGUGGCAAACCACAUUCAUUCUCUUUCCAUCUAUAAGGGCUAACUGUUCAUAACGACCCUUGACCCAUUCUACGUCAUCUAGCUCAGCUUCUUGUAUGAUUCUCAAGGAUGGAAUUUCUACCUCGGCGAGAAUGACCGCCUUUGUACCAUAAACAAAUAUGUAGGGAGUUUUCCCGAUUGAUGUGCGACCCGUAGUACGAUAACCCAAUAAGGCGAAUGACAACUUCUCAUGCUACUGCUUGUGCCUUUCGAUCAUUUUCCUUAAUAUUUUCUUGAUGUUCUUGUUGGCCGCUUCCAUGGCUCCACUCAUCUAAGGUCUAUAAGUUGUAGAAUUUCUAUGCAUGAUCCUGAAAGUUUUGCAAAUUGCUCUCAUUAAGUUGCUGUUGAGAUUGGAACCAUUAUCAGUGAUGAAUGAUUCCGGAAUCCCGAAUGGACAGACAAUACGAUCUCGAACAAAGUCUGCCACGACUUUCUUGGUUACUGCUUUGUAUGAGGCUGCUUUAACCCAAUUAGUGAAGUAACCGAUUGCCACUAAGAUGAACCUGUGUCGGUUUGAAUCGGCAGGCUCGAUUGGUCCAAUAACAUCCAUUCCCUAGGCGGCAAAUAGCCACGGUGAGCUCGUUGCAGUGAGCUCGUUCGGAGGUGCCUUUAUCAUAUCUGGAUGUAUCUGACAGCGGUGACACUUUUGGACAUACUGAAUACGGUCCGUCUCCAUAGUCAUGCAAAAAUAUCCUGCUCGGAGUAUCUUUUUUGCUAGAACAAAACCAUUCAUGUGCGCCCCACAAGUCCCUGAGGCACUUCCUCCGAUAACUUGGUUGCUUCUGUCGCAUCGACACACCUUAAUAGUCCCAAAUCGGGAGUCCUGCUAUAGAGGAUUCAUCCGCUGUGAAAGAAAUUGUUGGACAACCUUCGAAGCGUGCGCUUCUGAGUAGCAUUAGCAAGCUCCCGAUAUUCUCCUGUUGUUAGGUACUCUUUGGUGUCGUGGAACCAAGGCUUUCCGUCGGCUUCCUUCUCGACGCGGGCACAAUAUGAUGGUUGAUCAUGAAUCUUGAUCUGGAUAGGGUCUAUGAAGUUUGUAUUUGGAUGCUGAAUCAUGGAUGACAAAGUGGCAAGUGCAUCUGCAAACUCAUUCUGCAUUCUUGGAACAUGUUAGAAUUACGUCUUUCUGAAUCUCGUCCUCAACUCCUUUAUGUAAUGAAGAUAAGGGAGUAUCUUAAAAUUCUUAGUAGCCCAUUCUUCUCGAACCUGAUGUAUAAGCAGGUCCGAAUCUCCAAUCACUAGCAGCUCCUAAAUGUUCAUGGUCAGUUUAAGCCCUAAGAUGCAGGCUUCGUACUCGGCUAUAUUAUUGGUGCACGGGAACCUGAGUUUGGUGGAUACCAGGUAAUGUUGACCGGUUUCUAAUUCCAGGACUGCUCCGAUACCAACUCUUUUGGAAUUUGUAGCUCCGUCGAAAAACAUCCUCCAACCGUCAUAGGAUUCUGCAAUAUCUUCUCCUAUGAAAGCUACUUCCUCAUCGGGAAAAUAUGUCUUUAAUGGUUCGUACUCCCCUCCUACAGGAUUUUCUACGAGAUUAUCCGCCAAAGCCUGUCCUUUAACUACCUUUUGGGUGACAUAGACAAUGUCAAAUUCACUCAACAAAAUUUGCCACUUGGCCAGCUUGCCAGUGGGCAUGGGCUUCUGAAAAAUAUACUUUAGCGGAUCCAUUCUUGAUAUAAGGUAGGUAGUGUAAGCACAUAAAUAAUGGCUCAAUUUCUGAGCUACCCAGGUCAAAGGACAACAGGUGCAUUCUAGUAUGGAAUAUCGAGCCUCGUCGGGGUAAAUUUCUUGCUGAGGUAGUAAAUAGCUUGCUCCUUUCUCCACAUCUCAUCAUGUUGUCCCAAGACACAACCAAAUGCUCCAUCCAGAACUGCGAGAUAGAGCAAUAAGGGCCUCCCAAGCUCAGGCGGAACCAGGACUGGAGGCGAAGACAAGUAUUCCUUGAUCUUGUCAGAAGCCUUUUGACAUUCAUUGGUCCAUUUGGUGGUGGCAUCCUUCUUGAGCAUCUUGAAGAUAGGUUCACAGAUGACGGUAGACUAAGCUAUGAACCAACUGAUAUAGUUAAGUCUCUCUGGUAAACUCAUUACGUCAUUCUUGUUCUUUGGCAGUGGCAACUCUUGAAUAGAUUUGACUUUUGACGGAUCCAGCUCUAUUCCUCGGUGACUCACGAUGAAACCCAAUAACUUUCCCGCAGGGACCCCAAAUGCACACUUGGCGGGAUUCAGUUUCAAGUUAUACCUCCUUAGUCUGUUGAAAAAACUUUUGGCGGUCCUUCAUGACAUCGUCCACAUAUACCUCAAUCUCCUUAUGUAUUAUGUCAUGAAAGAGGGUAGUCAUGGCCCUCAUAUAAGUAGCUCCUGCAUUCUUCAAUCUGAAUGCCAUCAUUCUGUAGCAAUACAUUCCCCAUGGCAUGAUAAACGCUGUUUUCUCUACAUCUUCUUCAUCCAUCCAUAUCUGAUGGUACCCCGCAAAGCAAUCACCAAAUGACUACAACUCAUGCUUGGCGGAGUAGUCGAUCAGAAUGUGUAUGUUUGGCAAGGGGAAAUCAUCUCUGGGACUAGCCCGGUUGAGAUCCAGGUAGUCGACACAGACUCUGAAUUUCCCAUCCUUCUUCGGUACUGGCACGAUGUUAGGUAACCAGGUUGGGUACUCUACCACUUGAAGAACGAUGGCUUUGACCUGCUUGGUGACCUCCUCUUUGAUUUUAAACUCAUAUCUGGUUUGAAUUUUCUGAGCUUUUGCUUUACCGGCGAGCAUGCAACAUCUGUCGGCAAUUUGUGGGCGACGAUGGAUAUGCUGAGACCAGUCAUAUCGUCGUAAUACCAGGCAAAGAUAUCCUCAUAUUCCCUUAAGAACUCUGUAUAUUCCUCUUUUUCCAUCUGUGAUAAGUGUACACUGAUGCGCGUUUCUUUGACAUUCUCUGUAUCUCCCAAAUUGACGACCUUGGUUUCAUCCAUGUUUGACUUAGGCCUAUUCUCAAAAUUCUCGGCCUCUCUGACAACCUCUUAUGGUAUAUCAUCUUCCUCCAAGUCUAUAUCUGUUUGUUGCAUAGCCUCGUUGCAAGUUACAGUUGUUGGUUCAUCUUCAUGAUAUGCAAUAGUAAUGUUGUGUGAAAAAUAAAGUAAAUAGAGGAGAAAGUAAUGAGUAACGAGAUAUUUGAUGAACAAAAAAAUGCUUUUGAUUAAAUUCAUAGAUGUUCAAAACAUCGGAGCUCUUUUGGAAAGUAAAGAAAAUACGAAAAGUAAAGGCGCGUGAUGCUUGUUCAGCCUUGCUACCCCGAAGAUUUCCGGGUGGUGGUGGUCCUAAUUGACCAAUUGGUGAGGUGAUCCCCUUGGUUCACAGCCUGAAUGGAAGGGCCUUCCUCCCCUUACUCUUCCAAAAUCACACAACAGUCCAUAUCCUUCUCCAGAAAUAGGUUCUUCAUUGCCGCAAGCGCCUCCUCUUCUUAUAACCCGUAGAGAGUGCCGGCCGGCUGAAAUGUCUGCUCCAGCUGAGGUAUGGGGUAUUCCAAUGGAUAAUACGGGCCACACCAUAGUGGAAACCAGUCUUUGAACACUUCCCAAGUGUAUUUGUAUCCCAACCCGAAGGUAGUACCAUGUUUCUUCUACUAGAAAGGUUUGGUGAUGCUCUGAAGAUUCUUACCAAGCCCUUUUCCCGGUUCAUACCCACUCCAGUUCAGAAUGCUUUCGAUCUUGUUGCUCCACCAUUUGUCUUUAUCCACUGCAUUGAGUAUUAUGAUGGUAUGUUUCUCUGCCUAUCCUUCUUCUGCCUUUGAUCAUCGGAAUGGUCUGGCGAAUGUAUAUAGGGUUGCUACCGUCGCCAUGGAUGAUUGCCUCCUAAUGGUUCCACUCAAAUUUCACGACCUGAUGUAAGGUCGAUACCACAGCCCCUGCAGCGUGGAUCCAGGGUUGUCCCAGCAAUAGGUUGUAAGAUGCUGGUACAUCGUUGACUUGGAAAUCAACAUCAAACCAAGUAGGCCCCAUUUGCAAACACAGGCUAAUCUCCCGAGGGUGGACCUCUGAGAACCGCCAAAAGCCUUAACGUUGAUUGUCCCAUCUUUUAUCUCGUGCAAUCCUUUUCCCAACUUCUUAAGGGUGUUCAAUGGACAAAUGUUGAGGCUAGAACCUCCAUCGAUUAAGAUCCUAGUGAUGAAAUGAUCUUCACAUUACACAGUGGUGUGUAGUGCAUAGUUAUGUCCGAGCCCUACAUGUGGUAAUUCAUCCUCGUGGAAAGUGAUUUUGUGACUCUCCAAUAUCUUCCCUACCAUGUUCGCCAUCUCUCCUCGUGUUAUGUUGCUGGGAACAUAAGCUUUACUCAAUAUCUUCAUCAAGGCAUUCUUAUGUGCCUCGGAACUUUGCAGCAACGCCAAGAUGGAAAUCUGCGUCGGAGUCUUGUUCAGCUGUUCAACAACUGAAUAUUCCUUGGCCUGUAUCUUCCUCAAGAGGUCAUCGGGUUCGGUUUUUACAGGACGUCCAUAGGCCUAUUUGCUCGACUCAGCUAGGCGCUCUGGUGUGUACGCCCUGCCUGUUCUAGUCAUACCUUGCGCGGCAAUUGCUUCACUCGUGUGUGCUUUUCCUUUCCUUCUCGCCUCGGCUGUCUAGUCCCAAGGUAUGUAAUUUGAUUGAAAUGGGGUUAUAUCUGACAUGGUGACAGGUAUGGGCACCCUUGGAGGCAACAUAGUAACUUCAAGCGGUGCGGGCGCUUUUGGAGUCCCGAACUCCACCUCAAUUGGUUUUGGCAGCUUCGCAGGAGGUGCCUCGAACUCAAAUGGUAUAGAUACAUUCACCACGUCGCCCUCAGAUGGCUGGAUUUGUACAAUAAUAGGAUUAAGAGUGACCACCGCCUUCUUGGGCUCAUAUCUUUCAUAUAUAAAAUCGAUUGACCCUUUGGGGUCCCAGUAGUCCUCAACCUCAAUCAUGUGGAUGCCUCCACCCUUAUGGUUCGAUAGAGGGUUGUUACGAACAUUACGAUCAGGCUCCUUAGCUACGAUGACCAUGUUGUCAAUUAAGGUCGGAAUUUUGUCUUUCAACAAGCGGCACUCGCUCAUGGUAUAGCCUUUCAUCCACGAAUGGUAUGCGCAGGUUUUAUUUGGGUUGAUCCAUUGGGAAGGGUUUUGUGGCGAUAUGGCUGGGAUGGCUGUAACAUAUCCAGCGGCUUUGAGCUUCUCAUACAGUUGGUCAAUGGGUUCUGCAAUAGGCGUGUAUUGUCUAGACGAUUUUCGAUCAAAGUUUGUUCUUGGUCGUGGGAAGUUUUGGGGGGUAGGUGGUGAUGGAUAGUGAGGAGGUUAGGAUUUGUAUGCUUGGUAUACGGAUGCGGGUUGGGAAUAUCCUAGCUAGGUGGGCUGAUAUGUUGGUGAUGGAGAUGAUUGGUAGACGAGUGGUGGAUUUUGAUAGGUAGGUAAAGGUGCCUGGUAAUUUAGAGAAGGUUGGUAUUUGAGUGGAGUUGGAGGGUAGGGUUGGUAUUACAUGGGAGAGUGGUUUCUCUGUGCAGCCAUUAUGGAGUUUACGUCUUUUUUCUUCGACGUACCACCAGAUUGUAAGGAUUUGUUGGUGGCAUGCAGUGCCACAAGGUUAGUAACCAUACCAUUUUCGAUGCCCUCUUCGAUCCUUUCUUCCAGUUUGAUGAUAUCAGAGUACUUCUACCCCUCUAUCAGCAUCAAUCUCUCGUAGUACUGUGGAUCCUGAGCACGGACAAAAAACCUGUUCAUUUGUUCUUCUUUCAAAGCCUAUAUGACUUUGGAAGCUUUUGACCACCAACGAGUAGCAUACUGGCGAAAGGUUUCAGUAGGCUUCUUCUGCAAAUUCUGGAUAUAGAUUACAUCUGCCGUAUUAUCAGUGUUGAAUCUAAAAAAUCCAUGAAAUCGGACGCCAUGUUCACCCAGCUUGUCCAAUUCUUCGCAUCUUAGCUGAUAUACCAAGAUAAAGCAUCACCUUUCAAGCUCCUCAUGAACAGCUUCAUGCGGAUCUUUUCAUCUCUACCAACUCCCACUAACUUGUCACAAUACAUCCAGAGGUGAAACCUGGGAUCACCCGUACCAUCAAACAUCUCGAACUUAGGAGGUUUGUACCCCUCUGCGAGUUUUUCAUCUUUACCAACUCCCACCAACUUGUCACAAUACAUCUUGAUGUGAACCCUGGGAUCACCCGUACCAUCGAAAUUACGAACUUAGGAGGUUUGUACCCCUCUGGGAGUUCGACAUCAGGUUGAACACUAAGGUCUUCAUAAUUCAGACCCUUCACACCCUUGUUACCUUCCAUAUCUUGUACCCUACUAGUGAGUUUCUUGAGUUCAACAGCCAAGUUCUGAAUGAGUGAGUCUAAUUCUAACACAUCUGAUAUGGGUUGUGUAUAGUAUGGAAUAGUAUCCACAAAGAUAGGGGUAUCUUGGUGGUUCAGAGCAUUUUGGGGCUCAGGGAAGAGCGGUGGAGCACUGUUGCGAGCUUGGGUUGGGGUAUUCUACGGAGGUGUAGGGACCUAACUGUUGACAUCUGCAGCAGCAACGGAGAUGGACAAACUUGCCAAACUCCGAACCUGGUCUAGUUCCUCUCCAAACCUUAGCAAAGUUUGCUCCAAAUGAGCAGCAGUCUCUUUGGUGAUCGAGGUACCUUGGGAAGUUCCUUCAAUGUCCUUUCUUGCUUCAUUAUCUCCCAUCUUUCAAUUGUUCCUAUAUUUUGGGGGGACACUGAGGAGGAGGAGGACCCUUAGAUCUUGUUGAGUAUGAUGAUGGUGCUAGAGCGCACUAACUAAUCUUUAGGGAGGGGAAUAACAAAAAGUAAAAACAAAAGUUAAGAAAUUAGUGCAGAUUCUGAGAAAGAAAUAUUGCGGUAUUUAAACAGGUUGUUGCAAAAAUAUAAGUCGUUUCCUAUUUGGGUGCCUCAUUGUGCCCGAGAUAGGCCUAGCGAUAGAUAUCAUUUGGAGGACUUAUAACUCCGAGUGCCUCAUUUUAUUGAUAGAAAAUAGAACGAGUCAAACAAACUGAAAUAAAUAGAAAAUUGUCACUAAUGGCCAGUGGCCUUAUUACACUGCGAAAGCAGUAAAAAUUCUAACUACUUGGUCCCAGAAGGACCUUCCCCAUAUUCGGUAUCUUUGCCUCCCUCGUACAGCUUCAUCAAUUUGCGCAGUCCCAGCAACAAGUAGGCCCGAGCCAAGUGCCCACCUUCAUUACCUUCAGCUUCCUGACAGUAGUUGAUCCUUUUAGAAAUUUGCCGCCAGCUCUACUAAACCCUGCUCCAAGUACCCUAAACGGUUAUUUGCGUGGACAGCCAUGUCCUUCCACUCAUUGAUUAUCUUUUUUUGGGCCACUAGUAUUUCCCGGUGCUCGCUUUCGCUCUCUUGCAUCUGUUUGCGUAGUUGAUUGUACUUGACAUUUACGGCAGUCUCCUCGUCAAUAACCCUGUGACCAUGGAUGAAACCUGUAUUUCCCAAGCCGAUGUGGUCAUCUUAUAACCAUACUAGAUAAAGCGGCGCAUGCGCUGCCUGAUACAUGUCUGGUUUCAUAGAUUCCUUCUCCAAGAUGAGUUUGGACUGCCACAUAUUCUGAGCCUGACACCUGUGUGGGCUAUCAUCAUCUUGGAAAUCAUGCCUGUAGUAACUCAUCUUUUUCACCCUCGGUAUAAUUUGUUUUCUUCCCGCUUGCCUCAUGACUCGGAGAGGGACAUAAGGGUAAGUUCCUCUUAAGCCGAUGAGUACAAGGAAUGGCACAUCCCUAGACCGAAUUCUUUUUCACCCUCGGUAUAAUUUGUUUUCUUCCCGCUUGCCUCAUGACUCGGAGAGGGACAUAAGGGUAAGUUCCUCUUAAGCCGAUGAGUACAAGGAAUGGCGCAUCCCUAAACUUAAUGAUAAACUCUCCAGUUGGAAACCACUCGUACAUCCGUUGUACCUGCUCUUCUCUCAGAUUAUCUAAUAGUUCUACCCAUCCACUGACGACUUCCGGGCGAGCAAAGAUAUCCGGCAUGAAGUGCAUUCGCUUUCGAUGAUAGAAAGCGAUAUGGUCAUCCCAGUCUCGGCGUAUGAUCUCCUAUCUAUAAUCUCCAUUCUGAAGAGGUUCAAUGAGCUAGAGUUUUAGUAGCAAAUUGCACCCUUGAAUGUGCAGUACCCCUUGUUGACAUUUCUCUAAGGCUCGAUACAGUUCGGCGAGGAUCAUGGGAGCUACACUGAAUGCCUGCCCGUCAAUACCCUCCAUUAUGGCUUUGGUUACCAUGGAUAGUCUUUUAUGAAUUCUUGCCUUCUUUAUUGGAAAGAUAUCAUGCCCAGGAAGCAGAACAUGAAUACAAAGGCUCUCGUAUGUAUGUGGCCCAAAUAGGUGAGGGCGAACUCGUCCAUGUGAGUGCGGUAGGAUCUGCUCUGUCCGAACCAUUCAUACAUGAAGUCGAAUGAUAUGUAGGAGUCCUUCUGACUAGUCAGACUAGGAUUCUUCGUGAGACCCAUCAUUUUCAGGAAACCUCUACGCAUAUGCAGCCCCGUGUUAUCCCAAGGAAUUCCGGCUAGACCUCCAAUUUCUUCUAACAGCGGUGCCAUUUCAAUACCCCAAAGCGGAAGACAAACCAUUCACUCUCCCAAAAUAGAGUAGCAGCUUCCACAAUCUUGUUAUCUGGCCUAACUUCCAAGAGUAAAGGAAGAUUCCCUAAGUGUUUGCGGACAAGAACCCAUUCACUACCAUGCAGAUCCUCCGACCAGCUUAGUAACUUUGGGUGAAUGUUUGAUACUAUGUUAAAACUGGGGACCUCGUGCCUCAUUUCUUGAAAAAUAGAGUGUUAGGCCCUCAAAAUAAUUAUCAAAAGGCAUUUAGUUCUCCAAAUCGACGUACAUAACGUGAAAAUUCGUUUGGGUUUCGAGGAAACCCGAUGGACUUCUGGUUUAAGCUAUCUUAAUGAGUCAUUAUGCGGACGACAUAACUGACUCCGCUAAGUUUGACCAUGAUGCAUGAACAGUAUAACGGAAUAAGCUUUCUACUUUUAAAGUGCUAGACAAGCUACCCUUGAGCGGACAACUCAAGAGGGAAAGGCACGGAACCGUCGACUACACCGUUGAACGACUAGUUUUACCCCAAAUAUGCCUUUGCAGAAUUUAGGGGGUUUAUAAAUAUUGGAAGAGUACAACCACUCAUUAUAAGCGUUGCUAUAGGAUUGUUUGGCAUGAGUGGAAAAUGAUGUUGAAAGAUGCAAUUACAAUAAUAAAUACAUGUAUUUUCACGUUCAUAAAAAUAAUGAUUACAAUAGAUGCUCGAAAUUUAAGACGGAAUUGAAAUGAAGUUAAAGCAGCAAAACAAUAAAAGAAAAAGAAAAACAUGAAGAAUCAAGUUAGUAACCAUGAAAAAUAAAUAAUUAAAGAGGUAAAUAAAGGCAGUAAAGAAAGCAAUAAAGUCACAAAGCACGUAAUGGUAAAAGCCUUAAAGAAGUCCCCAGCAGAUUCUCCAUAUUGUCGACGCCCACUUUUUCAAAACCGAAAUUGGAUUUUACGACAUUAUGGGCAAACAACUCUCAUUCCCGUUUAGGAAUUGGGUUAUGGAAUUUCAAGAGUCACCAUCUAAUGAUUAUAGUGCAUUAUGACACUUUUAAAGAUGAGAGGAGUAUUUUGAAAUAAAACCAAAGUUCGGGUAAGGGCUUGAAAUUAUCUCGAGGGGAAGGUGUUAGGCACUCCUCAAGAUCCACUAGUGUAGUUCCCGGCCGUGCUAAUGUUACUUUAUGAAGAGAUGAAGCAAGUAGACAGAUAAGAUUCACAUAUAAACAUUUGGACAACAUAGGAAUUUAAAGGGAAAAGCACAAGUUAAAUAAAAUAGAAGAGAGAAUGGAUUUGAAAAGAAAGCAUUACUUUAGAAUAACGUGUAAAUAAAGCAAGCAAAGGAAAGGGGAUCCUAGAUUUGACUAUAAUAUGGAUCACAUCGGUGAAAUACCCCGCACACACUCCUUAAAGAGGGGUCGCAUAUGGUAUUAGCGCACCGGUCAUUAUCUCUAUAUUCUACCCUUCCCGCCCUUUUAAGGUUAUUAAACACGUUGGUAUCGUUUACUUAUUGCAUGCUAAUACAUAUCCCAACCUGUUAGUCCUGGGGUAUUGGGACUUCUAAUCCUAAUAGGGGGAGAGAAUGAUACGAUAUAUAUAUGGAGUUUUCAAAGGUAAAAAUACUAGAACGACAAGCAUAAAAUAACACAUAAGCGGUAUACAAAUAAGACAGUCAAAGGAUCAGAUAAAACCCCGCAACAUAACUACAACUAGUUUAGCAUGACUUCAAAUACUGAUUUGGUCUUUAAAAGAGAUUAGAAGAGCGAACAGAUUAGUUUAAUACAUAAAAGUUGGAUAGAAAAUCUACUUCGAGCUCCCCGAGACCGUUUUAGAAAUUGACAGUUUUUGUAAAUCAGUUAAUCUUAGAGGAGAACAUUAGUUUCAGACAUAGGUCUAUUGACAGAGAGUUGAAGUUGCAGCAAGGUUUAGAAAUUGCUAACAAUUUAGCCGGACUAUUUGAGUAAAAAGGAUGCAAGCAGAAAGUUUUCAAAAGUACCAUAAAGUAAUAAACUUAGGCAGACAAAGAAGUUCAAAACCGCAGACUUAGUAGAGUAGUGUAAAAGGGCAGAGCUGGGACCGAUUUAAAAGUUAACAGAUUUAGGACAACUAUGCUGAAACAUUUUAAGCACUGGGCGAGUUUCGACCUUAUAACAUGCACACUGACCCUUUUUGUUACUGCUUUACACAUUUUAGUCGACCUGCAGUUUGCCUAGCAUUUUAUAUAGUUCCUAUAGGCAUGUCUUUCUAAGUGAGAUGCAAUGUUGAAAAUUUAUAAGCAUGGUUUCUAUAUGAGAUAUGACAUUUAACUUAUAGGCAUGGUUUCUAUAUGAGAUGUGAUAAUGCAAGCCCUAUAGUCAUGGUUUCUAUCAUGAGAUUGAUUGAAUAAUGAAAAUCCUUAUAAACAUGAUAUCUAUAUGAUAUUGUGCAUUUGUGUAAAGCCUUAUACAUAUGGUAUCUAUAUGAUAUUGUGCAACAAUGCAAAGCCAUAUAGACAUGGUAUCUAUAUGAUAUUUUGCAAUAAUUUAAAGCCCUAUAGACAUGGUAUCUAUAUGAUAUUGUGCAAUAAUGUAAAGCCUUAUUGACAUGGUAUCUAUAUCAUCUUUUGGUAAAGCAGACCUAUAGGCAUGAUUUCUACCAUUAAUUAAUGCAAGAAAGUAAAACCCUCCCAUAUGCCCUUUCACUAUAUCCCCGAGUUCUUUUAUACAAAUUUAUUUACAAAAUCAGGACAGAAAAGCGUUAAAGGAAAUAAGCUAAAUACAUCAACAAUUACAGCAUGCCCGAAUAAGCUCAAAGCAGCUUUAAUGUCCAACAUAUGCCUUUCACCAAAUCCAAGCUCCCAAAUUCGAGGCUUUCUCUUUAGAGUGUUACAAAGUUCCAAAGGGUUUUCAAGGAAACCAGGCAAUCCUUACACCCCAAGCAAUUAGAGUUGUGCAAGUGUGGAAUUACAGCCCUAAGGCUUCCAAGAUCAGAGGAGACUCCAGGGUCCCUAAACAUCGCUUACCAAACGAGGGUAGGACUAAAAGAACUAGGAAUAAGUGUAAAAGUGAGGAAUUAGAGGAAGACCAAUGCAAGAGGUGGACAUACCUAGUCAUGAAGUGAGACUGGCGCACCCCUAACCUCUUACAUGGUUCAACAGGCGAUAGCAGACUUGCAAACAAGUCAGACUAGGGCCUGUAUGGUAAUUAGGACACAAACGGAACUGUGUCAAGGCUCAAACACAUAGUAUAGGGGAUAGGAAAUGGAAUUAAUUUUAUAAUAGGCUUAUAACAACCUUAGUUUUAAAGUAGUAGUGGCAAUGAAGUGCCACCCUAAUCCAAAACACACUCAUAUGCAAACAGGGAUUAAGUAAGGGGGAAUCACAUAAGAAUACUUGAAAGAACAGAACUAAAUUAAAGGGAUUCAUGGAAAGGGGUGUACAGGAACUUAAACCAUAAUAAUGAACAAUAAACAAAAAGGGAAAGGGGGAAGGGGGUUAAGCAUGCAAUAACUUAACUGAACAUAAACAGGAAAAGGAAAAGGUUUAAGCAAACAGGUAGUUUGGAGGUUGAUAAUAUAAAUUAAGAGUUGACUAGUUGCAAACUUGAAUAACAAAGCAAGUAAGGUAGAUGGAUUCCUAUCGUUAACCUUGUCUUUUAGCCGGCUAACUCAAGCAAUAGAGCAAGAAACAGAGAAAAACAGAAGAGAAUAGAGGGUUAUCAGUGAAUAAAAUUAGAGUAGUUCGUGUAUCUCUGUCUAAGUGAGAAAAGGUGAAGGCUAUUUAUAGUUUUAAAAAUAAGCAGCACUAAGGCAAGAAAAUAUCCAUCACUAACAAUUACAACCAACAAGGGAAAAAGUUCCCUUCAAUUAAGGAACCAGACUUGAGGUAAAUAAACCUCAGUUUAUUUUUGAAAGAAAAUCAAGUACACAUCACGAAAUAUAGGGCAAAUACGUGUAAAGAGUUUUGAAAUUCACAAGGGUAAACACAUAAGGCAAGUUAAUCACCUAGAAAAUCAAGGAAUUGAGAUACUAGGUUAAUUUAAAUUUAGUCAGAAAGCAGGUCCCAAUUAGAGAAUCAAACAAGCUGUACGAAAUCAAUUUUCCCACGUUAGGGUUAUUCAGAAAAGGGGGAGAAUGUGACCAUAUAAAGAGAUGCAUAGAUUUUCACAUGCAAACUGGAAUUAUUGAACAAAUCAUGUAGCAGAAACACAACAACAACAACACUACCCAGCAUACUCCCACCAGGUGGGUCUGGGGAGGGUAAUAUGUUACCCCUACCCAAAAGGGCAAAGAGGCCGUUUCCAAUCGACCCUCGGCGCAUAGGAUAAGAGGAAAUCAGUUGUAAAACAAAAACAAAGACAAAAACGAAAGCAAAAACAAAAACAAAAACAAUAGAGCAUUAGUAUCUUCCGCAGAAAUAGCGUAAAUAAUUAUCUAAACAUAAGGAACAUGAAUACAGUCGCAUGCAAUAAUAUCAUACAGUAACUACCAUAAACUAACCACCAUUGGAGGGACAUAAGCUAAAACAUAAAUCAACUAUGGGUAUCCCUGCUGGCCCACACCCAACCCUGAUAGAGGCGUGCGAAGAACUAUAGGAGCCCCUAACCUACAACCCUGAUUCUAGACCUCCAGACUCAUGGCCCACACCUAACCCCGAUAGAGGCGUGCGAAGAACUAUAGGAGCCCCUAACCUACAACCCUGAUUCUAACCUCCAGACUCUCCUAUCAAGGGUCAUGUCCUCGGAAUGUAGCAGAAACACAUGAGAAGGAAAUUUUAGGCGGCUAUGGUUUAACAUGAAGCAAGUAAUCACGCAGAGAUAAGCAUAAAACCCUUUAAACUUAGGGUUACCGUCACAUAUAGAGAAUAAUGAAGAUCAUAGAUGAAGAUGAACAAAAGCAAAACAACAUAAUGAAGAGCAAAGAGCAUAUUAACUCGAAACCCUAGAAAAUAACAAAGUAAAGUAAAAAUGCCUCAAAGCCAUAGUAGAAAGUACUCAAAAUCACAGUAAGAACUAGAGCAGAACACACAGUAGAGCAGAUAAAGCGUAGAAAUCAAAAAAAAUCGGAGAAACACUAAAUAUUAAGAAGACGACAGUUUGAAAACAAAAAUAGGCGAAGAAAAAGUAAGAAAUAUUUUUAAAUUUUUAGAGAAUAAAUAGGAUUUAGAGAAGAUCGUAAAGAUAAACACAGAGAAAAACCUCGAAAAUUAGGGUUUCAGAGAAAGAUCUCUAGAUAGCGAGAAAGCCUGGAACGGACCAGUCUGAGUCAGCAAAGGACUCAUAGCCACAAGGCUUGCCGAAGAAAAGCCGGAAUUAGCAAGAAAUCCAGGAACGGACCAGUCUGAGUCAGCAAAGGACUCACAGCCUCAAGGCUUGCCAGAGAAAGGUCGCACACUUCUACAGAACUCAAAUCGGAGGGCCUCUAGUUUGAUAACCUUCGAGAUAUGGUUCCGAUCUUCGAACCCAAGAGCCAUGAGAGGUGAGGAGUGGUGGAUAUAGAUGUUUUGGGGAUUGAACAGCAAUAGACACCGGCGAAACGGUGCAGGAAAAGACUAGGGUUCAGAAGGGCUAGAGAGCAUUUGGGGAUACAAGGGCAGCUGGGUUUGCAAAAUGAUUAGGGUUAUGGGGUAUUUUGGGGUUUGAUUAUGGUAGGUUUGAUGUGGACCGUUGAUCUGUGUGAUCAACGGCCACGAUUAAAAGGAAAGAUAGGGCGGGUUACUUAGGCGUGUUUGGGUCGGGUAAAUUUAAAUUGGGUUAUGUAUUGAAGGUAUUAAUUUAAGGGUGGAAUUUGGGCUAACAUUGAAAUAGCUAGGGCAAUGAUUUAAAUAGCCAUUUUUCCCAAAUUUAAUUUUAUAAAAAUAGUAAAUAUCAUUAUAAAAAAUCCAAUUAAAAUACUUAGUUAACUAAAUAUAUAUAUAUAUAUAUAUAUAUAUAUAUAUAGGUAUUAAUAAUAAAUAUUAGGAACGAUUUUGUAAUAAAAAUACUUAUUAAAUCGAGAAAUGGGCUAAAAUUGCAAUCUAAUGCAAUUUUAAUUUAGAAUUACCUAAUGACCUUGUAAAAUUCUGUAUAAAAUACAUAAAAUAUAUUUAUAUGUAAAUGAGAGAAUAAAAUAGAUUACUUAUCAAAAUAACAAGAUUUGGGACUAAAUAUUGGAUUUUAUAUUGCAAAAUAAGUCGUACAUUGAUUUUAAAAUCCUUAAAAAAAUAUAGAAAAAUACCUAGACCUUUGUGGAUGCUUCUAUAUGCAUCUACAUGCUAUUUUGGGAAUAUAUUGAGUAUAGAAAUACAUGCGAAAAAAUCGGGUAUCAACAACGUGCAUGUUUGGUUUGGAGCCUCGAGGGCAUAUGUAAGUUUUGGAUAGGCCACGGAGUGAAAUUGGACUUAGGAGCAAGUGCUGGUAUCUGGUAUUUUUGCCCAGGCCUUGCGAGAUCAGGCUUCGCAAUUGCAAAGAGGACAGGCUUGGUAAUUGUGGCCCCAGUGUCGCAGAUGCGAACCUAGCCUGGAAAGGCCUUGGUCGCAAAUGCGACCAUUUCUAGCAAAUACGACUAGUCCCUCGCAAAUGCGAAGAUGGCCAGAUUUUCCCUUGGUCGCAAAUGCGAUAGAUUCUUCGCAUUUGCAAAGACAGUAGGUCUUGAAGGGGUUCGCAAUUGUGAAACCUGGUCGCAGUUGCGACAUCUGUGACUGGUGAAAUAGGACUUAGAUGAAUGUUUCUUCAUUUUUCAAACAGUCUCAAACCCUAAGCUCUCUUGGGCAAUUUUCUAAUGAAUAGUUCUUCUCAAAAUCAAAGGUUUCAUGGGGAAAAUUGGCUGUUUUGGGUGGAACUUAGUAUUUUCAAUUUUUGGGGAUUUGGACCUCGAUUUGAGGUACGAUUCAAAACAAAUUAUAUAUUUGAGUUUGUGGGUGAAUUUGUAAUCGGAUUUUGAUUCAAACCUCGGGUUUGACCACAUGGGCCCGGGGUCGAUUUUUGACUUUUUGGUAAAAUCAUUGGAAAACCUAUUUUCAUGCAUUACAAUUAAUUCAUUUAGCAUUUAUUGAUAUCUUUAUGUAAAUUGUGGCUAGAUACUAGCCAAUUGGUGGUGGAAACAAGAAGUAAGCGAUAGUUGAGGCUUCAAUUGUAUCUGCGGCAUUGAGGUAAGUGUUUGACCUAACCUUUGCUUAAGGGAUUAGGAGUUGUGUCUUAUUUUUUAUGUGUUAAUUGUUGAGUACGACAUAUAGGCAUAUUGACGAGUAUCUAUAUGUUGGUAUCAAGUAUGCAUGUGAGUCUUAUACUAUGAAUAAUGUGACUCCAUGUCGUAUUGUCCAUGAUUUAUAUGAUGAUUUCUAUUGUUGAACAAGGCUUGUGGAAGUAUUAUUAUUAAUUGAACAUGGUAGAGCAGUGGCUCAAGUUGAGAAUUGAGUUGUGAAGUAAAUGUGAAAAAAAGAAGAGGUUUAGGAUAUUGUCUUCCUUGUCGGGAUAUUAUUGCUUUUGAUAUUAUCUCCCUUGCCAGGAUAUUACUACUUUUUAUAUUAUCUCGCUUGCUAGGAUAUUUUUGUUAUGUUAUUGUUUCCUUACCGGGAUUUUAUUAUGAUAUUAUUGAUUCCCUUUCCCAAAUUGCUUUUUGAUUGUUACUUGGGUAUGGAAGAGUGUAAAGCACGAAGGGUGAUGUCGUGCAUGAUUUUGAGAGUGUUAAUGCAUGUAGGGUGAUGCCAUGCCAAUAUUGUGAGGUAAAAGCACGAAGGGUGAUGUUGUGUCGCACGAUGUACAAUGCCAUGCCAUGAUAUAAUUGAUAAUGCAUGAAGAAUAAUUGCACGCCAUGAUUAUGUAAGGUAAAAGCAUGAAGGGUUAUGUCAUGCCGAUUAUAUUGAUUCUUAUGGUGAGGACGAGAGUAAAAGCACGAAGGGUGAUGUCGUGCACUCGUAUUUGAUUUUCAUUCUUGAUGAUAAUUGAAUCAUGGUGUGCUUUACAUUUAUCUGUUUGUUUUUUGUUGUUACUUGUUUUCCCCCGUAGCUGUUCCCCCAUUCUAUCUUUAACCGUAAAUUUCUGCCUUUAUUUUUUCGUUAUAUAUAAUUUAACUGCACAGGUUUAUUUGGUAGUCUUGUCCUAGCCUCGUCACUACUUCACCAAGGUUAGGCUAGGCAUUUACAAGCACAUGGGGUCGGUUGUGUUAAUACUACACUCUGUACUGUGUUCAAAUCCCGGUGCUGCAGUUUUUGGAUAGAAGUAAGUUGUUGCCUUCAAUCCAUCAGGCGACCCAAGGUAGUCGUGCAGGAGUCCGUAGGCCUUGGCGACUCCAUAUAUCUUUCCAUACUAUUUCUUUUAUGUAUUUCAGAAACAGCUUUGUAUAUAUCUUUCAAACCCCCAUUUGUAUUAUUUCUAGACAAUAUGUAAGAAUGUGACACCAGUUCUAGGUAGCUUUUGUUUACUGAUUUGUAUCAGUAUUAUUAUUAAGUUGUUAUAUUUCAUUCAUGUGCAUUAUUAUUUCCGCAUUUUAUAUAUUGUUAAUUCACAACUGUUAAAGGACUAAAAAUGAAAAGGGUUAAAUAAAUUUAAUGAUUGACUUGCCUAGAUUUUACUAGUAGUCGCCAUCACGACUCCCAAGGUUUGGAAAUCUGGGUCAUGACAAGUUGGUAUCAGAGAUCUCGGUUAUUUAGGUAUCAUAAAUCAAGUACAAGCUUAGUAGACUCUGAGGGAUCAGUGUGGAGACGUCUUUAUUUAUCCCCCAGAGGGUACAAAGUUAGGAAGAACUUCACAUAUAUUCUUUCUUGUCGUGCGACUCGAUUUCUCAAUGCUAAUCAAACAUCCAUUCUAUUCUUUCGUAGAUGGUGAGAACAUGUGCCACUUCAUCAGCUGACCAGCAGCCCGAGCCCCCACUAGCAGCUCUUGCGAGGGGCAGAGUCUAGGUUGUGCUAGGUCCCGAGGCAGAGAUAGGGCUCAGCCUAGAGCUUGAGAAUCACCACCAGCGGCGGAGCCUCAGGUUGAGUUUGACGAUGAGGUUCCAACCCAGACGGUUCUAGUAGGACUAGCUCAGGUCCCAGAGGGGUACAUCUCCACCCCGGUACUUCAGGAUGCUCUGGUCCGUCUAGUGGGCUUAUGGAGAGUGUCGCCCAGGAAGGUUUGUUUGUUGUAGCACCAGUCGUCUCUCAGGCUCAAAUAGGAGCCCAGAGCAUAUGGCUCCCAAUUUAAGACUCCAGCAGCUCACCCAGUUGGGGUAGUUCAGCCUAGUGUUGUGGCACUGAUCGGAGAGGGGCCAGCUAUGUCUGCUGAUGCCUUAUGGAGAUUGGGCAGGUUCACCUAACUCUUUACUAAUACUUUGGUGGUACUUCUUCUGAGGAGCCCCCGAGGUUAUUUGGAUAACAGUCAUGAGGUUCUAUAGAACAUGGGGAUAGUGGAGACCAAUGGGGUCGACUUUCCUACUUUUCUGGAUCCGCCAAUACGUGGUGGAGAGAUUAUUGUUUUGCUAGACCAAGUGGGUCACCAGCUUUGACUUGGGAUCAAUUUUCUCAGCUAUUUCUGGAGAAGUUUCUUCCUAUCACUUAGAGGGAGAACUAUCGGAGGCAGUUUGAGUGUCUCAAACGGGGUUCCGUGACUGUCACUCAGUACGAGACCAGAUUCAUUGACUUGGACCGUCAAGCUCUUCUUAUGCUUACCACUAAGAGAGAGAGUGAGGAGGUUCAUCGAGGGACUCAUUCAGCCUAUUCGAUUGCAUAUGGCUAAGGAUACAGGGAGCGAGAUUUCUUUUCAGGAUGCAGCCAAUGUGGCCAUGAGAUUUGAGAUAAUUCUAUCACAUGGGGUGGUCAGAGGUCUGAAAAGAGGCCUCGUCAUUCUGGAAGGUUCAGUGGUGCCUCUUUUGGAGGCAGGGAUUCUUUUGGUAGGGUCCAUCCUCCUAGGCCAUUUCGUUUAGCACUUCAGGCUUCUUGUAGUGCUCCAAGUGGUCGUCGUUCUCAUAUGGAGUAUUCAGAUUAAUUGCCCUACAGUGCACUGCCAGCUCCUAUUGGUGCAUCACCGCUCUAGAGUUUUCAGAGUUGUUAUUUAGGCCAUCAGGGUUUGUAGGCUUAGUGGCCGAGGGCUUGUUAUACUUGUGGUAAUACGAGGCAUAUUGCUAGGUUUUGCCCUCGAUCACCGAGCAAUACUCAGCAUCAGGGUUCAUAUGGCAUGGAUUAGGCACCGAGUGUUCCACCGCACGCUCAACCAGCUAGUAGUGGAGGUCAACCAGCAGGAUGCUGUCCCAGAUAUGUAGUUUAGAGUGGUGGGGCCCAGCCCCGAUGUAAUGCUCUUCUAGCUAGACCUGAGGCUGCGGAUUCUGAUGUAGUUAUCACAGGUACUAGUCUGGUUUGUAGUAGAGAUGCUUCAGUUCUAUUAGAUCCAAGAUCUACAUGCUCCUAUUUUUUAUCUUAUUUUGUUCCGUAUCUAGUCAUGCCUAGUAAAUCUUUGAAUUCACAUGUAUAUGUGACUACACCGGUGGGUCAUUCUAUUGUGGUAGAUCGCAUCUAUCAUUCAUGUAUAGUUAUGAUUGAAGGUCUUGAGACUCGAGUAGAUUUGCUACUUCUAGAUAUGGUUGAUUUUGAUGUCAUACUAGGAUAGGACCAGUUAUCACCUUACCAUGUUAUCUUGGACUGUCAUGCCAAGACUGUGACCUUAAUUUUGCCGGUUAACCUCUUUAGAGUGGAGAAGGACUCCUGAUCAUUCUACCCAUAGGGUUAUCUCAGAUAUUAAAGCUAAGUAUAUGGUCGAGAAGGGGUGCUUGGCCUAUUUGGCAUAUGUUUGGCAUUCUGGUGUCGAGUUCCUUCUAUGGAUUAUGUGCCUAUUGUUUGUCAGUUUCCUGAGGUAUUUCCUUCAUACCUAUUGGGUAUGCCACCCGACAGGGAUAUUUACUUAUGCAUUAAUUUGGCCUCUGGCACUCAGCCCAUUUCUAUCCCACCUUAUCGUAUGGCCCCUACUAAGUUGAAAGAAUUGAAGGAGCAGUUGCAAGACUUGCUUGAUAAAGGCUUUAUUCGACCUAGUGUCUCACCAUGGUGUGCGUCGAUUUUGUUAGUUAAGAUGAAGGAUAGAUCGAUGAGGAUGUGUAUUGAUUAUCGGUAGUUGAUCAAGGUUGCAAUCAAGAAUAAGUAUCCAUUUCUGAUGAUUGUUGAUUUGUUUGAUCAGCUUCAGGGUGCCAAGGUAUUUUUGAAGAUUGACUUGAUAUCUGGCUACAAUCAGUUUAGGAUUAGGGUAUCUGAUCUCCCUACAAUAGCUUGUCGCACUCGAUACGGGCAUUAUGACUUCUUGGUGAUGUCAUUCGGUUUGACAAAUGCCCCAACAACUUUCAUGGAUUUGAUGAACCGAGUGUUCAAGCCUUACUUGGAUUCAUUCGUGAUAGUCUUCAUUAAUGAUAUUUUGAUUUAUUCCCAUAGCCGGGAAAAGCAUGAUCAGCAUCUAAGAGUUGUUCUUCAGACUUUGAGAGAUAGUUAGUUAUAUGCUAAGUUUUAGAAGUGUGAGUUUUGGUUGAGUUCAGUUGCAUUCUAGGGUCACGUUGUUUCAUCUGAGGGUAUUCAGCUACAAAGAUCCGGGGUUCCAUGGGUUUGGCAGGGUAUUACCAUCAUUUUGUGGAAGGGUUUUCACUUAUUGCAGCCCCGAUGGCCAGGUUGAUCAACAAAGGGGGCCCAUUUCAUGUGGUCGGACGAGCAUGAGCGAGCUUUUAGAAGAUCAAGAGAGCUUUGACUACGGCACAGGUGUUGGUUUUGCCCACAGGUUCAGGGCCACAUACAGUUUAUUGUGAUGCAUCUCAUAUUAUACUUGGUGCGGUGUUGAUGCAGGAUGGCAAUGUCAUUGCUUAUGCUUCACGACAGUUGAAGAUUCAUGAGAAUCAUUAUCUAGUUCAUGAUUUAAAGUUAGCAACAAUUUUUCAAGCGUUGAAUAUUUGAAGGCAUUAUCUAUAUGGCAUGUCAUGUGAGGUGUUCACGGAUCACAAGAGUCUAUAGUAUUUGUUCGAGCAGAUGGAGCUAAAUUUGAGGCAGAGAAGGAGGUUGGAGCUAUUGAAAGACUAUGAUAUCACCAUCUUAUAUCAUCCAGGCAAGGACAAUGUGGUGGUUAAUGCUUUGAGUAGGAAGUCAGCCAGUAUGGGUAAUCUUGCGUAUAUUCUGAUCGGUGAGAUACCACUAUCUUUGGAUGUUCAGGCUUUGGCCAAUCAGUUCGUGAGGUUGGAUGUUUCUGAGCCCAGCCGUGUGUUAGCUUGCACAGUCGCUCGUUCUUUAUUAUCUUAGUGUAUCUGAGAUCGGCAAUAUGAUGAUUCUCAUUUGUGUGUCCUUAGGGACAUGGUGCAACACAGAGGUACCAAGCAGGUUACAUUGGGAGAUAAUUUUGUUUUGAGGAUGCAGGGUCAUAUUUAGGUGCCUAAUGUAGAUGGACUUCAAGAGUUGAUUUUAGAGGAGGCACAUAGUUCUCAAUACUUUAUUCAUCCGGGUGCCGCUAAGAUGUACCAGGAUUUGUGGCAGCAUUAUUGGUGAAGGAGGCUGAAGAAGGAUAUUGUUGCAUAUGUGGCUCGGUGUUUGAUUGUCAGCAGGUAAAGUAGGAGCAUCAGAGACCUGGUGGUUUGUUCCAAAAGAUUGAGAUUCCAAAGUGGAAGUGGAAGAGUAUCACUAUAGACUUUGUUGUUGGGCUCCCACAUACUUAGAGGAAGUAAGAUGAAGUGUGGACUAUUGUUGAUAGGCUAACUAAAUCAGCAUAUUUCAUCUCUAUGGCAGUUUCUUAUUCUUCUAAGAGGUUAAGAGAUCUAUAUUCGGGAGAUUGUUUGUCUUCAUGAUGCGCCCGUGUCUAUCAUUUUGGAUCAAAGUACACAUUUUACCUCACAUUUCUGGAGAGCAGUUCAGCAUGAUUUGGACACACAGGUCGAGUAGAGCACAAUAUUUCAUCCUCAGACGAACGGGUAGUCCAAGCGUACUAUUCAGAUUUUGGAGGAUAUUCUCUGACCUUAUGUCAUUGACUUUGGAGGCUCGUGGGAUCAGUUCUUGCGUUUAGCGAAGUUUGCUUACAACAACAGCUGGUCAAGCAUCUAGAUGGCUCAUUAUUAGGCUUUAUAUGGUAGGUGGUGUCGGUCGUCGGUUGGAUUGUUUGAGCCAAGAGAGGCUUAGUUGUUGGGUAUGGAUCUAGUACAGGAUGCCUUAGACAAGGUCAGGAUCAUUCAGGAUAGGCUUCGUACAACUCAGUCCAGGAAAAAGAGUUAUGCCAGCCAUAAGGUCUGUGAUAUCGCAUUCACGGCCGGUGAGCAUUUCUUGCUUCGGGUGUCACCUAUGAAGGGCGUGAUAAGAUUUGGGAAGAGGGGAAAGCUUAGCCCUAGAUUCAUUGGCACGUUUUGAGAUUCUUGAUCGAGUGGGAGAGGUGGCUUACAUGUAUGCGUUACCGUUCAGCUUAUCAGUAGUGCAUCUAGUAUUUCAUGUGUCCAUGCUUUGGAAGUAUCAUGGCGAUCCAUCCCACGUGUUAGACUUCAACACUAUCCAAUUGGACAAGGACUUGUCCUAUGAGGAUGAGCCGGUAACUAUUCUAGACCAGAAGAUUCUUCAGUUGAGAUCGAAGAGUUUUUCUUCUAUUCGCAUUCAGUGGAGAGGCCAGCAUGUUGAUGCAGCGACUUGGGAGCCCGAGUCCGAUAUGCGGAGCCUAUAUCCCCAUAUUUUCUCCGACUCAAGUACUUUUCAUAUGCCCGCUCGAGGACGAACGGCUGUUUUAGAGGUGCUGAAUGUGAUGACCCAAAAGUUCAUCACUCGUUUUUAAAGUAAAUUUAGUGUUCUGAAGCCUUAAAACCCUCUUUUUUCUCGCUUUGAUUUGUGUGCACAGUCCGGGCCCGUUUCCAGAAGGCUUUUAUGUGAAAACUAAGUGAAAUAAGGAAAUUAGCUUUUAAAAUGAAAUAAAGUUAUCUUGGGUAAAUAUUCUUUGUAAAUGGACCCAAACCCGUGAUCUGACGGUCUCGUAUGGUCCGUAGUAAAAUUUGGGACUUGGGGAUAUGCCCGGAAUCGAAUUUCGAGGUCUCCAAAGCCCAAGAAAUGAGUUUUUAAAGAAAAAUGUUUUCUUGAAAAUAUAAUGGAUUUUAGAAGUGAAUUGAUAGAUUUUCUUGAUGAUAUCGGGCCCGUAUCUUGGUUCCGGAACCUGGUAUAAAUUUGAAAUAAUAAUUAAGAUGAAUCUGUAAAAUUUGGUGGAGAUCGGAGUUGGUUUGUACAAAAUAGACCUAUAUUUGAGAAAAUAUUAACUUUGAUAUUCUUGAGUGAUUUCAUGAAUUUGAGGUUUAAUUCGUUCAUAUUAUUUUGAUGAUUUGAUCGCACGAGCAAGUUCGUAUGAUAUUUUUGGACUCGCGUGCAUUUUUAGUUUGGAGCUCCAAAGGCUCGGGUGAGUUUUGGAUAGACCACAGAUGAAAUUGGACUUAGGAGCAAGUGCUGGUAUCUGGUAUUUUUCCAAGGCCUCUGAUCUCGCAACUGCCAGAUCAGGCUUCGUAAUUACCAAGAAGAUAGGCUUGGUAAUUGCGAUCCCAGUGUCACAAUUGCGAACCAAGCAUGGGUAGGCUAUGGUCGCAAAUGCACCCAUUUCUCGCAAGUGCAAUGUCGCAAAUGUGAAUGUGACUGGAUUUUCCCUUUAUCGCAAAUGCAACAGAUUCUUUGUAUUUGCGAAGACAAGACGUCCUGAAGGGGGUCGCAAGUGCGACACCUGCGACUAAUGAAUUAGGACAUAGACGCAUUUUUCUUCAUUUUUCAAACUCUCUCAAACCCUAAGCUCUCUUGGUCAGUUUCUAAUGAAUAAUUCUUCUCCAAAUCAAUUAUAUGUUAUUUCUAACUCAUUUUCUUUAAUCAAUAACCUCUUUUUACAUGAUUUUAACUCAAUAUCAAGGGUUUUCAUGGGGGAAAUUGGGUGUUCUACGUAUAGCUUAGGAUUUUCAAUUUUUUGGGAUUUGGACCACGAUUAGAGGUCAAAUUUCAAAAUAAAUUAAAUAUUUGAGUUCGUGGGCGAAUGGUAAUCGGGUUUUGGUUCGAACCUCGGGUUUUGACCAUGUGGGUCCGGGGUCGAUUUUUGACUUUUUGGGAAAAUCAUUGGAAAACCUAUUUUGAUGCAUUAGAAUUAAUUUAUUUAGCAUUUAUUGAAGUAAAUUGCGGCCACAUACGAGCGAAUUGGUGCUGGAAACAAGAGGUAAAGUAAUAGUUGACGCUUGGAUUGUGCCUGUGGCAUUGAGGUAAGUGUUUGGCCUAACCUUAGCUUGAGGUAUUAGAAGUUGUGUCUUAUUUGCAAUAUGUGAAUUGUUGAGUAAGACGUAUAGGCAGGGUGACGAGUAUCUAUAUGUUAGUUUCAAUAAUUCCCGUGAGUCUUAUAAUAUGAUUAAUGUAACUUUGUUUCGUAUUGUCCAUGUUUUAUAUGAUAAUUUCUAUUGUUAAUGUAUCGACCCGAACCUCGGGUUUUGACCAUGUGGGUCCGGGGUCGAUUUUUGACUUUUUGGGAAAAUCAUUGGAAAACCUAUUUUGAUGCAUUAGAAUUAAUUUAUUUAGCAUUUAUUGAAGUAAAUUGCGGCCACAUACGAGCGAAUUGGUGCUGGAAACAAGAGGUAAAGUAAUAGUUGACGCUUGGAUUGUGCCUGUGGCAUUGAGGUAAGUGUUUGGCCUAACCUUAGCUUGAGGUAUUAGAAGUUGUGUCUUAUUUGCAAUAUGUGAAUUGUUGAGUAAGACGUAUAGGCAGGGUGACGAGUAUCUAUAUGUUAGUUUCAAUCAUUCCCGUGAGUCUUAUAAUAUGAUUAAUGUAACUCUGUUUCGUAUUGUCCAUGUUUUAUAUGAUAAUUUCUAUUGUUAAUGUAUCGACCCGAACCGCGUCUCAGGUGUGAUCGUCUGUUUUCCCUGUUUUAUGCUUUUAUAUGUUUCAAUAUAUGUAAUUGGAGGGUUUUGAUGUAAUUCGGAUGGAGUUUGUAUCGAAAUGAGACAAUUAGUCUGUUUAUGAGAAGGUUAGUUUGGAAAAGUCAACCGAAUGCUGACUUAUGAGUUAGAGGGCUCGAAUUGAAUUCGCAUGGUUACACUAGCUCCGUUAGGUAAUUUGGAUGUGCGUGCAAAGCUUCAGGUCAUUCGGAAGUUUUUAAGUCGAGUUUUGAUCAAAUACGUGUUUCAAAAGUUUUUUAAAAACUUAGGCCCAAAUUCGAUGCGAAUUGAUGGAUUUGAUAAUGUUUGUGGUGUUUUGUUGAUUGUAACAACUUCAACUAAUGUUAUGGGAUAUGUUGGAAUUUUGAUUGAGGUCCCAAGGGUUUCGAGGUGAUUUUCGGAUGGCCGACCGGCACCUUUGAAGUUGGAAAAUUUCAUAAUAGACGAAAUCGUAAAUGAGUGUGCACAAGACCUCACUUUAAUGGACCAUAUCUCCAUUUAAAUAAUGAUCUGUGUGGGUAUCUACCUAACAUAUUGAAGCCCUUUGAGUCUACUUUCCAACGCAACAAACCGUGUAUCAUUUGGAGGUGUACAUAGAAAGUUAUGAAAAUUUUACUGGCCAUGUGUCACUAUCGCGCCCAGAUGCGCACCCGCGCUAAAAUGUGCGCGUCCAAGAUAGAACGCUGGGCAAACUAGCGCGCCCAGAUGCACGCCCAAGUGCACGACCGCACUAGUAACAGGCCUAUGAAUUCCCCAAGACCGUUCUAGAGUGUUCCCAAGUCAUUUUUGAAGUUAAGGCUUGCUCUCUCAAGGGGAUUUCGUCCCAAACUUCAUCCCUAUGAUACAAGGUAAGGUUUUUGGAAUACGUUAAGUUGAUUACUACUCCUAAACACUUUUAUGAACAUGGAUUGAUCUUGAGAAUCCUUUGAUUUCAUUCAAAGCACUUCAAGCUGGCAAGUCAAGGAUACAGGAUGGAUUUUUCCAGGGUGUGUAAACUUCCUUAGAUACAGCCACAUGUGCGGGUAACCACAGAAUGAGCCUACUUUAUGCACUUCCGCACUAAGCAGGCAAGCCAACUACACAAGCAAGAAGGCAUUGUCUGCGGCUUCCAAUCCAAUGACAAGAAACUCUGUUAGAUCUUUAUCUGGAAAAAGCUGGAAGAAAGGCGAGAAAGAAAGGUUGCCUACUACUAAUAAGGGCAGGUAAGAAAGUGAUGUGAGGUGAGAGUUGAAUUUAUCCUUUAUUUUGUCCUUUCCAUUCACUCGGAUUUCUUCCGUUUCAUGGAUCUAUAUGGGGCUUCUACUUCAAAGCUAUUCACUUCUACUUGAACCAUUGAAAGGGUAAGGGGUAGGAAUAUAUAUGCCUGCAAGGUGUUUGAUAAUAUGCCUAAAUGGCAUAAGUUAUGGAGUUUAUUAUCAAUAUUGGUCCUAUUGAAUGUUUUAUUGUAGGUUGAAGUUACCUAACUGUAUUAGAUCAUUGUAGUAGCACUAAGGGACGAAUUUCAGAUAUAUAUAUGGGUUGCAACCCCGUCUUUUAGAAAUCGAACUUUAUCUAUGUUUGUGUAUUUUUGGGCAGAUUCGACACGCGAGGAGGUCGGUACAAGAGGAAAAGGCAUUGCGGACCAGUCUACGGCCGGCUAGAGGUGAGUAGUUUGUAUAGANNNNNNNNNNNNNNNNNNNNNNNNNNNNNNNNNNNNNNNNNNNNNNNNNNNNNNNNNNNNNNNNNNNNNNNNNNNNNNNNNNNNNNNNNNNNNNNNNNNNNNNNNNNNNNNNNNNNNNNNNNNNGUUUGAAACCCCGGUUUAUCACAUCGUGACGCUAUGUUAGGGAGUGACUCGCACCCCAUAGUAGGUGCGGGAUUGUAAAUGAUUGGGGAUUGUGACUUUGUCCAUCCCGAGAGCUGAGUAUGAAUUAUUGGCGUCUGAUACGUACAUGGUGUUGUUGAUAUUUGGGCUGGAUGCCAUGCUUGAGGCCUUGUGCUGAUCUGUAGUACCCGUCUAGGGUGAAUAUCAGUGUGAUAACAUGAUUUGCAUAAUCAUUAAUCUCAGUCUUGUAUUAUUCACUAUUAAUAAAUGCUAAGUCACCGUAUUUUUCUUAAAUUGACUUAUUAAAUUGUAUUCACCUUAAUAAAUUGGAAACUGGCAAAUAAUCAGAUUGAAUAUGUUAUAUGACUUAUAUGCAUACUGUGGACUGAGGAUGGAUCGGGCUGCACGUCGCAGCGGUUAUACAUUGAUAUUGCACUUGGGCUGAAGGAGUUCUACGGAGUCUGUACACACCCCCAUUGAGCGUCGUCGACGUUAAACAAAUAUGGUUGUCUUGAGCUGCAUGCCGCAGCAUAUUCAUGUGCAAUGCAUUGCAUUUGUAUAUGAUACUUGAUUGCUAUUUUGAUAUUGUUGUGCUGUUAUUUCAAAGCUAAAGUAGAGGACUGUUAGUUUUAGCUUUGCAAUGUGGCAUUUCGUGGAUUUCUUACUUUCAGACAUUUUUCUAUGCUUAUUAUUCACUGAGUCGGUAUUAAUCACCCUUACUCCCUGCACCCUGUGUGCAGAUUCAGGUACACCGGAGGCUUAGCUGACAACCGUGGUCUUCAGAGAUAUUUCCAGAGUCGUUCAGAUAGUUGCAUGACGUUCGUAGGACCUAGCUGCUCUUCAUUUUCCAGUUUAUUAAUAAUAUAUACAUUCAAGAUUUUAUUAUUCCCAUUCACAUAUUAUUAUCUAGUUUUUUUUGGAGGCUCUAGACUCGUGACCCCAGAUCUUUGGGAUUGAUUAUUCAGAUUUCGUAAUAUUCUAUUAUUAUCGGUUCAUUAUUCUAAACUACUAUAAUAUUCUUAAACUGGCGGUUUUGAGACCAAGUAUUUAAUAGAAAGUGAGUGUUGGUCAGGCUUACCUAGCUUUAGGGCCGGGUGCCAUUACGACCGGGAUCAGAGACUAGGUUACUUGGCCUCACGAGUCAUGAGCCGGUUUAGUAGAGUCUUGUUUAUGGGUGUGUCGUGUACCGCACUUAUAAAUAGGAGGCUACAGAACAUUUAGGAAGCACUCCACUUUCUUGAAAUCUUAUCGUGCGUCCUUGAUUCAGCCUAAAAGAGUAACUCCUAAAAUUCCUUCCUCACGCCUGUAUGCAUGCAUGAGCGCUCUGUAUUAUAUAUGCUUCGAUAGAUUGCAAUUCUUCGAUUGAGGGGCGAGAUGUAAUCUUCGUGUGGAUGAUAUUGGUCCAGUCUGGAGGACUUGAGGCCGGAUAUUGCCUAGGGCUUGAGCACUGAGGUACAGACCGUGUGAGCAAUUAUUUUAGACUUAGAUGUUAGGUAUGUCGUUGUUAGCUUGCAUGGAAGUUUGGAAUUUGUGUGAUGAGUAUGCUAGUACUGCGAGAUGCAAUUAAAUGACUUGGUGGUGAUGAGGAAGUCUGCUGGGUAAUGGAUGAAGUGUUAAUUGAUUUGUUUCCUGUCGUGGUUCGAUGUGUAGCCCGAACAUAGCACAUGAAGGGUCUUUUCAAGUCUCCUAGUGGAGUGAAGUAAAUUGCAUGAUACGAUAUGAGUUCAGACUCAGGAAGACUAAGUAGCUGUGUAAUGUGUCAGACGAUUGAGGGUAUGUAGAGAUGUUAUAUUGAGGUGAAGCAGGUAGGUUAUCUCCUGCGGAGUGUUCUGAAGUGAUGUGAUUUCUUAUGUAUAUCGUGAGAAGAUUUCAUGUGUAAUUGAAAGGUAUUUUGUAUGUGUUAUGAUUCGAAUAGGUGCAACGAAUGUCCAUAUUACUUUUGAUAGUAGAAUACACGUAGUGUUGAGAUUAAUGUUGUUGAUAUACAUUGUGAUGCUUUGUCAAGUUGUGGACGUGUUGUUAGGAUGGUUUUUUGUGAUUCUCUGGCAGGUGGAUAGGCUCGGUUACAAAGAAAACUCUGCCAAUUUUUUUGAAAAGUCUGGGACUUUGUAAAGAACUUUGUCGCCUGGGCUCAAGUAAUAUCUGAAUGAAUGCAAGAAUUGCAGAAGAGUUAAAAUUUCUGAUGACUCGUGUUUCCACAAGCUUAUGAAAAGUGAGUUUACUCUCACCAUGAUGUUAUGAUAGCAAAAGAGUAUAUGUGUUGUGGUAUAUAUGGCUUCGAGCUAAGUUGGGAAGGUUGCCGUUAGCUGAUUGUACGAUUACGUAAUAUGUUAAUUCCGAUUUGAUGCAUGCGGGUGAAUCGGUUCUGGUUGCAAAAAUUUAGCCAAGGGUGGCACGAGUGAAGCUAAAUUUGAAUAGAGGUUAUAUGGUGCUUAGUAGUUGUGAGAAAAUAAUAUGACAUCUUGAGUUGUUGAUAGGAAAUGCUUAUUGUAAAGAGAAGGAAGUUGUUUGGUUGUAUCGGAAUGAGAUCAUGUCCUCAUGUGUCAGAGUGCUGAUAAGGCAUGAGUGGUUCGAUUCGUUAAGUCAAGUAAAUUGCAAUAGGUAUAUGAGUGGAUGACUCUUGAGAAUGAUUUUGAUGUGUUGAAGAUUCUAUAUGUAGCACUCGGAUGUUUUAUGGUUGGGUGGGUGACCAAGUCAGUGAUUUCAUUAGAACAUGUCAAGACUUGUGGUAUUUUUACGUCAAUUACGGGAUUCUAUGUAUCAGUAUCUGGGAGGUAAAGGUAGCGGACUUAGAUUCGCAAGUUCUUCAAAGUAAGGUACUUUAGAAAUGGUAUGUUUGGGAAUGUUUGAGAGAGUGUGUAGUGGCCUAUGGGUCUUAGACAGUGUGGUCUUACGUUCGAGUCUCGUGUGGUAAGACUGGGUUCAGUCAUUGUGGCGCUACAGCAAGAGAGUAUAUUAAGUUAAAAAUGAAUCAUAAAAAAAUCUAGACAAAUGAAGUAGCUUGUUAGCGGACCGAAUCGAUAUGGUAAAGAUAUGACCAAUUCCUUGUUUAGUUUGAAGUAAGGAGCCUUUACGGGUAUUGGGCGGCAGAUCUUUUGAGCUCGGAUAGCUUGCUAAGGCUGGUAUGGAUACAAGGAUUUGGUCGUGGCAGUAUAGCUUGUGGUUAGGAAAAAGGGAUACGGAGUUCUCAGGUUACCCUAGUAUGGCAUAGUAUGUGCGGUCUGUUGUGGAGGAUUGGGAUUUGUGUGUGUAAGGUAUGGUUUAGUUCCGAAUGGAAAGUCAUUAAAUUCUUAAGCAGCUCGGGCAUCUGCAUGUGAUUUAAGAAGCUACCCUCAGAUGAUUAAGGAAAAUGGCAUUACAAUUCUAGUAAUUUGACAGGAAAUUCAGUAAGAGCGGAAUGGUUGUGUUGCAAGGAAAAGCAGACGGCCUGUAUGAGUUGCUUUCUUUAAUUUAGCCUUUGAGGCGGGAGGCAGUGUAGAGGUUUUUACCAGUGAUUCUGUUCCGGCAUUAAGGGGCUUUUCGGAUGCCUGUUCCAGUCUGAGUCAACUCGGUUGGCUCCGAAUUGUAUUCUCGAGGAAUAAGUUUACUCGACCAUUGCUGAGCUUCUCAGUGAUCUGGAGAGAUCUAUGAGUUGUUUUCUACGUUGCGAGACAUUAUGAUUUACGAACUAUGGGAAUAUAUGGUACGGCGCUAUCGAGAUUCAUAGUGGAAAUUGGAUUUUGUAGCUUACACCGCCAUAAGUUGAUAUGAUUAAGCAUUCAGUGUGCUUGCGACCGAUACUCGGUACAUUGUGAUUAUGAGCAAUUUCGGCUCGAUGUGCAUCUCCCUACGUGAGAUAGUUGAGUGGAUCAGGUGGCACGCAGCCACAGGGUAUAUUAUCUGGAACGGGUUGCGCGCCGCAACAGUGUGACAUUGAGGAUAGUUUCCGUGUGUUACUUUGUAUACCUUGUUUCCUGGUUUCUGAGGAAAGUCCGUAUUGGGAGUUGCUCGGCGAAUAGCGCAUAGACUAGGUUCUUUCAGGAUUUAAUUGUGUAUAUAGCUCACUUCCUCGCGGGUGUGAUGGAUUGCUUGGGUUCGGACAUCAAUCUGUGUGUGGUUGUCAAGUUCGAGUGUAACGACUUGAGGUGCUUCAUGUGGAAUGGUGUUGGAUAAGGUCGCGCAUUAUAGCGAGGCUACGUGGAGAUUAGACCCUUCGGGAAAGUUUCAUGUAUUCUAUUCCUAUGAUGUGAGAUGGGGUCUCAGCCUUGUGUUGCAAUGGUAUUGAUGAGCUUAAGGUACAGCUCUUUCGUUCGAGUCAUUUUCAUGACUUGAGUAUGUUCAAACAGUCUCUUAUUGGUGUGUGUGUUAUGGAAGUUGUGGCUCAGGCCGUACUGAAGUGUCAUGUCAGCAAGAUGGUGUAUUUGAUCAGAAGAGACCUUUGGGGUCAUUAAUGGAUGCGAACGGAUUUGGUCUCAGCUUGUUGGAAGGUUAAUAUCGGGUUUCGGCUCAGAGAUCUGUUGUGGUAUUUGUCAAAGGGAAAGAAAUGUAUUCGUGAAUGGUUGAUCUGAGGAAUGGUUCUGGUCUACUGCGUGCUCAUUAUCAUUGAUAGAGCAUAGCUGUGUUGGGAUAAGACCUUAGCUAAUAAGAGGUUCCUAUCGAUAAUUGAGUAUUUUGGGAAACUGUUGUGAAUAGAGACUAUCGUUUCGAGGGUCAAAUUGUGUGGUUUGUUGCAUGGGUUCACCUAAAGUUUCAAGUAUGGGUUAUCACAGCCAGUUCAAGCUUAUUCUGACCAUAAAUGGGAGGUUCUGGUCUUGUGUAUGGUUUUAUAGGUGCAAUGUGAUGCUACGGUUAUGGUCUAGACGGCCUGUGAAAUUUUAGCUGUGUGGUGUUAUCGGGCAUAUGUGAGUUACAUUGACGUGGGAUCACCUCGGGUGUAUGGUUGGUAAGGUCAUUCAGCUAUUGAUUGGCCCCUAGUACAACUUUGAGUACGCUCGGGGGUGAGCGUUUGUUUAAGAUGGGGAGGAUGUAGCAACCCGACCCGCCGUCUCAGAUAUUAUCGCCCCGUUUCCCCUGUUUUGUGCUUUUAUAUGUUUCAAUAUAUGUAUUUGGAGAGUUUUGAAGUAAUUCGGAUGUAGUUUGGAUAUAAAUAAAACAAUUAGUCUGUUUAUGAGAAGGUUAGAAGGCUCGUAAUGGAAUUUCGACGGUUGCAGUAGCUCCGUUUGGUGAUUUUGGAUAUGCGUGCAAAGUUUCAGGUCAUUCGAAAGUGUUUAAGUCGGGUUUUGAUCAAAUGUGUGUUUCGAAUGCUUUUGGAAAACUUAGGUUCGAAUUCGAUGCGAAUUGAUGGCUUCGAUAUUGCUUGAGGUGUUUUGUUGAUUGUAACUACUUUGAAUAAUGUCAUGGGAUAUGUUGGCAUUUUGAUUGAGGUCCCGGGGUUAUGGGGUGAUUUUCGGAUGGCUAACGGGAACCUUUGAAGUUGGGAAAUUUCAUAAUAGACGAAAUCAUAAAUGAGUGUGCACAAGACCUCACUUUAAACGCCCAUAUCUCCGAUUAUAUAAGAAGUUGUAUGGGUAUCUAACUAUCUACUUAAAGCCCUUUGAGUCUAGAUUCUAACGCAACACACCGUGUGUCAUUUGGAGGUGCACAUAGAAAGUUAUGACUAUUUUACUGGGCAUGUGUCACUAGCGCGCCCAGAUGCGCGCCCGUGCUAAAAUGUGCGCGUCCAAGACAGAACGCUGGGCAAACUAGCGUGCCCAGAUGCGCACCCAGGUGCGACCGUGCUAGUAACGGGCCUAUAAAUGCCCCAAGACCGGUCUAGAGUGUUCCCAAGUCAUUUUUGGGGUUACGGCUUGCUCUCUCAAGGGGAUUUCAUCCUAAACUUCAUCCCUAUGAUACAAGGUAAGGUUUUUGGAGUACUUUAAGUUGAUUACUACUCCUAAACACUUUUAUUAACAUGGAUUGAUCUUAAUAAUCCUUAUAUUUCAUUCAAAGCCUAUGAGAUAAGGUAAGGUUUUUGGAGUACUUUAAGUUGAUUACUACUCCUAAGAACUUUUAUUAACAUGGAUUGAUCUUGAAAAUCCUUAUAUUCCAUUCAAAUCCCUAAUUGAUUCAAGAACACUCCAAAUUGGAUUCUCAAGAUUCUUACUACAAGAGGUAUAUCUAUCAUCUCUAACUACUCUAUGGUGAUUAUUUAUUUAUGAUAUAUACAUUAGAACUCAUGGGAUGAUGAUGGAAAACCAUAAGUGCCUAACCUAGCUUUUGUUAGUUGUAAAGAUUGUGAAAAUGGUUUAAAUAAGGAGGUUGAUGGUUGGGUAUGAAUGAAUGGUCAUACAUAUGUUGUUGGAAGUUUCAAAUUGGUUAGGAAUGAUGGUGGAGUAAACUUGUUGGUUAAUUGGUGAUAGUUGGAUGAACCAACACUAUUGUUAGGAGGUGUAAAUAUCUAUGCCUACAAGGUGUUUGAUAAUAUGCCUAAAUGGCAUAAGUGAUGGAGUUUAUUACCAACAUUGGUCCUAUUGAAUGUUGUAUUGUAGAUUGAAGUUACCUAACUAUAUUGGAUCAUUGUAGUAGCACUAAGGGACAAAUUUCAGAUAUAUAUAUAUAUAUAUGGGUUACAACCCCGUCUUUUAGAAAUCGAACUUUAUCGGUGUUUGUGUGAUUUUUGGGCAGAUUCGACAUGCGAGGAGGUCGAUUCAAGAGGAAAUGGCUUUGUGGACCAGUCUAUGGUCGUCUAGAGGUGAGUAGUUUGUAUAGAUGAUGGCCUGAGGGUUUGAAACCCCAGUUUAUCACAUCGUGAUGCUAUGUUAGGGCGUGACUUGCACCCCAUGGCAGGUGCGGGAUUUUAAAUGAUUGGGGAUUGUGACUUUGUCCAUCCCGAGAGCUGAGUAUGAAUUAUUGGUGUCAGAUACCCACAUUGUGUUGUUGAUAAUUGGGCUUGAUGCCAUGAUUGGGGCCUUGUGCCGAUCUGUAGUACCCGUCUAGGGUGAAUAUCUGUGUGAUACAUGAUUGCAUAAUCAUUAAUCUCAGUUCUGCGUUUAAUCACCGAAAUGAAAUGCUAAGUCACCGUAUUUCUGAAAUUGACUAAUUAAACUGUAUUCACUUUAAUAAAUUAGAAACUGACAAAGAAUUAGAUUGGAUCUGUGUAUGUGACUCAUAUGCAUAUUGUGGACUGAGCAUGGGUCGCGCUGCACGAUCCGCAUCGGAUAUAUAUUGAUAUUGCGCUUGGGCUGAAGGAGCCAUUGCGGAGUCUGUACAAUUGAUCUCAGUCCUGUGUUAUUCACUGUUAAUAAAUGCUAAGUCACCGUAUUUUUCUGAAAUUGACGAAUUAAAUUGUAUUCACCUUAAUAAAUUUGAAACUGGCAAAGAAUCAGAUUGAAUCUGUUAUGUGACUUACAUGCAUACUGUGGACUGAGGAUGGCUCGGGUUGCACGCUGCAUCGGUUAUAUAUUGAUAUUGCGCUAGGGCUGAAGGAGCCAAUUCGGAGCCUGUACACACCUCCAGUGAGCGUCGUCGACGUUAAACAAAUAUGGUUGGCUCGGGCUGCACGCCGCGGUGUAUUCAUGUGCAUUGCAUUUCAUUUAUAUCUAAUACUUGAUUGCUAUUUUGAUAUUGUUGUGUUGUUAGUUUGUAGCUAGAUUAUAGGACUAUUAGUUUUAGCUUUGCUUUGUGGAAUUUCGUGGAUUUCUUACUUUCAGAUAUUUUUCUAUGCUUAUUAUUCACUGAGUCGGUAGUACUCACCCCAACUCCCUGCACCUUGUGUGCAGAUUCAGGUACACCGGAGGCUUAACUGACACUCAUAGUCUCCAGAUGUUUCCAGAGUUGUUGAGGUAGCUGCAUUUGAGUCGGUAGUACUCACCCCUACUCCCUACACCUUGUGUGCAUAUUCAGGUACAUCGGAGGCUUAGCUGACAAUCAUAGUCUCCAGAGAUAUUUCCAGAGUCGUUGAAGUAGCUGCAUGACGUUCGCAGGACCUGGCUGCUCUUCAUAUUCCAGUUUAUUAUUAUCACAUACAUUCUAGAUUUUAUUAUUCCCAUUCAGAUAUUAUUAUCUAGUUUUGUUUUGAGGCUCUAGACUCGUGACCCCAGAUCUUUUGGGAGUGAUCAUUCAGAUUUUAUGAGAUUCUAUUAUUAUCGGUUCAUUAUUAUAAAUUACUAUAAUAUUCUUAAACUGGCGGCUUUGAGACUCGGUAUUUAAUAGAAAGCGAUUGUUGGUCAGGCUUACCUAGCUUUAGGGCUAGGUGCCAUCACGACCGGUUUUGGGUCGUGACAGUUAAACAAGGCGUGUGGAAGUAUUAUUGGUAAUUGAACAUGGUAGAGCGUAGUCUCAAGCUGAGAAUUAAUUUGUGUAAGUAAAUGGGGAAAAGAGAAGAGGUUUAUUGUCUCCCUUGCCGGUAUGUUAUUGCUUUUGAUAUUAUCUCCAUUGCCAGAAAUUAUUACUCAUGAUAUUGUCUCCCUAGCCAGGAUUUUGUUGUAUGCUAUUGUUCCCUUGUCGGGAUUUUAUUGUGAUAUUACCGAUUCCCUUGAUCAAAUUGCUUUGUGAUUGUUGCUUGGUAAGGAAGAGUGUAAAGCACUAAGGGUGAUGCCGUGCAUGAGUUUGAGAGAGUUAAUGCACAAAGGAUGAUGUCGUGCCAAUAUGGUGAGGUAAAAGCACGAAGAGUGAUGUCGUAUCGCAUAAUGUACCAUGUCGUGCCAUGAUAUGAGUGAUAAUGCACGAAGGAUAAUUUCGUGCCAUGAUUAUGUGUGGUAAAAUCCUGAAGGGUGACGCCCUGCCGAUUAUAUUGUUUCUUAUGGUGAGGACUAGAGUAAUAGAACGAAGUGUGAUGUCGUGCACUUGUCUUUAAUUUCCGAUUCUUGUUGAUAAUCGAAUCAGGGUGAGCUUUACAUUUAUCUGUUGGUUUUCUGUUGUUACUUGUUGUUCUCCGGCAGCAUGUUCUCCCCACCCCCUACCUGUAAAUUUCAGCUUCUAUUUUUCCGAUGUAUAUGAUUUAAUUGCACAGGUUUAUUUGGUAGGCUUGUUUUUGCCUCGUCACUACUUCGCCAAGGUUAGGAUAGGCACUUACUAGCACAUGUUGAUACCCAAUAUUUUCCUAUAUAUUUUAAAUAUGCAAACUAUCUUCAAAAUAGCAAAUAUAUAUGGUUCCUGUAUUUUUAUUAUCUUUCCAUAAUUUUUAAGGUUUUAAAUUAAUUUAUUUUCUCCCUUUUUCUCCGUAAAAUUACCAAUAAUUAGUUCCAAAAUUAUUGUUUUGCUAGUUCGACUAUUGUAAUAUGUACUUAUGCCAAAAUAUGGCUAAAAUAAUUUUUACAUAUUUUUUAUUAUUAUAUUUAGUAUUUUUAAAGCUAAAUUGUAUAUAACUACAAUAUUAACCCUUUUAAGGUUUAAUUAGGUUUUAUUUGCACAAAUAUGGAUCCUGUAUUUCUAAAUUGCAGAUUAUGCAUGGUAAAUCAUUUUAGCAUUGCAAAAUUAUUUUUAUAAAUAAUAUACUAUUUUCUAUAAAUUAAAUGGUGAAAAUGGCUAUUUAACUUAUAGCCAAAAAUUGGCUUUCGAAUUUAGCCUAAAUCAAACAAACCCCAACCCAAUUAAAAAACCUAUCGGACCCAGGCCCAAAUCCAAGCCAUACCUGACCCACCUGCCCCAUUCAAUAUGGAUCAUUGAUCAUUUAGAUCAACAGUCCCCAUUCCUCCUUCCUAAAUUAAACCCAAACGAGACCCCCCCCCCCAAACCUUCUCAUUCCUCACUCAACCGCCUCUCAUCUCUCUCUCUCUCUCACUAUCUCUGUUUCUCUGUAGAACCUUCUCCCCCACCCUCCUCUCCGAUAAACUUCAUCUACCUUCUCCGGUCAUCUCCUUGCAUGAAUCCAAGGUGGUCUCACCACCUACCAGCCUUGUGGAUCCCUUUUGAACAUGUGUCAUCAUUUUGAGGCGCUUAAAUAAACUAGAGGCGGUUCACUCGCCUCCCAUGGUUUCCCAGGCCAUUUUCCGACCAUCUAUGGUCGUUCGAGUAAGAUCUGUGACUUUUUCUGCUAAAUCGGUAACGUUUCUAAGUUUUCUCACUUUUUAUGGGUUCUCUGAAACCCUAACUUUAAAUAUUUUUUGAUUUUGUUUUAUAUUUGUCUUGGAUCUGUAUAUAUUAUGAAUCUCUUGAUGUUUUUCUCAAAGGUUUUCUUGAUUUUUUCAAAGUGACUCUCCGUCUUCAAGAUUAGGAUUUUCUUAACCUCUUUUAAACGACGUCUCCUCUUAUUUUCAGUAUUGUCAUAUGAUUUUACUAUGGUUAAACGGUUUGUUUAUGUUUUUCUUCUACCUGAUUCAUCGUGCUGAAAACAAGUAUUGUUGGUCUUAUCCGGGGUUCUGGAACUGUCUUUGUUUAUUUUGUAUAUGUUCAUGUUUUGUUUGAGUUCUUUAUGGUUAGAUCAUGUUCUUUGUUUGUCUUGAUUGAUUUUGAGUUCUUACCAUUUUUUAACUCAAAUUUUUUAAAACCCUAAUUUCUUAAAGAUUUCUUCACUUGUGUUAGCCAUGACUACUUGACUUUGUUGAUUACCAUGCUUCGAGUAGUCCUUAGCCUCCUCAUGUCACUUCUCUGUGUUUGUGUUCAUCUAGUUUGCUUCUUUUAUAAAUAUGGUUAACCUUGCAUGUCCGAUACGCAUGUUCAUUCUUCUCUAUUUAUAUGUCGAAGUGCAAAAUCAUAACUCCCUCUUGAUUGAUCUUGAUUUCCUUGAGUUAAGAUUUGAUUGCAAGGUUUUCUUAUAAACCCCUAAAAUUUUACUCGUUUGUUUAAGUUGAUUAAUUCCAUUCCUUUAUUUGUUGUGAUGUUUCACCCCUGCUAAAUCCUUUCUCCCAUCAGUGUAUUCUGUACUUAGACCCUAUCAUAUGCCCUAUUCUUUUACCACCCCUUAUAUGGUAAAAAUCGAUCUUUCUCAAGAUGAUUUUCUUUCCUUAACUAUCCCUGUUGGUAUCUGUUUGAGAUGUAAUUCCUUGAUUAAAGGGAGGUACUUGUAUUAAUAGGAUUCUAAUUGUGAUUGCUUCCAUAAUUAUGCUAAACCUUUAUAUGUUACCUUAUUUUCCACUUAUUUUUAAAGCUAUAAAUACCCUAAGUCUUUCAUUAAGGACACACGAACAAUUAGUUCAGAAUGCACACAUACAUACUCAAACUCUCUCUUCUUUCCCUACUAAUUGUCCUACUGCUUGUCUAGCCGGCUAAAAGCCAAGGCUAGACUGUGGAAUUCUAUUUGCUUUACUUUUCUACCCUUUGCUUUCUCAACUGGUAUGUCCUAGUUUAAUUUUAAAGUCUCAACAACAACAAGCUUCUCUUAUUGUUUCAGUUUUCUCUCAUUUUUGGUCUACUUCUACUUGUGGUUCUAUUGUAAAACCUGUAGUUUAGUUACAUUACAGGGAUGCUAUUAUGUUUCCCCUUCCUUUAUGUUGAUGCAUUCCUUUAUGUGUGUUUCCAAGAAUUCCUUUUCAAUCAUUUACUGUCUACUUACCAUCUUAUGAAUCCCAAAUCCCUAUCCCUUCCAUGUGUUUAUGUUCUUUCUGGCUGGUUUAUGAUUAUGCCAGUAUCAGCUAAUGUUGUGCAUGUCCAAACCAGACCCUUGCUAGGGUUAUGUGUUUACAGUUAAACAUCUCUGUAUUGAUCGUAGCAAACCCAACCAUACACGAUGGUAGGAAGAGCGGGCAAUAAAACUUUUACCCGAAUAGUGGUAUCGGGGUUGAUUUUACAUAGGGAGCUUGGAAUGGAGUUGCGUAUUUGUCUAGACUAGGAAUGUGUUUGUGCUCCUAAUUGCACUCCUAACAUUUUUGGAUUUUUGUUUAUCAACUACAGAUUAAGACUAAUUUAUGCUAAAGGAAUAUUUUUCAAGUUUUAAUUAAUAUAGAGAAAGGCACUUGGGUCUUGGCAUCACCUAGGUUUUUAACUAACGGGUAAAGACUACUAAUAAUAGAUUGGCAUAUUUGAGAUCAAUGUUAUAACCGUUGCAUAAUUUUACCCACUCUCACACAUCUCGGUAGAAAGAGUGAUUUUGCCCAAUUGACUCUCGAGAGACUAAUUGGGUAGGCCAAUUAGACCAAGCAACUAGGGUUCAAGUAGGGUGAUUACUCUCUUGAGGUCUAACCCGUUAAUUGAGACUACCAUUUCUCAUGGGUCCAUCCCAACUCCUUGUUGGGUCAAUUUUGGGGUCGUAGACUCUCUUUAUCAAGAAGAGUCAAGACCCACUAAGCUAGAAUCAAUGUUUGCAACCACCAAUCCUUAAUUAAAUUCUCAUGGGUCCAUCCCAAUUCCUUGUUGGAUCAAUCUUGGGGUCAUAGACUCUCUUUCUCAAGAAGAGUCAAGACCCACUAAGCUAAAAUCAAUGUUUGCUACCACCAAUCCUUAAUUAAACCAUAAAAUUAACCCAAAAAACAAACACCUAAUAUCAAUCUAUCAUUAAGAAGCAACACCCAUCAAUUACCCAUACUAGGGUUGAGCCACAACCCUAGCUAAUGGGGUUAACUAGACAUAAUUAAAGAAUAAAAAGAAGAAAUUGAAGAAGAAACAACCAUAUUAAUUAAUUGCUAAUGUUAAACUACAAUAAUCUAUGAAGAAAUANNNNNNNNNNNNNNNNNNNNNNNNNNNNNNNNNNNNNNNNNNNNNNNNNNNNNNNNNNNNNNNNNNNNNNNNNNNNNNNNNNNNNNNNAGCUAAAAAGCCUAAAAUAGGCUAAAACAUAUGUCUCACGAGCGCAUUAGCUAUCUGAUGUUCAAAACUUGACCUAAAAAUGGCAAAUGUUCUAUUUAUACUGGGCUAGAAAAUCUGGACAAAAUACCCCUUUGGGGUCAGUGCGGGCCGCAAAAACACGACCGUGGCCGCAGUUGGCUAUUUGACUUCUAAUUCUUAUUCUCUGAAACAUGUAUUGCGGACAACAUAAAGUUGUGAUACGGCCGCAUAGAGAACAGCGCAGACCGCAUAAACAUGUUUUGUGGCCGCAUGAAUGGCUUGUGUCUGAGCUCUGAACUCUCUUUGUGCGGACCGCGUGAACAAAGUGUACGGCCGCAUUAGUUGGAAGCGGCCGCGUGGCUCGCUACUGGAAACUGGCGCUUCUCUGAAAUCCUAUGGUGCAGCCACAUGACAAGAAGGUGCGGCCGCAUGAGUUGGACGGGGGCCGCGUGCAUUUGACCGCGGCCGCGUGGAUGGACUUGUAAUUUGUGCCAUCUCUAAAAUUAUCUAAUGCGGCCGCAUGACAUGAUGGUGCAGCCCGCACCAAACUCUGAAUUUCAUCACUUCAAUGAUCUUUGACACUGGAGCAGGUUUCACUCUGUUUUGAGCCGAUCUUUGACGUUUUGUCACUUUGUCGCUCAAACCUGCAAUCAAGCACAAUAUGUAAGCAUUUUGGGACUAAUUUGUAGCAAAUUAUACUCAAAGAGCAGGCAAGUAUGGGUAUAAAACAUGUUAAAAUCCUACUUAUCAACUCCCCCAAGCUUAAUCCUUUGCUUGUCCUCAAGCAAACAAAAUAAGACUCAUCCUUUAAAGGAAAUAUCCAAGCAAUUCCAGCUUAUCCUAAAAUAACCUCAACAAUCAUCAAUUGGGACUAACAAUUGUCCUCAAUAUGUAUGCAUCAUUAAUACAUUUUAAACUUUCAAAACUUGUGGAUCAAGUGUGACAUAAGAUCAUCAAGAGUUGACUAAUUUCAUCAAGGAACUUCUCUCAAUUACUUUGGUCAUUGUGGAACCCAAACUCACACAUCCUCAACUCUCCCUAAGCGAAACUCACCUUUUAGAGUAUUGACAGACAAACCGAGGUUGGUGGACUUUGACUAAUAUCUUACAAGAAGAGGGUCACAAAUCCGGCUUUAAGUACCAUAUGCUUCCCCCUUAUGUAAGUAUCAACUAAUGUAGGUUCCCUUCAACUCAAGAUCAUAUAGGGCUUUUGUGGAGUCACUGCGAAGGCUUUUGGGUAAGGAUAGCAUAUGUUUUUGUUCAAGUGGGUUCAAUCUUCACCUAAGCACUUCUUUUGUUUCCGUUUGGCAGACUUUCAUGACUCAUUAGAGUAUUCACUUCUUUUUCAAGUGAUUAGAGAAACACACUAUCACUAUUUUCUUCUGCAAUUCAACACAAAUCUCCUUUUUUCUACUUUUCCACACCCUUUUUUACUUUUGUUUUCUUUGAAUCCCCUUUUUGUUCUUAUUCACAUUGGUGUUUCUUUUUAUCUUGUAUUUUCUUUCUUUUUCAUUGCCUUCCUUUUCUUUUUCUUUUAUACCUUUUUACCACAUUGUUUCCUUUCUUGUCCCCCCUCCCCCCAAACUUAGACAUUUGCCAUUUACUCAAAUGAAGAUUUUGGUGCCAAGAGAGGGUAUCAUUAACAAUGGCUAUAGGCUUGUAGCUUUGGUUCAUGAAAGAAGAAAGUUUAAGGCUCAAAAGGGUUGACCGGGAUAAUUUCAUUGGUAUGUCAUGGAAUUGUUCAAUCUUAGCAUAUUGGAUCAAGGAAAGCUUAUAAUCUCUUCUUAAGCCAACUUUCACUAGGAUUUCGCCUCAAGAAAUAUUCGGGGCAAGUUCUAGACCAUCGGCAAGGAAUUUGGACUCGGAAAUUGAAUUCUCACCACACACACUCAAUGAUUGCUAAAGAUAUCAAGUCAAGGGCCCACAAUGACCUUAAUUACGAUUCAAGUGCACAAUGGUCCCACACGACCACAUGAUGACUGCUUGGUCAACACAAGAGUCUGAAGGCCAUGACUUUCACCAUCCUAAGCACAAUAUUAAAAAUCAAAAGAAGAAAAUCAACAACGGACUCAAUCCCUUAAGAAGGUUGUCACACCAUAUAUCAUUGGAAAAAGCCACCCGGUUAGCACAACACUCUACCCUUAGAAAGAACCAUGGCAUUAAGAAAACCAAGAGCUUAUUAAAAAUGCCAGAACCAAAACAUAUGGCUACGAGCCUAACUACGAAGCUAAAAACAAAAAUAUUUAACGAAAAUAGAAAAACCAAAUGAAUAUGUACAAUAUGGGAGUAGAAUAUACAACGGGGGAUAAAUAUAUACAUAAAGAAGAAAAGUAGCCAAAAUUAUAUACAAACCAACUAUCAAAUCUAAAAAGAGAAACUAAGAAUCAAAUAUAUACAGCCAUCCAAGUGUAUCAACUAAAAAACGCAUGGAGCACCCCCACGAAUAAAAGCUGACAUUGUCCCCAAUGCCAACUACCAAAUAAGCACAAAAUCAGAAAGAAAGGAUAUAGAGAGCUCCCUAGGCCUGGUCCACAUGCAUGGGGUCUCCAGUGGUCCCCGGAUCCUCUAUUGUGGUAGGGACCUCAGGCGGGUCUCUGGCCUGCUGCUGGACUGAAGCAGGGACAGGGUCCUACUGCUGCUGGACUUGCUGCACAUCAGGUUUCUCACUGAAGGGAGCCUCCUUAAUCUCAGCAAGCUCUAUCACAACUCCCUCAGUGUUGGGUAGCUUCUUCUUCUUCCUCGGCUGCCUCCUCCUGCCGUGGCUUUGGUGCUACUUCUGCUAGUAGAGGUGCUGACUCAUCAAAGAACAAGUCUAAAGGCAGUUGGUCUGCGUUUAGCUUAUCAACAUCAGCUCAGAGCACCUUCACCUCUUCCCUGGAUGCCCUGAAUUUCCAGAUCUUCUUUUUUUCUUUGGCAAGCUCCUUUAGAGCUUUGCCCUGUGUAUCAACUGCCUUUGUCAAGGCAUCCUGAGUCGCUAAAAUCUUCUCCUGGUGGGCCAGGACCGUCUUCCAUGUCUCCUCAAUAGACUGAGGAAUCUGGACAGUGGCUGGAGCAGACUGGGCUGCAACUAUAGUGGCCAAAAUGGACAACUUGGAUGUCGAGACUGACAUCCAGUUGUUCAAACUGGACAAUGUCUUUCCUAAGUGUUGGGCCGUCAUAGGGUUGGAUCUGGAGGUGGGAACCACUGGGUCAGUUGAAGAACUGAGGCCUGCAGAGGAAGAUGGAAUAUCAGGAACAGUGGUGGCAGCAGGGAUAGAUGGCUCAAUAGAAGCCUCUAGGCAACUGGCUCCUCAUAGUGGCUAGUUGUUGCAGAGGUGGAAGCUUUGCUCUUCUUGUCCCCUUCUGGGUUGUCUAGCCCUUGAAUACUAAACCACAAGAAUAGGGACACUGGCCGGACUUUGACAUCAAAGGGGUAUUUCUUCACCUUUGCAUGCUCAAAGUAUAUGGUGAGGGUGUUUGGGUAGGCGCAGUUCCGGUCAGUCACAAUCCCAAUCGACGUGAUCACCUUGAACAUAGCAUUCCCCACAUUGAUUGGGAAACCCUCCAUGAUAGAUGCAAUGAGUACCGCUCGAGGGAUAGGACUGGUCUGGUCAUGGGACGUAGGAUCCAACCUGUUGCAUACAAAUGUCAAACAUCCUCUCACGUCAAAGCUUAGGUCCUUUCUCAAAAUCUUCUUCCCAACCUGUAUCCAUUCGGGAAUAGUACCCCGAUGAGCCAAGAACUCUGCCAACCAUGGGCAAACUUCCUCUUUUAGCUCUAGCGUCUCUCUGUACUGGGCAUCAUCUUCAUCAUUAAAACCCAAAUAUUCAUUCAAUGUUUCUCCCGAAAACAAUAUCUUCUUUUCCUGCACUUUAGUUGAAAUUGACCCAUCUUUGAUGUGGGUCACAUUGGAGUAGAAUUCUUUUACCAUAUGUUCAUUUGGAUUGUCUACAAAAUUCUUAAAGAAAUCCCACCCCACUCUAGUAAGAAACUGCUCAUGGACUCGGCGAAGUAGUAGUAAUAAGUCCCUGGUGACUACUCUUCUCUCCGCAAUCACUUUCUUUUUAGGCCAUAUAUAUCAAAAUGUAUGGAAGGCCACCUGGCUCACAAACCUAUCCUGCCACACCUCAGCUUUUCUCAUUCUCUCAAUUCCACCAACACCCUGUACCCCAUUAUCCGGGACACUAUUGUCCUUAUUUGUUGCACCCUCCCCGGCUUCGGAAGUUGUAGGGGAGGUGGAGUAUUUGGCAAUACCUGCUUCUGAGCCAUCAGAUGACUCAGGUUGUGUAGUAGUUGGAGAUCCUGUUAGGACUCUUGGGGAUUUCCCCGAAUCAAUUGAAAAGUCCUGGAAGGGAGGUACUCACUCCCCAACUGCUCCGCAUCGCUCACUACUUGCUUUCUUGUCUUCAGUUUUGGUUGGGGAGUGAGUUUCUUCAAAAAUGCAUUAACUCCCCGGGAGGGUUCACCUCAUCCAGAUUGUUUAGCGCCAUGGCCUCUUUGCUUUACCAUUAUCUGCAAGCAACCACGUCUAGAAUUGUUAGUUCAGGAAAUUUCAGAAUAGUUCCAGAAUAUCAACAGAUUAAAACUAAGCAGACUAUCAGGAGGAAACAUUUCAGACAGUUGAACAGACUAAGGCACGCGGGCGGCACGUGGGCUGCAUAAACUAAAACAUGAAAAGGCCAUCUCUCUAAACAUCAUCCAUACGGGCCGCGUGAGGAGGGCAUGCGGCCAUAUGGGGUCCAACUCGGUUCGCAUAAAUUGGGAUGUGGGCUGCAUUGGUCAACUAAUCAAAUCACACACUCUCUGAAACUCACCCACUGCGGGCCGCGUGACAGAAGGACGCGGUCGGGACACGGCCGCGUCAAGGUCAUGCAGACCGCAUAAACAGGGACGCGGACACGCUGGGUUAUCAAUUCAGGGACAACUAUGUUUAACAUUACUGUUCAUUGCUUUCAAGUUCUAGCAUCCUAUAUUGUCCCUACUCAAUUAACAUUAUUACAACAACAUGCCCAGCAAUUAAAAACGACAACUACACUACCCUAAGCAUCCAAUUAAGUAGAAGUGAAGAAACAAGAAGUUAAAAUACUGGGAAAAUAAUAAAAAUUACAAUUAGUCAACUAAGUAAAGAUUAAUGUAAGAUCUUGUUACCAGGAAAGUGAAGAAAUAACUCUUGAUGCUAGCACAAAUGAGAGUCUCUAAGUGAAUAGUCAAUUUUUAGGGUUCAAAGAUCGAUUUGGCGAAAAGAUCUCAAUGAAGCCCUAGGGGUCUAUUUAUAGAAUAAAGCUGGGACCCAUUACUUGCCCUCCAACGCGGCCGCGUAAACACGACCGUGGGCCGCGCUAAUACUUACCAAUUAUAUGCUGCAGACACAGGGUCAUGCGGACCGUGUAACGGAGAACGCGGCCACAUGGGAUCAAUGUGGGCCGCUUAAACAAGGACGUGGUCGUGUGAUCUAACUUUAAAGACUAACCACCCUCAGGUUUAGCUGGUACGGACCGCACAAGUAGAGACGUGGACGCACUGGCACUGUUCGGUGACUGUGCACUUUUGUACUUUUGUUUUUCACUAGUUAAACACAAGUCCUUCAACAUCUCACAAACAAUUAGCUCAAAAAUCCUAAUCUACAACAGAAAACAAAGAAAAAGAAAAAGAUAUGGGUUGCCUCCAAGAAGCGCUUGAUUUAACGUCGCGACAUGACGUAUGUUACCAUCAAUAUCACUUCAAGUGUGUGAGUGCCACCACGUGGUUGUCAUCAAACCUCCCCAAGUAAUGCUUGACACAAUGCCCAUUUACCCGGAAAACUUCACCAUUUUUGUUCUUGAGAUCAAUAGCACCAAAUGGGGUUACACCAAAAACUUCAAAUGGACUACUCCACUUAGACUUGAGCUUUCCUUGGAAUAACCUCAACCGGGAGUUGAAACGAAGGACCAUGUCACCAACUUUGAACUUCUUUCCUCGGGUAUACUUGUCGUGAAGGUACUUUAUCUUGUCCUUUUACAAGGACGAGAUGGAGUAGGCAUGAAAUCUAAACUCGUCAAGCUCAUUGAGUUGAUCAACCCAAAUAUUCACCGCGACAUCCCAUUCUAAGUUCAAUCUUCUCAAGGCCCAUAUAGCCUUAUGCUCCAAUUCCAUCAGAAGAUCACAAGCUUUCCAAAACACCAAUCGGUACUGGGACAUAGCAAUUGGGGUCUUGUAAGCUGUCUGAUAGGCCCAAAGAGCAUCGUCUAAUUUCUUCGACCAGUCGGUCCUAUUGGCAUUGAUAGUUUUGGACAAGUUAAUCUUAAUCUCACGGUUGGAAACUUCCACCUGACCACUGGAUUGAGGAUGAUAAGGGGUGGUCACUUUGUAAUUCACUCCAUACUUGGCAAGCAAUGAAUCAAAGUUCUUGUUGCAAAAAUGAGAGCCCCUAUCACUAAUGAUAGCACGGGGGUGUCAAACCUUGUGAAGAUACACUUUUUCAGAAAAUGCAACCACACCUCGAGCCUCAUUUUUGGGCAAAGCCACAGUUUCGACCCACUUUGACACAUAAUCCACCGCCACCAAAAUAUACGUGUUUCCACAAGAGCUCACGAAAGGACCCAUAAAGUCAAUACCCCACACAUCAAAAAUGUCCACCUCUAGAAUUGUGAUUAGAAGCAUCUCAUCCUUUUUAGAAAUCCCACUGGCUCGUUGGCAUUCAUCACACCUCUUGACAAAAUCGCUGGUACCUUUAAACAAGGAGGGCCAAUAGAAACCGCAACUAAGCACCUUAGGAGCCGUCCUCACCCCGCCAUGAUGGCCACCAUAGGGAGAGGAAUGAUAAGCCUCCAAAAAUACACAAUUUUACUUCUUCUGGGACACAUCAGCGAAUCACACCAUCAAUGCAAAUCCUGAACAAAUAUGGUUCAUCCCAAUAAUAAUCCAAACUAUCCCGCUUGAGCUUCUUCCUUUGGUUAGAAGGGAGCUCAUAUGGGAUUAUACCGGUCACAAGAUAAUUGGCUACAUCGGCAAACCAUGCAUAUCAUGCAUGGACACCACAAGGAGUUGCUCAUCCGAGAACACAUCAUUGAUCUCAAGGCCAUCAGAAGGCCUCCCCUCUUCCUCCAAGAGGGAUAAGUGGUCCACCACUUGAUUUUUACUUCCUUUCCGGUCAAAAAUUUCUAGAUCAAAUUCUUGAAAAAGUAGCACCCAUCUCAUUAAACUUUCCUUGGAAUCUUUCUUGGUCAUAAAAUCCUAAGGGCGGCAUGAUCAGUAUGGAUAACCACUUUGGCCCCCAGAAGGUUUGGUCGGAACUUUUCCACGGCAAACAAUAUAGCUAGCAAUUCCUUCUCGGUGACUAUAUAGUUUCUUUGGGCUUCAUUCAUCGUCUUACUUGAGUAAUGAACUCAGCACCGGAUGGAACAUCUUGUUGAUUCUUUGGCCCAAGACCGACCCUACCACAACAUCACUAGCAUCACGCAUGAGCUCGAAAGGCAAUCUCCAAUUGGGCGCGGUAAUGAUAAGGGUUGUUGUCAACUUGUGUAUUAGAAGCUCAAAAGCCUCCAUGCAUUUCUCAUCAAAGACAAACUUGGCCUCCUUCUUUAACAACAUGCAUAACGGGUUAACUACCUUAGAGAGAUCUUUGAUGAACCUUCGGUAGAAAUCCGCGUGCCCCAGAAAACUAAUCACCCCUUUGAUAUAAAUAGGGGGAGGUAGCCCUGAGAUGACUUCGAUCUUGGAUUGGUCAAAUUUAAUACCUCUAUUCGAAAUCUUGUGGCCUAAUACAAUACCCUCUUCCACCAUAAAAUGGCAUUUUUUCCAAUUGAGAACUAGGUUUGUAUCUUCACAUCAGGCCAACACACUGUCCAAAAUUUUCAAGCAUUCCUGAAACUAUCCCCAACUACGCUAAAAUCAUCUAAGAAGACCUCCAGUAUAUCUUCCACCAUGUCGGUGAAACUUGCCAUCAUACAUCAUUGGAAGGUCGUUGGGGCAUUACAUAAUCCAAACAGCAUUCUCGAAAAUGCAAAUGUGCGAUAGGGACAAAUAAAGGUCAUCUUUUCUUGGUCUUCCGGGGCGAUGAAAAUGUGAUUGUACCCCAAAUACCCAUCUAAAAAGCAAUAGAAUGAUCGACACGCAAGGAGAUCAAGUAUUUGAUUGAGGAACAGCAAUGGAAAAUGAUCCUUUCGAGUCACCUUGUUAAGCUUUCUAUAAUCCAUACAAACUCUCAAUCCCGUUACCGUCUGAGUAGGAAUCAACUCAUUCUUAGCAUUGGUCACCAUAGUCAUCUCACCCUUCUUCGGUACAUAUUGCACUGGAGAAGUCAAUGAGCUGUCAGAAAUAGGAUACACCACAUCGGCGUCAAGCCACUUGAUAACUUCUUUUUUGACAACUUCUUGCAUAGCUUCGAUGAGUCUUCUUUGGUGUUCAAGUGAAGGCCUUGCAUACUCCUCCAAAAUGGUCUUAUCCAUGCAAAAGGCGGGGCUUAUACCCCGAAUAUCCGCCAAUGUCCAUCCAAUCGCCCUCUUGUGCUUCUGUAAAACUGCCAAAGUGGCGCCAACCUGCACGUUAGUUAAGCAAGACGAAAGCAUAAUAGGAAAAGUGAAAUUAGGGCCAAGUAUUGAUAUCAGAAGUGAGGAGGAAGUGGUUUCAACUCCAACACCGGCGGCUUCUCAAUAGAUGGAUUUGAGGGAGUUUUGUGAUUCUCAAGAUCCAAGGAUAACUUCCUAGGCUCAUAAGAAUACAAGCCCAUGCCAUGCAAAGCAUUUACGCAUUCAACUCUCCUGGCAUCAUCAUUAACAUCCAUGUUCAAAAGCACAGCUUAAAGUGGAUCUUCAACAUUAAUCAUUGCGCUUCUGUCAUCUACUAUCACCGCCGUGAUAAUGUCAACAAACGAGCACACCUCGGUGCUAUUUGGUUGUUUCAUAGACUUGCACACCUGGAACACCACCUUUUCAUCACCAACACAGAAGAUCAACUCUCCCACCUCGACAUCGACCAAAGCCUUCCCUGUAGCUAGGAAUGGUCUUCCGGGGAUAAUUGGGACUUCAAAGUCCACCUCAUAAUCUAGUAUCAUGAAGUCGGCCGGCAAGAUGAAUUUAUCAACACGAACAAGGACAUCACCGAUUAUAACCAAUGGCCGCUUCAUUGACCUAUCCGCCAUUUGGAGCCUCAUUGAAGUCGGGAGAGAUUGUCUGAUUCCCAAGGUAUUGAAAACCGAAUAUGGCAUUAAGUUGAUACUUGCCCCCAAGUCACAAAGUUCUUUUGCAAAGUCAUCACUUCCAAUAGUAAACGGGAUAAUGAAUGCACCAGGGUCCUCAAGUUUUGGUGCCAUAGAAUGUACAAUUGCAUUCACUUGAUGGGUCAUUUUGAUUGUCUCACACUCCAUUGAUCUCUUUUUUGUAACCAAAUCCUUCAUGAACUUUGCGUACCCCGGCAUUUGCUUGAGUGCCUCCACCAAAAGCACAUUGAUAGUCAAGCUCUUCAUCAUCUCAAUGAAUUUAUUGAAUUGGUUGUCACCCUUUUACUUGGCCAACCAUUGAGGAUAGGGAAGAGGAGGCCUAGGCAAGGGUGCCUUGGCUUAGGGCACCACCCGACUCGAGAAUAUCAAUCACGUGUUCUCUAGACGGGUUCACAGCUUCUUGUGUCUCCCCCUCAUCCUUGUGAAAAUCAAUCCGCAGAUCAUUACUAACACUUGGUUCAACUACAUCUUCAACCACCAAGGGCAUAUCAUUAUCUCGUAACUCAUCUUCAUCCACCAUAACUUGGUUUCCUCUUGAGACAUCCACAUCACUGCCUCUUCCACUUUGCGUUGUCACCGCCAUCAUAUAAUUGUUGUGCCUAGCCUUGGGAUUCACUACCGUAUCACUUGGUAGAGCACCCUUUGGGUGAGUAUUUAAAUAUUGAGAAAUUUGCCAAGUUGUACUUCCAAGUUACGGAUAGAAAUGUUGUGGGAGGCUAAUUGAGCAUCGGAGUCUUGGUUCUUCUUCAUCAUUUUGUCAAACAUAACUUCAAUUCUAUCAAAAUCAGUACCCGAAGAAUUAGACCCUUGGGAUUGAAACUGCAACGGGUUGUUCGGUUGGAGGCCUUUGAAAGCCUUGCCCCCGGUUGCCUCGACCACCAUUGUUAUUCUACCCAUCUAGCCCAUUGUUGUUUUAAUUGUUGUUGUUGUUUUUGUUCCAAUUCCCUUGAUUACCCAAAUUGUUACCCCAAUUUCCACCUUGGUUGUUGUUAUUGUUCCAAUUACCACCUUGUUGAUUUCCCCAAUUUCCUUGGGAUGUCCAUUGUUGGUUCCCUUGAUUACCUCUAUUCCCUUAAUAGUUGUUGAAGUAUUGGACUUCCUCACUUUGACCAUCAUAGCAUUCAUUCAAAUAUCCACCACCAUCACCAUAGUAAUCAAAAUUUCCUUGAGGUAGUUUCCAUCUUUGCCUACUUUUCAUCAUAUUUACUCCUUUAACAGAGUUGACUUGGCGUGGGUUUUGGAUUGUUGUUGUUGCGCCUUUGCCAAUUGAUUCAUUGUUGUUGUAAGUUCGGCAAUGACUUGGCCAUGAUCAUAUAACUCCUUAUGCAAAUGUAUGACAUUAGGAACACCUUGAGGAACAUUAGCCUGGUUUUUCCAUGCCGAUGAUGUAUUAGCCAUAUCAUCUAACACAUCACAAUCUUCAUUGUACGGAAGCUUCAUAAAAUUUCCUCCCGCCAGUUGGUUCAUAAUAAAUUGGUUGGUUUGUUGAUGCCCCAAUAGAACGUUUGUUGGAUAAUCACAUCAUGCAUAUCAUGUUUAGGGCACUCUUUCACCAUUGUUCUAAACCUCUCCCAUAUCUCAUGUAACGGUUUAGUUGACUCUUGCUUGAAGGCUAGAAUCACGUCCAGUAGAGCCGCCAUGUGACUUAGAGAGAAAAACUUACCGAUGAACUUGUCCGCCAACUCAUCCCAUAUAGUGAUGCAAUGAUUGGGGAGCCUAUCCAACUGAUCUAACGCCUUUCCCCGAAGUGAGAACCGUAAAAGUCUGAAUCUCAAUACAUCCUCCGAAACAUUUAUCUGCUUGAUACCCCAACAAGUAUCCAAGAAGACAUUCAAGUGUUUAUAAGUAUUCUGAUUAGAGGCCCCCGUGAAAAAACCUCGUUGUUCGAUCAAGGGGAGCAUCACAUUUGUAAUGUGAAAGUUCCCCGCCCGGAUUCGGGGAGGAACUAUUGCACUUGCGUACCCUUGAUUACGAAGAACUCUUGGGACCGCUCUUGGUCCCGUAUACUUGUGACCUUAUUUUCUACUUAUUUCCAAAGCUAUAAAUACCCUAAGCCUUUCAUUAAGGACACACAAACAAUUAGUUCAGAACAUACACAUACACACUCAAACUCUCUCUUUUUCCUUACUACUAGUGCUACUGCUUGUCUAGCCGGCUGAAACCCAAGGCUAGACUGUAGAAUUCUACUUUCCUUACUUUUUUACACUUUUCUUUCUCAACUGGUAUGUCCUAGUUUAAUUAUAAAGCCUCAACAACAACAUGUCUUUUAUUAUUUCAGCUCUCUCAUUUUCGGUCUACUUCUACUUGUGGUUCUAUUGUGAAACCUGUAGUUGAGUUACAUUACUAGGAUGCUACUAUGUCUCCCCUUCCCUUCAGAUUAAUGCAUUCCUUUAUGUGUAUUUCCAAGCAUGCCUUGUCAAUCACUUACUAUGUACUUACCAUCUUAUGAAUCCUAAAUCCAUAUCCCUUCCAUGUGUUUAUGUUCUUUCUAACUGGGUUGUGAUUAUGCCAAUAUCAGCUAUUGUUGUGCAUGUCCUAACCAGACCCUUGCUAGGGUUAUAUGUUUACACUUAACUAUAUGUGUAUUGAUCGCAUAAAACCCAACCUUACACGAUGGUAGGAAGAGCGGGCACUAAAACCUUUACCUGUAUAGUGGUAUCGGGUCGAUUUUCCACAGGGAUCUUUUAAUGGAGUUGCGUAUUUGUCUAGACUAGGAAUGAGUUUGUGCUCCUAAUUGCACUCCUAACAUUUUUGUGUUUUUAUUUAUCAACUACUAUUGUCAAUUACAGAUUAAGACUAAUUUAUGCUAAGGGGAUAUUUUCCAAGUUGUGAUUAAUAUAGAGAAAGGCACUAGGGUCGUGGCAUCACCUAGGUGAUUAACUAACGAGUAGAGACUACUAAUAAUAGAUUGACAUAUUUGGAAUCAAUGUUAUAACCGUUGCACAAUUGUACCCACUCUCACACCUCUCGGUAGAAAGAGCGAUUUUGUCGAAUCGACUCUCUCGAGACCAAUUGGAUAGGCCAAUUAGACCAAGCAACUAGGGUUAAAGUAGGGUGAUUACUCUCUCGAGGGUUAACCUGUUAAUUGGGACUACCAUUUCUCAUGGGUCCAUUCCAAUUCAUUGUUUGGUCAAUUUUGGGGCCAUAGACUCUCUUUCUCAAGAAGAAUCAAGACCCACUAAGCUAGAAUCAAUGUUUGCAACCACCAAUUCUUAAUUAAAGCAUAAAAUUAACCUAAAUAACAAAUACCCAAUAUAAACCUAUCAUUAAGAAGCAACACCCAUCAAUUACCCACACUAGGGUUGAGCCACAAUCCUAACUAAUGGGUUUAGCUAUACAUAAUUAAAAAAAGAAAAAGAAGAAAUAAAGCAACACCCAUCAAUUAUCCAUACUAGGGUUGAGCCAUAAUACUAACUAAUGGGUUUAGCUAGACAUAUUAAAGAAGAAACAGAAGAUAUAGAAGAAGAAACAACCAUAUUAAUUAAUUGGUAAAGUUAAACUACAAUAAUCUAGGAAGAAAUAAAUCCAAAAAUGCCCAAAAUAGGCCAAAACAUAUGUCUCACGAGCACAGUAGCUAUCUGAUGUUCAAAACUUGACCCAAAAUGGCAAAUGUUUUAUUUAUAGUGGGCUGGAAAAACUGGACAAAAUGCCCCUACAGGGUUAGUGCGGGCCGCACAAACACGACCGCGGCCGCACUUGGCUAUUUGACUUCUAAUUCUCGUUCUCUGAAACAGGUGAUGCGGACCGCAUAAAGUUGUGACGUGGCCGCAUGGAGACCACCGCGGACCACGUAAACAUGUUUUGUGACCGUAUAAAUGGCUUGUGUCUGAGCUCUGAACUCUCUUUAUGCGAACCGUGUGACAGAGUGUCCGGCUGCAUUGGUUGGAAGCAGACUAUGUAAACUCAACCACGGUCGCCUGGCUUGCUACCGGAAGUUGACACUUCUAUGGAGUCCUAUGGUGCGGCCGCGUGACAAGAAGGGGCAACCGAAUGAGUUGGACGCGGAUCGCAUGAAUUAGCCCCCGACCGCGUGGAUGGACUAGUAACUUGUUCCUUCUCUGAGCUUAUCUAAUACGGCUGCAUGACAUGACGGUGCGGCCCGCACCAAGCUCUAAAUUUCAUUACUUCAAUGAUCUUUGACACUUGAGCAGGUUUCACUCCGUUUUAAGCCGAUCUUUGAUGUUUUGUCACUUUGUCACUCAAACCUGCAAUCAAGCACAAUCUCUAAGCAUUUUAGGACUAUUUUGUAGCAAAUUAUACUCAAAGCGCAGGCAAGUAUAGGCAUAAAAUAUGUUAAAAUCCCACUUAUCAUGUAUCCCCAAAUCCCUUGACCCCCUGUGUGACUACUGAUUCUGCGUGAUCCCAUUUUAAGGUGUUUGAGUUUUCUUUAAUCUACAACUGCUUUCAAUCAUCUCUGUACUGAUUGCUUACAAAAUGACUUGUUAGUCCAGUUUUAAACUAACUCCUUUCAAACAUGUGUUCUGCACUUUCACUAUACUCUUAGAAUACUAGGUUCUGCCCCUUUUGUGUGAGCCUUGCCUUGGGACCCUUGAGCUCCCUCUGAACUUGGACACAUGUUGGCCUUUCCAUACUGCACGUACUCUGUCUUGGCUAUGAAAUCUAGGUGUGAGCACCGCUCGGGAUCCCUUGAGGUCCUUAGGGAACUUUGACACACCUAGAUAUGAGGGAAAACUAUGAACAAUAUUGGCAUUUGAAAUUAUUGAUUAUAUAUCUCAGAGAUGAAGUCCUAAUCAGGCUUCCUAUUGUGUAACUUCUUAUUUUCAUUGCUACUUAUGUAAUUCACUGAGAUGGUCUUAAUAAUUUGGAAACAAGUAUUGGGGUUGGCUAGUAAAAAGUGAUAGGGUAAAUAUGUAUGCUGUAGUUGUUAAGGGUAGAAAACAUGUUAUUAGGUUUAUGUUCCUAAUUGCACAAUAGAAACAAUGCUUAAGGUUGAUGCAUGCAUUAGAAAUCAUGCCUUUGGGUCUCAUGUUUAAUAUUUCAGCAUGUGUGUCCUUGCAAAAUCAUAUGAUAAAAUUAGCUAAUAAUUAGUAUUUUACUAUUAAUUUCAAUUCUUCUAUAUGCACUUAGAAAGCUUGAUCUUUGGAAAUUCUACAAUCCUGCCAUGUGCAUUUAGAAAUCCUGCUCUUAGGAAAUUCUGCAAUCCUGCCAUAUGCAUUUAAAAAUCAUGUUCUAGGAAUUCUGCGUCAAGAGUUUUAUACAUACACCGUAGAUACCAUGUUUUGAGGAUCUUCGUUGCACUUGCAUUCACACUUAGUGUAAUUUGCUAAUUAUAAAAGAGGUAAAAAUAGCUUCACAUUUGAUUAUCCUUCUUAAAAUAAUUGGUGAUAAUCUUUGCAUUCGUAUCAACUAGAACAUCAUGCUCUUAGGAUAAAAUAAUUUUCACACUAUUUUAAUAACUCAAAAUAACUACUGCAUAUUAGUUAUGCCUAGGCAAGCCUUAGGUAAUCGCUUUAAAUAAAAUCAGAACCAUCUCUGCGAUCAGUGUUUAAUUCUCAACUAUUAAAAUCAGUAAGCAAGUCUGAUUCAGACUUCUUUUCUGAGUCAUGUAAUAAAUCUGGUUCUGCUGUUAUCACUUAAACACCAUGCAUUAUGAUUUAAAUUCAGACUUUAAUUGUGUAUGAUUCAUGAUGUCUAUGUGCAUUAUUCGUGGAGGUAUAUCUGAGCCUUCUAUUGUUUCUGUAUUUUACCCUUUAAAUGCAGUCCUACUUGUUUUGUAUGUUGCCUUGGAAUUUUACCUUUAAACCUAAGGGUAUGCCUAUAUAACGACUCGACCAGUCAUUUUGAGCUCUAGCACGGCGUUCAGUACUCUGAGGCCAUGGGCAGCUUUAUUUCAGGUAUUAUGACUUGUACGCGUGGUCAAAAUUGAACUGCAGGAAAUUUAGAGUUGAUUUGGAGAGAGAAUUCUCAUUUCGGAAGCUUAAAGUUGAAAGAAUUAACUAGAAUUAGAUUCUUGAGUAAACAACCUUGGAAUCGCGAUCGAAGGUUCCAGCAGGUUUGUAUGAUGAUUUCGGACUUGGGAGUAUGCCCAGAUCGGGUUGUGGAUGACUCGAGAGGGUUUUUGCGCCCAUUGUGGAAGUUAGCAUUUUGGAUGAAAUUUCAUAAGUUUCGCUUGGAGUACAUUUCAGUAUUAUCAAUAUCCGUUUGGGAUUUUCUGUCUGGGAAAGCUCCGUUUGGUGAUUCUGGAGUUGGGAGCGCAAUCGGAAAUGAAUUCACAGGUCUGUAAGUCAUUUUGUAGUCAUUUGGCCAAAGAUAGAAAACUGAAAGUUUUUGGAGAAGUUUGAGCGGAAUUGGACUUUUUGAUAUCGGGGUCGGAUUCCGAUUCCGGAAGUUGUAGUAGGUCUGUAAUGUCAAAUUUGACUUGUGUGCAAAAUUUAAAGUCAAUCGGACAUAAUUUGAUAGGUAUUGGCAUCAAAAGUAGAAGUUUGAAGUUCUAAUGUUCAUGAAGCAUGAAUUGGAGGUUGAUUCAUGAUUUUAGCAUUGAUUGGUAUGAUUUGAGGCCCCGAUCAGGUCCGAGUUAUGCUAUGGAGUGGGUUGGUGUGAUUGGACGGGGUUCCGGGGGCCUCAGGUGUGUUUUGGGUUAUAUAGCGCUCUUAUUUGUUGUUUCAAUAUCAUUUCUUUGGACAUAAAGGGGUACCAUAUCAAGAAAAUGAGCUCCAAAUUAAGUUUUUAUUGAACCAUUGGAUCCAUAUCGAAAUUUUGGAGCCAUAGCAAAAAGAAUCAUCGAAUUAGGACAUCGUAUGAGGAAGUUAUGCUCAUUUUUGUGUGGGGAAAAAUGUUACUUCAGGUAUGGUUGAAAUUGCAACCAUAUCCAUCUCAAUUGCAAUGCCUAGUUCACAAUUGCGAAAUUUUUGUCGCAAAUGCGACCUUUUCCAUCCCUUCUUUGUUCGCAAUUGCAAAGACUUUCUUCACUUUUGCGAGGGUUCGUGAUUGCGAACCCUGGUUCGCAAAUGUGACAUCUGCAGCUUGAUUUUAACUAUGUAACUCGAGUUUUUGCUUCAUUUUAUCAUAUUUUAAGCCCUAGGUCCAAGAGUGAACGAUUUUGAGAGUGGAUUUUUAUAUCAAAUCAUUGGGUAAGUUCCUCUAAUUAAUUUUCAACAAUAUUUUGUGAUUAUACCUUAUAUUUAACAUCAAAAUUCAUGAGAAUCUAAAGGAGAAUUUGGAGUUUUAGAGAAAAACUUAGAAAUUGAGAUUUUUGGAUUUUGACCACGAUUUUGGGCGUAGAAGUGAGAAUAAAUUAUAUAUUUGAGUUCGUAAGGUCAAGGGUAAACUUUAUCUUCGGAAAAUUUUAGAAUCCUAGCACGUGGGCCCGCGGGCAAUUUUGUCAACUCUUAGUUUGGUGUUAGGAAUUUAUGAUAAAUUGGACUAUAAUAGUAAUUUAACAUAUAUUAAUGGGUUUAUAUAAUUAUUGGCUAGUUUUGGAGUAUUUUUGCAUCGAUUUGAGUCUUUGAAAGGGCGUGGAAUGUCUGUUAUGGAACUUCAGAACGAGUUGAGUCACCUUUCUAACCUUGUAAGAGGGAAUUGUCCCUAUAGUUGAGUUAAUUGGUUAUGUGCUCCUAAUUCGAAAGGGCAUGGAAUGCCGUUUAUGGAACUUUGGAGCGAGGUGAGCCUUUUUUCUAACCUUGUAAGAGGAAAUUGUCCUCAUAGGUGAGUUAAUUGGUUAUGUGCUCCUAUUAGUGGGGGCUACAUAUGCACGAGAUGAUGAGAGUCCGUGCGUAGCUACUAUUAUGCUAUUGUCCGAGUAGUUUAGGACCCAAGAGAAUGUUAUACUUGGUUUAUUUUUGAACCUAUUGACAGCUUUAAUUGCCAAAAUCACAUAGAAUUGUUAAAUAAAUUUCUAAAUUAAUUAAACUUCAUUUUGCUUGUAUGGUUAAAAGAGGAUUUGCUUUCUUUGGAGAAUUUCUUCGUGUGGACUUCUUGGUUGACUGUAUGUGUUUAUUUAAUUUUGGAGCGGGUCGAAUGCCUUAGAAGAUUAAAUAGAUGCAUCUAUGGUUCGAGCCUUUCGACCCUCAGCAGUGCACAAUUUACAUUUUUGUUGGAGCAGGCUGUCAACCUCCACAUGAUUUGCGCAUGCUUGUAUUGCUGCCUUGAACUUAUUAAAGUUGUUAUUGCCUCUUCAUGGCUUGAGAAUAUUUGGAUAGUAACGAAAAGAAAUUUUGAAAAUUUCCUGUAAAUAAAUAAUUAUUUAUCUGUUUCCUUCUAUUGGAUAAAAAUCAUGUCUAUAGAAAUCCAAGAUCUAAUGUAUUAAUUGGAUAAUAACGAAAAGGAAUUUUUAAAAUUUUCUAUAAGAGAAAUAAUUGUUUACUUGUUUUCUUCUAUUGGAUUAAAAUCAUGUUACAGAAAUCUACGAUUUAAUGUAUUAUUGACAUCAUUAUUGGACCUCUAGUAAGUGUCGAAGUUGACCAUCUCGUCUCUACUUCUUCGAAAUUAGACGGGAUACUCAGUGAGUACAAGUUGUUUUCUUACUCAUGCUACACUUCUAUGCAUUUUUGUUGCACAGGUAUAUAUAACUCUAGUGGCCUACUGGGCAAGCAGUACGGAUGCUUCUGGGACUAGGUGACUUCAUUAUUUGAGGCGGCCCGCAGCUAGUAUAGUCCCUUCCAGUAUAUUAUAUUUACUUUUUCUCCAAUGUAUUCCGGACGGAUAUUGUAUUUUAUUUCCUUUUUAGUAGACACUCAUGCACUUGUGACACCGGGUUCUUGGAUGGUAAUAGGAUUUUUAAAUAUUAAGUUUGUUAAAGACACCAUGGUUAUUUCUGUAAAGUUCAUUAUUUGUUAUUUAAUGUAUAAAGGAAAAUGACUUAAGCAAAUAUUAAAAUUGGAAGUUAAAUAAGUAUUUUGGUUGGCUUGCCUAAUAGCGGUGUCCGGCGCCAUCGCUACCCUUAGAGAAUUUUGGAUUGUGACAACAUGGUAUCAGAGCGCUAGGUUCCCGUAGGUCUCACGAGCCAUGACCAAGUCUAGUAGAGUCUCGCGGAUCGGUACGAAGACAUCUGUACUUAUCUUUGGGAGGCUGCAGGCUAUUAGGAGUACUUCCCUUCUUGAUUCCUUAUCAUGCGAUUUGAUUCCCGUGAGGCUUACGCCUUUGUUUCUUUACUACUCAAUCUUAUGCAACGUGAAGCACUUGUUAUAAAUCGAGAAUUGAAAUAUUGUAAUGGCAAAUUACGAAUGUGGUGCGGGUGUUUCUCCCUACGGGGUCAUUAAGCUACUAUCAUCGCCUUGUGGAAAGAUAUUUUGUUUUUUCGGCUCAGUAGCGGUUAUUCUGAGAGGUCUAAGGUUAGCCACAGCUUGCCAUGAUGCUUAUUAGUGAUUAUUUUGCAAUAUUGUUGUGACAGUAAGAUGUUUGCCUACGUGUUGGGUAAGUGAAUGACUUAAAGGGAGGUUUACUCACUGCAUGGUCUGGAGAUUCGAUAUCCUAUCCCCGGCAGGGGAAAGCCAAUUGGCCUAUGAAUGUUCAAAAUCAGGCUGAUGGGUAACGAAACUUGGUAAUUGCGGGCGUGGUGGAGUUUUCUUCAAUAAUGAGGUGUCGUUGUCCUAUUGAAUGUCCUAAAUUGGCGGGUGUUAUGAUCUUCUACAAUUCACCUUUGGAGAAGGAUAUUGCGAGUCAGUAUUGACGAAGCGACGGUCAGAGGUAACUGGGUGCGCGGGUUCAGGAUGGAGUCGGUGUUUCUAAUGUAGGUGACUCGAGAAAGAUGAUCUUCAAAAAGGUUUAAAGUUGGUAGUGAUUUUUGGAUUCAAGUGCUACGAAGAUAGAUUUUUAUUAAGGCAACAAUUGAGCAGCAAAGUAUGAGGCAGGACAUGUGAGAAGUGUCUGGCGGUGUUUAAAAACUUCUAGAAGGCCGUGUAUAAGAAGCGUAGGUCGAGUAGUUGAUUAAGAAGUGAGUUUUCCCUAAGUGGGAGAGUGGCGUAGCUGCAUAGGACCUUGGUGGUAGGAUGAUUGCACGCCUUAAGGAGAGUUUGGAUCGAUUUGGGAAAUUUAGUGAUUGGUGAUUGGGGUCUACGGAUCUAAUUUGAAGUAUGGGCUAAUAUGCAGCAAAGAGAUCGGUCGUGCGAAUGUGAUUGAUGAUUCAGAGUAUAAGAAGGGGGUUUUACAGAAAAAAUCCGAGAAUUUAGGUGGUUGACUGCGCAAGGAUAUGUCAAUAAGAGAUAAAGAAUUCCAGUGAAUUUUAGAGUUGUGUAAUGGUGGCUUCAAGCUAAGUGGGAGAGUCCCACCGCCUAUGAUUUGGUUGCAUGGUUAACCACUUGUGAGGUUUUUAGUUGUUACCAUAUUGAUGGGUUAUUUCAGCUAUAGGAAGAUAACAUAGGUGGUAAUUUGAACAAGGGGGUUGUUAAAGAUGUGCUAUGGUUGUCCUUAUAUGCUCAUAUUCAGACUUGGGUAAGGAUUCAGGAUUUAUGCCUUGUAUAAGUGCGGGUUUCAAGGAAAAUGAUUAUGCCGGGUUCUUCGAGAGGGUAUUUAUGUGCUAGAAGAUUCAUGGAGUAUAUUAUAUUCAGGGCCAAGUCAGAGCGGGUGGCUCUCACUGGUUGUUAGCACAUUUUUUGGGUUAUUUUGGCUAUAGGAAAAGAACAUAAGUGGUGAUAUUAGCAAAGGAAUGGUUAAAGGGUGCUAUGGUUGGCCUUACUAGCUCAUGUUUAGAGUUGGGGAAGGAUUCGGGAUUUAUGCCUUAUAUAGUGUGGUUCUAGGGAAGUGAUUAUGCCGGGUGCUUCGUCGAGAGGAUAUUCAUGUGCUAUUAGAUUCAUGGAAUUGAUCAUAUUUGGGGCCAAGUCAGAGCGGGUGGCUCUCAGUAACAGCCCUAGUGGAUUCAAGGGGUAAAGUGUGGUGCCUAAUGAUUUCGAGCCUAUAGGUACGGUUAGGAUUCAAGAUUGGUAGCAGCUUAUGAGAAGAGGCCCCGGAGGUUCUAUGAUGUCUUGACUUGUAGUGUAGUAUUUGGGAGGUAUGAAAUUGUUCAUGAGAUUUGAGACAACAUGGUCUCGCGAUUCAAGAUCACUCGGGAUAAGUGCAGAUGGAGUAUGUUAUGUGUUGAAUGGAGUUAGUAUUAUUUCUUAGAAAUCAAGGAUAAAUUGGAAGAAGGUAGAUUGAUUAGCAUAGUUGAAUUGGCAUAUUGGGGUCAGUGAUCAGUUCCUUCUACGUGAUCAAGUUAUGCAGGUGAUUUGUGACGUUAUAUGUGAGCCUUGUUGGCCGUUGUAAUUGAUGUUAUUCAGAAGCAUUCUGCUGUUAUGGCAUGUUAUGUGUAGGCGGAUCUCCGAAGGGCUAUGGUAGCUUGGACCACUACUUAGAUGGUUGCAUAUUCUACGGUUAUGAGAAUUUGCCUGUGUUUUGCUAUGUUCCUCCUGAAGUGCGUUUAGUGAAAAGCUUUUAUGUGAUGAAUUGUUAACAUAUUAGUGGUUCCGGAGUUAUGAUAAAAAUUAUGUUCUAUCAUAUAUUGGCACGUUGGGUGCAGUGAGUGGUAUGGAAUUUGAACUGAGGAUCAAGGUUGUAGUUCAGUGUUCACAAGGAUGUCACAAACUCGAACGAGCAGGAAAGGAAUUUUGAUGUUUAGUCACCUGAGAUUGGUGUUUUGUGAAAAAGGCCUUGCAUCCUGGGCUAAGGAUUCUUGAUCGCUUUUCGCCAUUAGUGCGGACGGUGGUUUGGGUUUGCAAACCUGCUAUUUGUUAUGGAAGGUUGUGGGAGCGUGUCCCACGGGAAGGUUGUAUAAGUGUGGCAUGUGGUCACUUGAUUGAUUAGAGAUUUAAACCAAGUGUGAAGAUUGGGGUGAUAUCAUCAAUUUGGGAAUUGAUGCCUGGAGGGCACAUGGCUUACUGAGUUGUGGACUGUGGAUGAGUACUGAGGUUAUGCUGGUUGUUCUUGUGUGUUAUGAGAAGAGGGAAGUUAGUAUAGAUCGUUGAAAGGUUAUUGACCUAGUUUGGUAUGAUCAUGAUCGACUCGAGGUCGGUGGAUGGAUUUAAAUGUGAAUAUGGGCUCUAUGUCAGGCCAGUCGUGUUCAUUUUUGCAAAGCACCCCUUAAGGAAGGGUAGUCGAGGUGUUAUUUUGUUGUCAGAUAUUUCAUGUAAUGAUAUAUAUUUCACUGUAUGAGUUGUGAAACGGCUUGUUAAUUUUCUUAGGUGUUGAGGUUCCACAUAGUGAUGAUGUUAUAUGAUCAUGAUGGCUCUUGAGAUUCAGAUCAUGUAUCGCACCUCAGUUGUGCUCGAGUUUGUGGAUUCUAGUGUUAUAUGUCUCCCCAGGGAAUGGUAUUAUGCAGUUAGCAUGUUUAUAACCAAUAUUUGGUAUUUCGUUGUAAUGAGCAAUUUAGCUCGAUGUGCAUCUCCUUAUAUGAGGUCUACAUAUGGAUAGGGUGGCAGGUCACCACGGUUAUGUUGUGUGGAUCAUAUGGCACGCCGCCAUGGGUAUGUUAUUUGGAUCAGGUUGCAUGCCGCAACAAUGUAAUGUUUGGUAUAGUUCCCUAUAUCUGUUUCUAUGUGUUUUGUUUUAUAUUGUUUGAGGAAAACUCAUGUUAGCUAUGUGCCCGCGUCGCAUGUAUGAUUCUCGAGCAGGGUAAUUGGAUUUCCUUUUUCAGAAUUUGUUUCCUUUCGUAUCGCGUUUGAAUUCGUAGCCUAUUAGCACAUUGUGACAUCAUAUGAGACUUUUGAUCAAGUCCAAGUGGCUUAUUACCUAAGCAGUUAGUACUGGAUUAGACACGAUUAUUGGAUUUAGGAUCAGUGCGAUUUGAUUAUAUGAAGUAUAUUAGGGAGCAAAGACCAUUAUUUGGUUCAAAAUGAGGCGAUAGUUCUUGUUAGAGGUAUAGACUCAAUGAUUGGUUGACUCGUCAAUUAGUUAAGAAUUUCUACACAUCUCUUCCAUCGUGGCGGUAUUGUAGGAGUUAGAGCAAGGCCUAUGUAUGUCAUGAGGUGCGAUAGGAGCAUCAGAUUCGUGGAAUUUUGACUAAUUUGAUCAUAGAGUAUUAUUGUGGUCCUGUGAGUAAUGCGGUGCAAGGUGUGAAUUCAGCAAAAUUGUGCAGUCAUGUUUGGGUACAGCGUGUAGUGAUUGAUAUGGUAAUAUUAUAUUGUAAACAGUCUUGGCAUUGAAUUCUGGAUGUUGGAAUUGGGCUCUAAGGCUUAUUUGCUUGAAAAGAGGGAAUAUCUUCAGAAUUUAUCGAGCUAACGUGCUCAACUAUGUUUUGGUACCACGUAAAGGUGCAUGAGGUGUUAAACAGUGAUUUCAGACUACUUCAGUAUAGUUCUCAGCAUGUUCAAGGACGAACAUAUGAUUAAGUGGGAGAGAAUGUAACGACCCGACAGCUUGUUUUGAGCUCUAGCGUGGCGUUCAGCAGUAUAAGGCCGUGAGCAGCUUCAUUUAAGGUAUUAUGACUUGUACGCAUGGUCAGAAUUGAACUGCGGGAAGUUUAGAGUUGAUUUGGAGAGAGAAUUCUCAUUUCGGAAGCUUAAAUUUGAAAGAAUUAACUAGGAUUGGAUUUUAGAGUAAACAACCUCGAAAUCAGGAUAUGAAGGUUCCAGUAGGAUCGUAUGAUAAUUUAGGACUUGGGCGUAUCCUCGGAUUUGGUUGUGGAUGACCCGGGAGAAUCUUGGCGCCCAUUGUGGAAGUUAGCAUUUUGGAAGAAAUUUUAUAAGUUUGGCAUGAAGUGAGUUUCAGUGUUAUCGAUGUCUGUUUGGGAUUCCAAGUCUGGGAAUAGCUCCAUUUGGUGAUUCUGCAGUUGGGAGCGCAAUCAGAAGUGAAUUCGGAGGUCCAUAGGUCAUUUUGGAGCCAUUUGGCUAAAGAUAAAAAACUGAAGGUUUUUGGAGAAGUUUGACCGGAAGUGGACUUUUUGAUAUCGGGGUCGGAUUUCGAUUUCGGAAGUUGGAGCAGGUCCGUAAUGUCAAAUACAACUUGUGUGCAAAAUUUGAAGUCAAUCGGAUGUGAUUUGAUAGGUUUCGGCAUCGAAAGUAGAAGUUUGAAGCUCUAAAGUUCAUAAAGCUUGAGGUGGAGGUUGAUUCAUGAUUUUAGCAUUGUUUAGUAUGAUUUGAGGCCUCGAGAAGGUCCUUGUUAUGUUAUGGAGUGGGUUGGUGUGAUUGGACGAGGUCCCGGGGGCCUCGGGUGUGUUUCGGGUUUCAUUGCUCUCUUAUUUGAUGUUUCAACGUCGUUUUCUUUGGGAAUAAAAGGGUACUACAUUAAGAAAAUGGGAUCUAAAUUAAGUUUUUAUGGAACCAUUAGAUCUGUAUUAUAAUUACGGAGCCAUAAAAAAAAAGAAACAUCAAAUUUGGACAUCGUAUGAGGAAGUUAUGCUCAUUUUUGUGUCGGAGAAACACAGCUUGAAUUGGAGGUUGAUUCAUCAUAUUAGCAUUGCUUGGUACGAUUUGAGGCCUCGAGCAGGUCCGUUUUAUGUUAUGGAGUGGGGUGGUGUGAUUAGACAGGCUCCCGGGGGCCUCGGGUGUGUUUCGGGUUGUAUCUCGCUCUUAUUUGAUGUUUCAACGUUGUUUUUUGUACAUAAAGGGGUAUCAUACUAGUAAAAUGAGCUCUAAAUUAAGUUUUUAUUGAACCAUUAGAUUCGUGUCGAUAUUUCGGAGUCAUAGCAAAAAGAUUUAUCGAAUUUGGACAUCGUAUGAGGAAGUUAUGCUCAUUUUUGUUUCGGGAAAAACUGUUGCUUCUUGUAUGGUCGCUAGUGCGAAUAUAUUAAUCGCAAUUGCGAUGCCUAGUUGCAAUUGCGAACUUUUUGUCGCAAAUGCGACCUUUCCCAGCCCGUCUUUGUUCGCAAUUGCGAAGGCUUUCUUCGCUUUUGCGAGGGUUUAAACCUCGAACCCUGGAUCCCAAAUGCGACAUCUGCAGCUUGAUUUUAGUUGUGUAACUCAAGUUUUUGCUUCAUUUUAUCAUAUUUUGAGCCCUAGGUCUGAGAGUGGGCGAUUUUGAGAGUGAAUUUUCAUAUCAAAUCAUUGAGUAAGUUCCUUUAACUAAUUUUCAACUAUAUUUUGUGAUUAUACCUUAGAUGUAACAUCAGAAUUCAUGAGAAUCUAAAGGAGAAUUUGAGGUUUUAGAGAAAAACCUAGAAAUUAAGAUUUUUGGAUUUUGACCACGAUUUUGGGUAUGGAAUUGAGAAUAAAUUAUAUAUUUGAGUUUGUCAGGUCAUGGAUAAAUUUUUUCUUUGGAAAAUUUCGAAAUCCGAGCACGUGUGCCCGAGGGCAAUUUUUCCAACUUUUCGUUUGGGGUUAAGAAUUUGUUAUAAAUUGGACUAUAAUGAGUAAUUGAACAUAUAUUAAUUGGUUUAUAUAAUUAUUGGCUAGUUUUGGAGUAUUGUUGCAUCGAUUUGAGUCUUCGAAAGGGCAUGGAAUGCCGGUUACGGAACUUCGGAGCGAGCUGAGUCUCAUUUCUAACCUUGUAAGAGAGAAUUGUCCUCAUAGGUGAGGUAAGUUGUUAUGUGCUCCUAUUUGUGGGGGCUGCAUACGCACGAGGUAAUGAGAGUCCGUGCUUAGCUACUAUUAUGCUAUUGUCCAGGUAAUUUAGGACCCAAGAGCAUGUUAUACUUGGAUUAUUUGUGAACCUAUUGACAGCUUGAAUUGGCUAAAUCACAUAGAAUUGGUAAAUGAAUUUCUAAACUAAUUAAACUUCAUUUUGCUAGAAUGGUUAAAAGAGGAUUUGCUUUCUUUGGAGAAUUUAUUCGUGUGGACUUCUGGGUUGACUAUCUAUGUGUAUUAAAUUUUGGAGGGGGCCGAAUGCCUCAGCAGAUUACAUAGAUGCAUCUAUGGUUCAACCUGUUCAACCCUCGGCAGCGCACAGUUUACAUUUUUGUUGGAGCAGGCCGUCAACCUCAGCAUAAUUUGCGCAUGCUUGUAUUGCUGCCUUGAACUUAUUAAUGUUAUUAUUGCCUCUUCAUGGCUUGAGAAUAAUUGGAUAUAACAAAAAGGAAUUUUGGAAAUUUCCUAUUAAAGAAAUAAUUAUUUACUUGUUUUCUUCUAUUAGAUUAAAAUCAUGUUUAUAGAAAUCUACGAUUUAAUGUAUAAUUGACAUCAUUAUUGGACCACUAGUAAGUGUCAAAGUCGAACAUCUCGUCUUUACUUCUUCGAAAUUAGACGGGCUACUCAGUGAGUACACGUUAUUUUCGUACUCAUACUACACUUCUGUGCAUUUUUGUUGCACAGGUAUAUGUAACUCUAGUGGCCUAUUGGGCGAGCAACAUGGAUGCUUCGGGGGCUUGAUGAGUUGCAUUAUUCGAGGCGGCCCGUAGCUAGUAUAGUAUCUUGCAGUAUAUUGUAUUUAUUUUCUAUCCAUUGUAUUCCGGAUGGAUGUUGUAUUUUAUUUCCUUCUUAGUAGACGCUCAUGCACUUGUGACACCGGGUUCUAGGAUGGUUAUAGGAUUGUUCAAUAUUAAGUUGUUAAAGACUUUAUGGUUAUUUCUGUAAAGUUCUUAUUGGAAAACUGUCUGGCCGGGAACCACACUAGUGGAUCCUGAGGGGUGCCUACCACAUUUUCCUAGGGAUAAUUUCAACCCCUUACCCUGUCUUUGGUUAUCAAACAUAUUUUGAAAUGAACUCUGUAGGUGCCCUAACGCACCUUAAAAUCGUUAAGUGGCGACUCUUCAAAAUGCAAACCCGUUUCCCAAAGGGAAUGAGUUGUCCCAUACCAAAAUGUUAUGAGCCCGAUUCUAUGAGGAGAAAAAAGGGGGCGUGGUAGCACAUGGGGUCGUUUGUGCUGAUACUACACUAUGCACUGUGUGUAGAUCUUGGUGUUGCAGCUUUUGGACCAUAGUGAGGUUGCUAACUUCAGUCCGUCAGGCGACCCGAGGUAGUCUUGCAGGUGUCCGCAGGCUGUGGCGUCUCCUUCUAUGGUGAGAGUUGGGUUGUGACAGUCCAUCUUGGCCCAACUCACCUUUGCCCAAGUAACUUUGAGCAGUUCAUCGACCCAUUUAUUUAUUGGUUCAAUUUAUUUUGACCCACUUAAAAUGAACUCGCGCUCCCAUUUGACACUACUAUCCAUCAUACACAUCAAACCAAAGAAUUCUGAAUUGUGAAUAUGGGGAAAAUGAAGGGGCGUUGAUGAAAUAAGCACUUAGUAUGUAAAUCUCGAUAGCUGUUUAGCUUAUGUGUUUGUGCUACUUCAAGUAUCUAUAUUUAUCUUUAUCUAUAUUCAUAUUAUUAUAAACGAAAAAGGGCUAAAUAUACCCCUCUACUUUCAAAUAUUAUUUAUUUGUACCCCUUAUUAUACUAUUGGGUUAUCCAUACCCCUACCGUCAUAGUAUUGAGUUAUUUAUACCCCUAUUGUCAUACUUAAAAACAAAAAUACCCUUAUUUUUGAAUGGAAUACCACGUGGCAACACCAAAAUAAAACGACCCUUUUUUUACCCCACCUGUUUUUAAAAAAAACCCACAACCCGACCCCCAUUUUCAUUUUUUCUAUUUUUGAAUAAAAUUUCAAUUUUUAAAAAAUGAAAAUAUAAUGUUAAAAAUAAAAAAAUCUGUUAUAAAAAUUUCUCCCAAUUUUACAAAACAAAUUCUUUUAGAAAAAUCAAAAAUGAAAAUAUUUUGUUAAACAAUAAAUUUUUUUUCCUUUUUUUACUAACAUAAAUUCAUUUUAUACAAAUUUAUUUUUUUAGUUUUUACAAAAAUAAAAUAUUUAAAAAAACUAAAAAAAUAAAGAAAAAAACAUUUUUCAAAAACAAAAAUAUUUGUUGGAAAUAUUUUUUUCAGUUUUUUGAAAAACGAAGAUAUUUUGUUAAAACUGAAUUUUUUUUCUAGUUAUUACAAAAAAAAAUUCAGAUUUUACAAUUUUGUGAUUUUCACUUAAAUAUUGUUAUUUUUGUCUUUUCUUGGAUCACUACACGAUGUGACUAGCACAGUGUAUAUAUGGCAAGUUUCCAAUUUCUUUUUGUAAACAAAUAAAAAAAACAAGGCCAACAAGUUUAUGCUUGUAAAUGAAAGGAGUUCUGAUAUAUGUCUAUGAAUUAAAACGUUCGAAAAAAAUUAAAACUAUUGUUAUAGGACGAUUGUGAUACCUUACAGGAAAAAAAAAUAAUUUCGUGGUUUAACAAAGUAUUUUUCGUUUUUGAAAAAUAUAUUUUAUUUAAGAUAUCCUCUACAUAAAGGCCUCCAAAUACUUUGAAAAUACUGGUUAAUCAAGCUACCCUCGGCAUAAGCAAAUGAGCUUCAAUAAUAUCAGCUCCGAACAAUAAAAAGGUAAUCAGCCUUCGAUGAAAAGAUUUCAAAAAGUCAACCUUUGAGCGAGCCUCCCGAGGUACUCAGCUAUCAUCACAUAUCGACUCAUAAUCAAGGUUCUUGUUUGUGUUGUCGAAGAGUUGGAUGAACAUAAAACACGUCAAGGCAUAAUCAAAACUUCAAAAGUCUUUUGCCAAUAUGAGGGAAAAACUAUAGCCAUAUUAUAGGCCGCAUCGACCCAAUCUAAAAAGAGUCUAAGGGCCAACGCAUAAGAGCUUAAGGACCAGCCUAAAAAGCCUAAGGGCCAAUAUGUUAAGAACCUAAGGGUGAAUGAGCCCGAGUCAAAAUUUUGACUCGAGUCGAACACCAAACAAUCAACCGCCAUCAAUUACUUAUCGAGCAUGAAAACCUGAGGGGUUUAUAUCAUAAUUCCGAUACACCAAAGGCCUUUGCCAUUUCUAAAAGCGAAGGAUCUAAGAAAAUGGAAAAUAUCGUUAGAAAACAAAAGGGAGAGUUCAAGGAAAUUGAAAGGGGCAUAAUAAAAUCUUGGAAGCACAAAGGGAGUAAUAUCGGCAAAGUUAUGAGGUUUUGUCAAAUUAUAACGAUUGUUUGAACGUGCUGAGUAAGCAAAGAGGCCGACCGUCGUGGCCUACAAUUAAUGAUUUUGUGAAACGUUGUUGAUAUCCAAUUUUUUUCUAUGUAUUUUUUAUAUACAAAAUACUUUUAAAAUAGUAUAUGCAUGCAUAUAUGAGCAUCUCAAAAGAUUUUGGCAUUUUUAAAGGAUUUUUAAACUAAUUUAUGGCCUAUUUUUUACACCAUAAAUCACAAUAAUUAUUUCCAAAACAUGCCAUUUUGGAGAAUAGUUUAUUUUAUUCUCACAUUUACAUCAAAACAUAAUAUACAUAAUUUUUGUAUAAUUUUACAAAGCCCAUUUAGUAUUUUAAAAUUAAAUUACAUAAAAUUAUAAUUUUAGCCCACAUUCAGAUUUAACAGCAAUUUAACUACAAAAUCAAUCCCAAUAUUUUUAAAUUAAUACUUACAUAUUAUUUACUAACUCGGUAUUUUUAAUUUGAUUUUAAACAUCUUUUAUUACUUAUAUAAAAUCAAAAAGAAAAACUGGCUAUUUCAAUUAUGGCCUCAAUUACUUUCAAUUAUAGCCUAUUUGUGCAUCUCAAUAUUAGCCCAUAUCCAGCCGAAAUCGAUGACCCAAUUCCAUUUUAACCGAGCCCUUUACCCAUUUAAUUAAACCCGUCCAUUUAAUCUUUUAAUCAUGAUGAUCAACGACCCACAACCACUCUUUCCUUUUUAAUUUCAAAACACCCUAACCUUACUCUCAUUUCCAUUUUAGUCGCUGCCCUGAAAACCCCCUCCCCCCUUCUCUCAAAACUCUCUCUAACACUUGAAACCCUAGUCACCCCUAUCGUCUUCUCCGACCAAAGCCCGCUGCGUCCAUGGCUUCUCAGGCCAUGGACGGCCUGUGCUCUCUUCCCUUCACCCCAAAUCAUGUUUGUUCAAGGUUUUCGAGGUCCAACCUCCAUCAGGCCUGUUCAAAAUCCUCCGCCUAUCUGAGUUCUUGUGGUUUCUCCGGUUGCGUUCCGACGUGUUCGAACCUUGAAAGGCAUAGCCAUGGUCCAGACCUAUUCGAGACCAGAUCCUUUCCAAGCCUUCUCAAUUCUAGGUUUUUAGGAGAAACCCCAAAAAGCUUGUUUGAGGUUCUUUCUUCCUUUAUUUUCAUAGAUCUGUGACAGAUCUGUGUUAUACUCGAUGUUUUAAUGUUUUUCCCUAAUUUUCCUUUUUUAAAAUUAGUCUGUUCAAUUUAGGGUUUUCAAAAAUCUCAAAAACGAUUCUUUUUGUUCUUUCUUUAUGUGAAUCUAUCUGUUCAUGUCGUGUCUUAUGUGUUCUUCUUGUUCUUAUAUUUUUCCAUUAAUACGCAUGUUUCUCUAUUUGUGCUCUAUUAUUCCUUCUACUAGUUUUCUACAGCGUGCUUUACAUGUCUAUCUUGCUUGUUCAUUUACUAUUUAUCUUACUGAGUUUUGAUUGCCUUUACUGGAUCUUUGUUUGGGUUCUAAAAUUGUUUGUUUACUGUCUCCUAAGCUCUAUGUCACCCCUUUUCUCUCCUAAACUUGCUUGAGUUCUGAGCUUUCCCUCAAACCUGUUCUUUAUGAUUUUCCUCUCUACCACUUCGAACUUUCUUUAUUUAUCUAUGUGCUUUCUCACAAGACUCUGAAAGAGUUCUCUAAGUCUGUUUGGAGGGCUUGCCUUCGCCUUUCUGUAUCCUACUCGAACUGAAACCCUAGGUCUGGAAUGUUUAUGAGUUUUGGUCUUUGUGACUGGACUAAGGUUCUACUCUAGAACCCUGAGUUCUCUCAAACUCAUGUUGAGUCUAUGACUGAAUUGGAAUCCUUUUGUUUGUAAUUUAAAAAACUUUAUAUGUCAGUCUUUUCAUUCUUGUUUGAUACUUGUAUGCUUUAUAUAUGAGAGCCUUUCUUUCAAAAUGGUUCUGCCAACUUGUGAUUGUUCCAAUUUCCUUUUACUAAGGCUCGAUUGAUUGUUACUGAUUUUUCAAUUAAACCUUUUCCUUCUCCUUUUCUGACUAAGUUCAUGCAAAAAAGGUUUUAAAUUUCUAGAUGUUUGAUUGAUUUACUUUCUAUAUUUCUCAGACCGUGUACUGUAGGAUUCUUGCCUUAAAUAAACUCUGUGUACUUACCCUUGUUAUGCUACUUUGAAAAAAAUUCUAAUUAUUCUUCUUUCAUUAAUUGUACCAUGCCCGUUUGAAAUCAAAUCCCUUAACCUAGGGUAGAUCCUUAUGUGAUUGACAAAGUUAUUUUCUUGCCUUGAUUACUCGUUUUCUGCACAAUAAAAGACACUACUCCUUCUGCACUUGAGGACACCUUUGCAAAAACACACACAAAGACUUCAGAAUUAAGAACACGUUUUCUAAUACUUCUCACUUUCAAAUAACUUCUCUACUUAGCACCCUUCUCCUUUUCUCUUUACUGUUUGGAGCAUUCUUGAGCUCCUUUUGAACUCUCAAUACUUGCGAAGGAAUUCAUCCUGCUGACUGCUGGCUAUUUAUUUGCUUUUGUUGUUUGUUGUUCUAAACUUGCAACUAGAAUAUCCCUCUAGUUAAAUAAUACCCUCUAAAUUAUGUGAUUAUUUUAUGCCAUGCUCUUUUGCACUAUGUGUUCAUCCUAGUCUAUUAUGCUCUUUUUCCUUAUGCUUCUGUUCCCUUAGUUUGUUAUGCUUUCUUUCUUUCCUUGUGUUUCUGUAGAUAUUUGUCUAUGUGAGUCCCUUCCCUUUGGCCCCCUCUUGUGUGUGAGUGCAGUUCUGAAUUAUGGUAGCAUCCUAUUAUUGCGACCCAUGACUUAGAACCAGGUUCUCUUGAACCUCUACUCAAAUCAAUCCCCACUCCCCUUUCCCUUUUAUGUGUUGAGCCUUGACUCAAGCCUGGCGGUGUCCUAAUCACCAUCCAGACUCAAGUACCACUAAGGUCUGCUCUUAAUUUGUUUGGACCAACUAACUGGUCAGGGGUGUGCCAGUCUAUAUCCAUGUCUAGGCAUGACCACUAUUGUUAUGGUUCUCUAUUCCCUCUCUCACUUUGCACUUAUUCCUAGUUCUAAGUUCUGCCCCCUUUGGUAAGCCCUGCUUUGAAACCCUGGAGCUCCCUCUGAACUUGGAUGCUUUAGGGCUAGCUAUUCCAUACUGCACUAUUAUGUUAUAAUUAUUAUACAGAGUGUAAGCACUGCCUGAAGCCCAUGAGGCUCCUCGGAACUCUAAAAUACUUUUGAUAAGAGAAGGCCUUGGUAAUCUGGAAUCAUGAAUUGGUUAAACUCAUGUUUUUAGACAUAAAUAUUGAAUUAGGCUUCUCGGAUCUAGCUGUAGGCUGUGAUGUAUUUUAAGUAUUUUUCUUUCUUCUGAUUCUGUAAUAUUUUUGUAUAAAGAACUCGGGUAAAUAGUAGUAAAAGGGUGUGGGAGGCGUUUACUUUAUUGCAUGUAAUAAAGGGUAGAUACCAUGCAUAUAUGAUUAAUGCCGUAAUUCAGUUACCUAAAUACCAUGCUUGUAGGAUUAAUGUUGUAAAAAUUUUUUUUAGAUAUCAUGCCUACUGGUAACGUUUUAACUCGAUCAUCUAGCUACUAUGUCUAUAGACUUAAUGCAUAACGCAUAAUACAGUCAUCUAAAAAAAUUUCCCCAUAUUAAUGUUUAUCAUCUUGUAAAUUAUUAGAAACCCUGCCUAUUGGACUUAAUAUUCAUGUAAAAAGUUGCAUAUAGAAAUCAUGUUUAUAGGAAACGCAUACGCAUUAGGCAAAACUAUAGGAUAAUCAAACCUGUCGUCCAUUUACCCACUCUGUAAUCUAGAAAAAGUCUGUCUCGCUUAAUCUUUUUAAUUAAUAAUAACUGGGCAACUGGUUUUAGCAUUUCAGUGUCAUGUUUUCAAUAUAAAACUCUUAUGAGCCUGCAAUGCUUUCAAAAUUUCUGCAAAUCUGUCCGAAGCAAUUCUUUUAAAUUUUUUGCCCAUCUCUUGAAGCUAUAUUUCAAAAUGGUCCUUUAAUUCACUCUUUCUUUUAAGGUAUUUUGCAACUCUCCUGUAUUUUCACCCAAACAAAUCUGCAGAUUUCAAAGUCAUUUCUGAACUUCUGCAAUUUUCAACUUUCUGUUUAAAUUCUUAUGCAUUAGGCUCUUGUCUGAAAUAAGUGCUUUCUAAAUAACUCGUUUAAAAUACUUCAAUUUUUGACAAUUGGAUCUGAGUUGCCUAAUGUAGACUUUUUAUCUAGUUCUAUGUGUUAAACUGGUCCUUCCGCUGCUUAAGUUUUGAUUCUAAGACCAAACCAGUAUGUGUAAGGAAUUCUAAACUAAGUGUUAUCUGAUUUACGGGGUUUUAUGUGAGCCUUGCAUGUUCGUUUAUCAAUCCCCUUAUUUGCUAUUUUUUUUGGUUGUCGCUACUAGUAUUUUGUCCUUUUAUACCCCAUAUAUGCCUCUACCCCUUUCUUCCCCUUUAGGAUUAGAAAUCCUAAUACCCCUGGACUAAUAGGUUGGGAUGGGUACUAGCAUGCAAUAAGUAAACGAGACUAGUCGCAUUUAAAUACCUUAAUGGGGUGGGAAUGGUAGAAUAUGAAUAUGAUGACCGGUGCGCUAAUAUCUCGUGCGAUCCUUCUUUUGAGGAUUGAUUGAUGGGUAUUGCAUUGAUGUGAUCCAUAUUUUGUAUAAACCUAGGACCCCCCUUUUUUUCCUUUUAUUUGCAAUGUCUUCUUUAAUUAUGUUCUUCAAAUUAAUUCCUUUUUCUAAAAACUGUCUCUUUCUGUCUUCUUUACCCUUUUCAAAACUUGAAACUUAUUCGUAAUUCUUAUGUGCAAAACUUUACUUAUUUUCUAUCACUUCCUCUUAAAGUCACAAUUAAAGCAUGGCCAGGAACCACACUAGUGGAUCAUGAGGGGUGCCUAACACCAUCUCCUCGAGAUAAUCUCAAGCCCUUACCCGAACUCUAAUUUUCUUUCAAAAUCGCUUCUUCUCUUGAAAGUAUCCUAAUGUACUAUAAUCAUUAGGUGGAGACUCUUCAAAUUCUAUAACCCGAUUCCCACAAGGGAAUGAGAGUUAUUUAUCCCGUAAUGUUAUAAACCCGAUUUUGCUCUUUAGGAAAAUGGGGGACGUCGACAAUCACGCCAAUGCAACUCUUCAGUCACUUUAAUUGCUUACAUCAUAAUGAUGGCAUCAGACUCAAAGUAUCGGGGAUCGAAUUGUUAGAAAUUAUUAAGAACAAUCUUUGAGUUGAGCUCGAAUAGUCAUUCGCUCGGCUAUUAAAUCCCUAAGGCCACCCGGGUUCGAGCUAAUUCUCACCUGGGUACUAUUCAUGAAGCCUCAGGACUAUCUUUACUUCGAGGUCGAGCAUGCCCACUCGACUAUUUAUCCCACAGGCUACCUGGGUUCGAGCUAAUACUCACUCGAGACUAUUCAUGAAGCCUCUGUGCUAUCUUCACUUCGAGUUUGAGCAAACAGUCACUCGACUAUUUAGCCCAUGGGCUACCCGGGUUCAAUCUAAUUCUCACUCGGGGACUAUUCAUAAAGUCUCAGGGCUAUAUUUACUUCGAGUUCGAGCAAAUGCUCACUCAAUUAUUUACCCCUGUCAUGACCCAAUACUCAAACCUGGUCGUGAUGGCGCCUCUCGUGACGACAAGGCCAGCCAGCCAACCCAAUUCAUCCUUUUAAAACAAUUUAAUUAACACAAUUAUAGUAUAAACAUGGUUUAAUAAUAUCCAAUAGCGGAAAGUAUAGGUAAAAUGAGGAAAUCAAACCCAACAAAGCCUUAACCGGGGUGUCACAAGUCAUGAGCAACUAAGAAAUCCUCACACAAGUCUAUAAAUACAAAAUCCAAUAUAAUAAUUCAAAUAUAGAAAUAAUAAGAUAAAGGAGUCACGGGGGCUGCGACCGCCAACAACUACCUCGUAGUCUCCGAAACACCACGUGGACUUGAAAGAUCAACUCUCAGGUAUAGAAAUCAGCUAUGCCUGAAUCUGCACACACGGUGCAGGGAGUAAUGUGAGUACUCCGACUUAGUGAGUAAUAAAUAUAUGUAAUGACGGAAGGUAAGAAAAUACGUUAAGGCACACAUCAUUCUAUAUAGAAGCAGUGAAAUCAUUUAAAAAAACAAUUCAGUGAAAUUUCUUUUAAACCAGUAAAACAGGUAAUUUGGCAGUAAAAUGACUAGUAGAAAUCUGCCCCUCGGGCUUAAUAUCAAAACCACAAGAAGAAAUCUGCCCAUCGGGCUCAGUAUCAAAAUAACAAGUAAAAAUCUGCCCCUCGGGGUCAGUAUCAAAACAAUAAGUAGAAAUCUGCACCCGGGCUUACUAUCAAAAUAAUAAGUAGAAAUCUGCCCCUCGGGCUCAGUAUCAAAAUAAUAAGUAGAAAUCUGCCAUCGGGCUCAGUAUGAUCAAAAUAAUAAGUUGAAACUUCUAACUUCCACACCCGAUGCCGAAACACGUCAAAACUAGUCUGAAUGACCUCAAACUGUGGAGACAAGUCCAAAAUGACAUAAAGAAGUUAUAGCGACUCUCGGAAUUCCAUUCCGACCCUCGGAUCAAAGUCUCACCUAUCAACCGGAAUUUCGCCAAAAUACUAACUUUGCCAAUUCAAACUUAACUCUACACCAGUCAUUACAAAAAUAUUCCGGACACAUUCCUAAGUCCCAAAUCACCUAAAAAUCUAUCCGAACCAUAAAAUUCGCAUUUCGAGCCCUAUAACACAUAAGUCAAUAUCUGGUUGACUUUUCCAACUUAAACUUCCUUAAAAGAGAUUAAGUGUCUCAAACAUUACAAAAAUCAUCCCGGAAUGACUUCCAAUUUUGCACACAAGUCACAUUCGACAUUACGGACAUGCCCCAAAUUUCGAAAUCACAUUCCGACCCUGAUAUCAAAUUUCCACUUGCGAUCGAAUUUUUUCAAAAACCUUCAAAUUUCUAUAUUAGCCAAAUGACUUCAAAAUGACCUCCGGACAUCCGAAUUCACUUUCGAUCGCACUGCCAACUCCAGAAUCACCAUACCGAGCUAUUCCCAGACUCAGCAUCCCAAACGGACAUCUAUAACACUGAAAUACCUUGCAACCUAAACUUAUGAAAUUCUUCUAAAAUACUAACUUCCACAAUAUACGCCAAAAUGCUCACGGGUUAUCCAAAACCAAAUCCGGACAUACGCCCAAGUCCAAAAUCAUCAUACGAACCUGCUGGAACUUUCAGAUCUUGAUUCUGAGGUCGUUUACUCAAAAUUCCAAUCUUAGCCAUUUUCUUCAACUUAAGGCUACCACAAUGAAAAUUUUCUUUCCAAUUUGACUCUGAAUUAUUCAAAAUUCAACUCUGACCAUACGCAUAAGUCAAUAUACCUGAAAUGAAGCUAUUCAUGACUUUCAACUGUUGAACGACGCGCUAGAGCUCAAAACGACCGGUCGGGUAUUACAUUCUCCCCCACUUAAAUAAACGUUCGUCGACAGACAUACGCCAAUGUCUGAAAUCAUCAUAUGAACCUGCUGGAACUUUCAAAUCCCGAUUCCGAGGUCGUUUACACUAAAUUCCAAUCUUAGCCAUUUUCUUCAACUUAAGGCUGCCACAAUGAAAAUUUUCUGUCCAAUUUGACUUCGAAUUUUCCGAAAUUCAACUCUGACCAUAUGCACAAGUUAAUAUACCUGAAAUGAAGUUGUUCGUGACUUCCAACUACUGAACGACACGGUAGAGAUCAAAACAACCGAUUGGGUCGUUGCAUUCUUCCCCACUUAAAUAGACGUUCGUCCUCGAACGUUCCAAGAACUGCUAUUAAGUAAUAUAAAACCACUAUUUAACAUCGCGUGCACCUGCCCGUGCUAUCACAAGUCAUAUGGACACAUUAGUUUGAUCAAAUAUGAAGAUAUCCUCUUUUAUCCAUAUAAUAAGCUUAGAACACAACAAGUAAUGCAAGUAUAUCAAUAACACUAAUCUCCGCAUUACUAGCCCGACAUUAUCACAAUGAUAUCUUGACAUAAAACACAUCAUUUGUGUGAUCGUAACCACAUUUCUGGUCUAAAUAGUUGUUCAUAAAUAAUUCCAUCAUCAUCAAUAAACCUCAUAUAACCACCACAUCAUUUCAAAUUUUCACAAUACUGGUAACAGAAUGUGAGGCAUGAAGACCUCAUUAUUAAUUACUCGGAUUAAGGAGUCACAUUUAAUGCCACCUCCUAACUCAUCUCAUAAGCUAAAACACAAUGUUUACAGCACAAAAAUGGCUGAAUAUGAACAUAAAAUAUACAAGAAUUAGCAAAUCAACCUAACUGGCAUGACUCCCUUUAAUAUUAUCGUACGAAAUAAACUUUACAAAGGGAAACUUUAAACUCAUAAAUAUUUACCACAAGGACCCCAUCUUUGUAUAACCUCUACCGCGUCUUGCAGCCCGGUUUAAAUAUUUCACAUUGUGCCAACUGCAGUUUUCAAUUUCCUUUUUUUCUUCUUCUCAAUAAAUUUUGUAAACAUUGUUUAGCACAUAACGAAACCUCAUACCAGUAGGCCAUAUAAUUCAUAAAAAAAAUGGAAUCAAUUAUUCCAAAACACAUUAAACCUAUUGUAGUGAAUAAUAAACAUUACUUUAACCUUACCCCAAAAUCCUUGGAGCCCAAUUUCUAAUAUCCAAAAUUCUUUUCAAGACCAAAUCUCACAUACACACUCCGGACAAACUAUGUCAAUCCAUAACAAUAACACUAAAUAUACUCGUAUAACAUGCUACACAACUCGUAUAUUCGCAACACGACCCGAAUUUCACAUACACACAUUGUAUAAGUCCGAACAAACUAUGUCAAGCCAUAACAAUAACCCUAGAUAUAAUCACAUAACAUACUACACAUAUCGUAUACUCGCUACACCCUUCUCGAUCACCAGAACCACUCAAACCAACAAAGUACCAGUAGGAAACCCCACAUUAAACAUAACCUCGCUCCAAAACCUUUGGGCCCCAUCAAUAAUGAAGAAAUAUAUAGGAACUCACAAUACACAACAUGUUCCCCAUAUCGAUAGACAGUAUCUGGUUUAAACCAUGGUAGAAACCGUCAAGAACACUUGGAAAUCCAUUUUCUCCUAAUCAAGCUAUCAGAACAAAAUUCCUCUAAUUCAACCAGGCCACACAGGUCAUCAAACUCAAGAAUAUUGCCAUAUUACUACAGCUAGUUCAAUAACAAUUCUUCACAAGCUUAGGUAACACAAACCAUAAAAUACCUCAAUUCUACUAUUAAGCUCACCUUCAUUCUCGUGACAAUCAACUCAAUUUUCUCAACUAGAGUCAAAUUCAAAUCUCAACACAUGCACCCUGCUAGUAGAAAAGAAACUCUCUACUCAACAUUAUAAAGAACAUACCUACGUAGAUUAUUCCGCAUGAGAUAACCCACCUGUUUUGCCUCCAAUUAACAUUUUUGUAUACCUUCCACCGUCAUACACAUUACACAAUCACUUAGUCUUCCUGAGUCUAAACUCAUAUUAGAACAUGAAAUUUACUUCACUCCAAACAUAUGACAUGAAAAGAUUCUUCACGCGCCCAUAACUUGGGGCUACACAUCCUAUCACAAUGGAAAUCAUACACUCAAUAGUUCAUCUAUCAUCCGGUAGAACUUCCUCAUCACUUCCAAGUCAUAUAGAUACAUCUCGCAGUACUAACAUACUCCUCACAUAGCUAUCCAACCAUCAUUCCUACUAGUAGGAACAAUACCAGACAUAUAAGUUCAAAUAUACAUCUCGCAGCACUAAUAUACUCCUCGCGUAGCUAUCCAACCAUCAUUCCCACUAAUAGGGACAAUACCGAACAUACACAUUCAAAAUACUUGCUCGCACAAUCAGCAGCUCGAUGCUCAAGCCAUUGGCAAAGAUCUGGCCUCAAGUCCUCCAGACUGGCCUAACAUCAAACUCACAGCGAUCACGUCUCUCCCCUUGCUCGGGGAACUACAAGCCAUCAGGGGACAUCUGAUACUGAGCGCUCAUUUGUGCAUACGAACACGUGGAAUGAAUUGUAAGAGUUACCUUUUCAAGCUGAAACAAGGACACGCGAUAAGAAUUCAAGAAUAUGAAGUUCUUCCUAAAAGUUAUGCGGCCUCUCGAGGAUAAAUACAUAUGUCUCCGUACCGAUCUGCGAGACUCUACUAAACCUGCUCAUGACUCGUGAGACCUAGUAUCCUAGGCUCUUAUUCCAACUUGUCACGACCCAAUUCCCGAACCUGGUUGUGAUGGCGCCUCUCGUGAAGACAAGGCCAGCCAAUCAACCCAAUUCAUCCUUUUAAAAAAAUUUAAUUAAAAUAAUUAUAGUAUAAACAUGGUUUAACAAUAUCCAAUAGCGGACAGUAUAGGUAAAAUGCGGAAAUCCAACCCAACAUAGCCCUAACCGGGGUGUCACAAGUAAUGAGUAACUAACAAAUCCUGACACAAGUCUACUAAAUAUGAAAUCCGAUACAAUAAUUCGAAUAACAUAGAAAUAAUAAGAUAAAGGAGUCAUGGGGGCUGCGAACGCCAACAACUACCUCGUAGUCUCCGAAACACCACCUGGACUGGAAGGAUCAGCUCUCAGGUAUGGAAAUCUGCUAUGCCUGAAUCUGCAUACACGGUUCAGGGAGUAAUGUGAUUACUCCGACCCAGUGAAUAAUUAAUAUUAAUAAUGACUGAAGGUAAGAAAAUACGUUAAUCCAUACAUCAUUUUAUCCAUAAGCAAUGAAAUAAUUUAAAAUAACAAUUCAAUGAAGCAUCAUGUGAAAUAUCUUUUAAACCAGUAAAAUCGAUAAUUUGGCAGUAUGACAAGCAGAAAUCUACCCCUUGAGCUCAAUAUCAAAACAACAAGUAAAAAUCUGCCCCUCGGGCUCAGUAUCAAAAUAACAAGUAGAAAUCUGCCUCGCGAGCUCAGUAUCAAAUUAAUAAGUAGAAAUUUGCCCCUCGGGCUCAGUAUCAAAAUAAUAAGUAGAAAUCUGCCCAUUGGACUUAGUAUCAAUAUAAUAAGUAAAUACCUGCCCCUCGGGAUCAGUAUCAAAAUAAUAAGUAGAAAUAUGCCCCCCGGGCUCAGUAUCAGUAUCUCAGAACAGUACCAGCACCUCAUACUUAGAAGAGUAUGAAGCAACCCGUCAAUGAAAUAAGAGCACAUAAUUAUUAUGGCAGAUAAUGCAGAUAAGGAACAAAUGCAUGAGUGCAAUGAAAUGCAUAUGAUGGUACUCUUUGGUACCCACUCCGGCAUGCAGCCCGAGCCAUCCAUAUUUAUUGUCGAUGGCGCUCAUUGGGGGUGAGUACAUAUUUCGGAAGGGCUCCUACAGCCCAAGCGCAAUAUCAAGCCAUCUCGUGGCAUCAAAUAUAGGCCCUCGGUCUCAUAUCAAUAUCAGUAUAAUCAACCAGUCUCUCAGUCUCAAUAUCAAUGUAAUCAACCAGGCUUUCAACCUCAAUAUCAAUAUAACACUGCUGCGGCGCGUAGCCCGAUCCACACUCAAUCCAUAAAUCAUCAUAAGCUCCUUGGGCAUUUGUAAAACAGUAGUUCUCAGCCUGACAUAUUAUUUAGAAAUAUUAUUUAAGUUUUUAAAUCUUAGAAAGAUGGCUGAGUUUGCACAACAGUAUUUAAAACCUUGGACUGAGAUCAAAUGAUAUGCAAAAUAUGCGAAAACAAUGAUAUCAAUCCCAGAAGGAUUCAAAUAAUUGGCAAGAAGCCCAAAUGUAACAAUCAAAUCCAAGUAAGGAUGAUGCUUAAUUUAGUUCAAGUAGAAAAGACGGUAAAAACAUCUCUCGGGGCAGACCAAGUAACAAUCCCCAAUGAUGCUCUACCCCACGCCCAUUAUCCGAAGUGCAAGUCACCUCAAUAUAGCGUUACGAUGUGAAAUUUUGGGGGUUUCAAACCCUCAGGACAUCAUUUACAUCAAUUACAUCAAUUACUCACCUCGAGCUGGCUAUUUCUUUAAUUCGUGACGCCUUUUCCCCUCGAAUUGGCCUCCACGUGCGUUGAAUCUGCCUAAAAUCACAACGAAUAUCUUGCAUUACACUAAAGAGACAAAUACCCAAUCGAAAGAAAUCGAAAAAUAGCAAAAUUCAGGAAUUUGACAAAACUCGAGCCUCGGGCCCACAUCUGAAACUUAGAAUUUUUUAUACCAAAAUGUUCUUCGUCCCCUAACCCACAUUUUUCUACUGAUUUUCUCCAAUUAAACACUUCAAAAACAUGUAAUAUUGUCGGAUUAUUUGAUUGUAAUUUAAUAUUAUUGAGUAGAAAUGAUCACAAGUGACUUACCUCAAAAUUUCCCAUGAUUUCUUGCUCAAAAAUCGCCCCAAGCCGUGUUCUUUCAUCCAAAAACGCUAAGAUGGGCUAAAAUAGCUUAACAUCAUUAAAAAGACUCAUUCUGGUUGUUAAAAGCCUAAUACCGUCGCUAAAGAUGUCCAAAUCUGGUUGCUAAAGGUGCGCACCAGAUGUUGUUGCACCACCGAUGUUUAUUAUUACUAAAAAGGCUCUAACUCCACCAUACAAACUCGGAAUUCGAUGAUUCUUGUUCCUAUGAGUCACAAAUAAUAAUACGAACAUUGUCCUUCAAUCGAAACUUAACUCGAAGCUCAUUUGCUCAGUGCGAUACUCAUUUCACUUGUUAAACAAUUAACUUAUCGCGACUUGAUGAAAUUAAACCAAACUUCCCAGAUCACUACUAUAAUUCAUUAUCAAAAUCCUGGAAGUCUCGAAAUCAAAUUUCGAUAUGUACAACAAAAAAUGGAAAUUUGGAUCAUUACAUACUUAUGCUCAAAAUGUGAAAAUAUUCCAAAACCUCUUCCAAAACUUAUCCGAGCCUCAUGGGAUCCCAACAAAGUAUACUAACAAGUCCUAUAAUAUGACGCAAACUUAGUUGUUCCUUUGAAUCACCAAAAACAAUGCAAAAAAUACUAAAUUCACCUCAGAUUCAAGCCUAUGAGCUUUGAAACUUCUAAUUUCCACACCCGAUGCCGAAAUACGUCAAAACUAGUCUGAAUGACCUCAAAUUUUGCAGACAAGUCCAAAAUGACAUAACGAAGCUGCAACAACUCUCAGAAUUCAAUUCCCACCUUCGCAUCAACUUUGCCAAUUCAAGCUUAAUUCUACACCAGUCAUCACAAAAAUAUUCCGGACUCCUAAGUCCCAAAUCACCUAACGAAGCUAUCCGAAUCAUAAAAGUCAUAUUUCGAUCCCUCUAACACAUAAGACAAUAUUCGAUUGACUAUUUCAAUUUAAGCUUCCUUAAAAGAGACUAAGUGUCUCAAAACUUACCAAAAUCAUUGCGGAAUGACUUCAUAUUUUGCACACAAGUCACAUUCGACAUUAUGGACUUGCCCCAACUUUCGGAUUCGCAUUCCGACCCCAAUAUCAAAAUUUUCACUUCCAGUCGAAUUUUCUCAAAAACCUUCAAAUUUCUAUAUUUAGCCAAAUGACUUCAAAAUGACCUCCAGACAUCCGAAUUCACUUCCGACCACGCUCCCAACUCCAGAAUCACCGUACAAAGCUAUUCCCAGACUAAGAAUCCCAAACGGACAUCUAUAACACUGAAAUGCCUUCCAACCUAAAUAUAUGAAAUUCUUCUAAAAUACUAACUUCCACAGUAUACGCCGAAAUGCUCAUGGGUUAUCCAAAACCAAAUACGGACAUAUUCCCAAGUCUAAUAUCAUCAUAUGAACCUGCCGGAACUUUCAGAUCGCAAUUCCGAGGUCGUUUAUUUAAAAUUCUAAUCUUAGCCAUUUUCUUUAACUUAGGGCUGUCGCAAUGAAAAUUUUCUUUCCAAUUUGACUCCGAAUUUCCCGAAAUUCAACUCUGACCAUACGGACAUGUCAAUAUCCCUGAAAUUAAACUGUUCAUGACUUCCAACUGCUAAAUGAUGCGCUAGAGCUCAAAACGGCCGGCCGCGUUGUUACAACCCCAUGGGCUACUCUCACUCGGGAAGUAUUCAUAAAGCCUCAGGGCUGUCUUUAUUUCGAAUUCGAGCAAACGCUCACUCGACUAUUUAGCCCACGGGCUACCCGAGUUCGAGCAUGUUCUCCCUCAGGGACUAUUCGUAAAGCCUCAAGAAGCUCUUUUCUCUCGAGUUCAAGCAAACGCGUACUUGAUUAUUUAGCCCACGGGCUACCCGAGUUCGAGCAUGUUCUCAUUCGGGGACUGUUCAUAAAACCUCAAGGAUAUUUUUUCUCUUGAGUUUGAGAAAACGCUCACUUGAUUAUUUAGUGCACGGGCUACCCGAGUUCGAGCAUGUUCUUAUUCGGGGACUAUGUAUCAAGUUCGAGUGAACGCUCGCUCGAUUAUUUAUCCCAGUGGAAACCCAAGUUUGAGCAGGUUUACACUCGAGGAAUCUUCAUAAAUCCUCAGGGCUAUCUUUUCUCUCAAUCUCGAGCGAACACUCACUCGAUUAUUUAGCCUACGGGCUACCCAAGUUCGAGCAGGUUCUCACUCAGGGCCUAUUUAUAAGGCCUUAAGGCUAUCUUUAGUUUAAGUCUGAAUAAAUUUUUGCUCAAUUAAGGGCUGCCCGAGUUCGAGCAAUCUCUCGCUAGGGGAUAAUUUAUAAAAGCCUAAGGGCUAUCUUUAUUUUCAGAUGAUCAAGUAAAUGCCCAUCCGGUUGCAAAGGUUGCUUAAAGUUCGAGAAACUUACCACUGAAGGACAAUCUAUAAGGCUUAAAAAGGCUAAGUUUUAUUUUAAAAAAAUUGAGACCCUGCUCUCACUCAAUUCGGACCCAGAAGUCCCAGCGAUCUGAUUUCGUAUCGGGUCAAUCUAGGAUAAUCCGUAGGAUAACAAAGAGAUUCAAGGAAUAUCAUAUGAACCAAUCAAAAAACUAAGGGAUUACUAUGUCCGGGUCUAGUAUUCGGACCAAUCGAUAAAGUCCUACGCUAAGGUUUUCAUAAACGGAGGCAGAAUGGAGUUCAAUGCAAGUCGAAGGCAAAUGAAGAAACCCUUAUAUUAAUAAAAGACAGUUACAAAGGCCUACGAUGGGUCAACUAACGGAGAUAAAGAAAAAAGGCCUAAUCUAUUUUCGAGGGUAUAUCCUCGAGAGCCACAUCUUCGAGAACCGUUUCCUCGGGGACCUCAUCUCGGUCUUCAGAGCGACAUCUUCGAGAACCUUUUCCGAAGCAGCAAUAGAUGAAGAAAAGGCCAUAGCCUAUUAACAAGCAAAAGCUUUUAAUAGGCAAGGAAAAUUGCGCCCGGUGAAAAACUUGGUGAGUAUGGGUCUUGUUAGCACUACUAUUUUAAAGUCCCUUCUUGAGACAUUGCAUCAGUGUGGGAUGCAAAAGUUAGUAGAUAGCGCCACCUCACUCCAUGGUAUGCAACAGGAAUGAAGCACCAUACCAGGAUGAAGUUAAGAAAGAUGAGCAGCGGUUUAUAGUCCAUAUAUCUUCUGAUGUGGGAAGAAUUUGAGGCCUCUCUCUCAUUAUUUCGGAACAACAACAUCACCAACAACAACACAGUAUAAUCUCACUUAGUGGAGAAAAAUACCAAAAAAAAGCCAUGGCAUAACUGACAAAGUUGUUGUCGUAUGACCUUAUGGUCACAAGUUUUAACCAUAGAGAUAGGAGUUUGGAGGAGGAUAUAGAGAAGGAAAGGGCCAAAGGCUGUUGAAGAAAGACUGAAUGAAGUCUUAACUCAAGCAAUUCCCCAUUUAUAGGGAGACAGUAAAGUAACCGACAUCGUAAUCAAUGCCAUUGGGGAAACGUAUCAACGACACGAUCAAUGACUUUGGGGAAACGUAUCAAUGGCGAAAUUAAUGCUUUUUGCGAAAUAGAACGGCAUCGCAAUCACCGCUUUUGCGAAAAUGAACUGGCGGUAUGUUCAAUGCUUCUAGGGAGACGAACCGAUGGUAUGUUUUAGUCACUUAGAAUGCUUACAUCACGAGUAUGAUGUCAUAAUGAUAGGCUCGAGAUAAUGGAGGUCAGAUUCGUUUCAUAUCAUUCUAUUCUAAGAAACGCGGGGACUAUCUGUAUACGGUCUAAAUCAGGGAAGACCGAUUUGAGGCUUCUGUGAAAGUUCAAGCCCGGUUUCGGUGGGAUCAAAGCAUGGUCCAAGGCCAGUACUCAAAGCACUCACCUCGGCAGGGUAUGUCGAAGACUUACCAUGGUGUGCCUCGAGGUAGUAUGAAUAUCGAUGUCCGUUAUGGAAAGGCUGGAAACCAUUGAGGGCACACGAUGCGGACUGACUGAGUCUGCAAGAAUAAUACAAAUCCAUAUUGAGCCGUCAGUAUUAGCAGCUUUUCUUUGUCAUAUAUUAGCCAUGUACUGUGUUGGGAUUCACCCAUCCUAUAUAAAGGGGCCCCUUAUCAUCUUGUAAUGUAUCUCGAACAAUCAUUGAAUACACUCACAUUGAAUACAAGACAACAUUCUCUGCUUUUAGCUAACACAAUUGUUCUUCAUAUUUAUUGCUUAUUUAUCCAUUGAUCAUUUAUUGUUUUUCAAUUAUUGCUCAUUACCAACAACUAAAUUCCAUCUUUGGUGGGCUCAUCGUCAUUAAUUCUUCACCUAGUGUUCAUUGCUAUUGGCCCAUCUAGACCUCGAGGUCCUACUCUAGCUAGCUCGAGGCCAGUCUUGUGACCAUAUUGGUUUGCGUUUCUUACUUUCUUUACUUACACCCAACAUCAAUUGCCUAACAACUAGUAUUAAAAUAAAUCACAUAUUCUUAGAACCACAAAAUUAAAUAAUAAUUGUAGUUACAAUUUUCAAGGUAAACAUUACUAAUGUCAUGAUUUUUAUGCGUUAAUUAUACAUAAGAUAAUACCAAGUAUUUGUAUUAAUUAGACACAAGUUGAAAAAAUGUGCCAAACAAGAUAUCAAUAAUGCAUAGAGCUAAUGCUUGCAUUAUUUUUUCUAAUACCUUCUACCAAAAAACUCCUAAAAAUUCACGACAUGAAGCAAGCAUUAGAUCCUUUGGAUGAAAAUUGUCACCUUUCAACAGAGGUGGAGCCAGAUUUCAAAUUUAUGGGUUCAGAAUUUUAAUUGUUUUAAGUUACUGGGUUCUAAUCUAAUAAUAUAUACAUAUUCAAUAAAUCUUUUAAAACAAAUGCAGGGUUCGAACCAAAGCUACUGGGUUUGGCCGAACCCGAUAGCGGUACUCUAGCUCCGCCCAUCCCUUUCAAGAUUAUUCAACAAAUUGUUAUGGUUCGUAACUAGGAAAGUGUGGAGGUUGUAGGAUAGAGGCUCCUAAAAUUUUCGUACUCCUCUCCCGGGGUUGGGUGAGGCUUGGCAGGACUAUCCUUACAUGAUUUGUGUAUUGGAUUGUGUCUCCCUUAUGAUAGUUAUUUAUGAUAGUUACUGUUUGAUAUUAUUGCAUGCCAUUUUAUUUAUGAUUCUUAUGUUUAGAUAAUUAUUUACGCUAUUUCUGCUGGGGUUACUUAUGAUAGUUACUGUUUGAUAUUAUUGCAUGCCAUUUUAUUUAUGAUUCUUAUUUUUAGUUAAUUAUUUACGCUAUUUCUGCUGGAGUUGCUAAAGCUCUUUUGUUUUUGUUUUUGUUUUGUCUUUAUUUUUCCUCUCCUUCUCCGAGCCAAGGGUCGAUUGGAAACAGCCUCUCUGCCCUUUCGGAUAGAGGUAAAACCUAUCUACAUAUUACCCUCUCAGCCCCCACUUUAUGAGACUAUAUUAAAUAAUUAUUGUUGUUGUUGUUUGUAACCCAGUCUUCUCGUAUAUAUUUCUAAAAAUCUUGUCCAUUUUAUUAUUACCUAAAUAUUUAUAUGUGAUGAUUGACGGGCAAUAACAUACCAGACGCGCUUCAUAGAUACUAGUUUGACCAAAUAUGACGAAAAUUGAAACGGUAAGAAAACAAAAUAGAAAAAGGAGUAAUAAAAAGUCGAGAAAAGGACAGCUUUGAAAUCCGUUAGACUCUCCUUGUCAUUACUUCUGUAUUAAAAGAAAAAUUCCAGAAAGUCCCCUAAAAAACUCCCAAAUCCUAAGUGUCUGCUACACUUAUCACUGCUCUCUGCACAUACACACACAGUUUUAUACAUACAAACAACCAUACUUUUACAAAUCUCGUGUGUUGAAACUCACUUUGUGUUUUUACAGAUCUGUUUACAUGACUUGCACAAAUAUAUAAAUAUAUACACACACGAUUACUUGAAGCUGAAAAGUGAAGAGGGAUUUAUUUGGAAGUGAAGGACUACUGAGAUCAGAGAUGCUUGAUGGUAUACUAAACCGUGGAUUCAGCUCCAAAUGGUUAGACUUUUUAUUUUUUUCUUUUCUUUAUGGAUAUUCCGAUUUGUGUUUUGAAUUUGGUUUUGAAAUGAAUGAAGCAAAUCGCUGAUAAAGGCAACGAGGACGCGAAUCGAGGUGGUGAGACGGAGAGCAGAGGCGAAACAAAGGUUUUUGAAGGAAGAUCUUGCCAAAUUGCUUGAUAAUGGCCUCGAUAUUAAUGCUUUUGGAAGGGUGAUUUAUUUCUUUUCUUUUUUUUAAAGCUUUUUCGUGCUUUAGUUCUUUUUCUACAAUAAUUUUAUUCCGAUUUGAAUUUACUGCGUUCUAUCUUUUUUAAAGCUUUUUCGUGCUUUAUGUUUUUUUACUUUAAUUUUUUAUCGAUUUGAAUUUAAUGCGUUCUAUCUACUUGUUUAGUUCGUUAUUUGACUGAAUUGUUUUCUGAAAACAAUUGUGUUUGGAUCCGUUCUUAUGCUUUGAAAAAAAAGUGAAAAAAGAAGAACAUGAUGAAAAUGAAAUUCUGGAUGGAUGCAGUUUAAUUGAUUUGAAUUUAUAGCAUUAGGAGCUUCCUUUUAUAAUCAUCCAGAACAAAAAUAUUAGUUAAUGCCAGAAGAAGUAUGGAGUGGGAUUUGGUAAGGCGAAGGAAAAGACAAGGCUUAUUGCAUUCUUUCUUUUCUUUAAACAUUCUUUUAUAUCCUGAAAAAUUAGAAUCUAAUGUGGUAUAAUGAUUUCUGACGAGGUGAAGCAGACUGAAGAAAUUUUGCUAGGGCAGAGCCUCUUAUACUGCUACGACUUUGUGGAACAAUCUUGUGAAUAUAUUGUAAAGCAGCUCUCCUACAUGCAGAAAUUAAGGUAUAUCAUUACUUUCAUUCUAUGCAAUUUUAAUCUCUAUAGUGGAUUAGACAAUUAUUUAUAAAAAAAGGCUGGUUAAGGAAAAAGUUUCUAAUUGGGAACAUCUGAUUUGUAACAGAUACGAGUAAUUCUUUUAAAUAGGAUACCAGGAGAGAUCUAACUAAAUUGGAAAAUGAGCUACCUUAAGGCUUCAAUUAAGCAAGUAGCACAUUAGCCUUUACAUGAGUCAUGAUGCAACACAAUGCAAAAGGACUUGGUAGUUUCUUGAAACCUUGUGAAGAAUGUGAGUUCAAUUUGUUGAACUUGUUUGAAUAUUCAUAUUUGGUAGUUUGUUGUUACUCAAAGUGAUAAACAAUAUUUUCAUGUAAAAUUAACUGGCUAAAAGGGAACUGCACAAUGUAAGGAUCAUCCACUGGUCCAUGCAUUUUAUUUCAAGCUCAACCAGUUGUGAAUUCUUAAAAGGAAAGGCCAGAUUAAGUACCAAAUACAUCAUCAUAGACAAUAUUCUUUUCUGUGGAUUGGGCCUAACUAUCUUUAAUCUGGAAGUGACAUCUUAUUGCAAACUGGACCAUAACUUAUCAGCAUCUUAUGCUGGGAUGAAGGUGACAUGGCAUAGACUUUGAAAGAUCCAUCAAUUGACUGAUGGAAAUUCUCAGAAAGUUCUGAACUUCUUACCAUCAAUGACCUUUAGUAAGUUAAAUGUCAAGUAGAUUGUGGUUGAGUUCACCGGUUUCUUACCGUUUCACUUUUGUCUAGUCAUUUAAGCAGUAUAAUCUGAUCUCCAACCAAGGUGCUCCCAGUGAAAUGCCUUGUUGACUAGACAAACCAAAGUUUCUCCAUACAUCCUCAUUUUUCAUGGGAUUGUACUGAAAUUUUUCUGUGCUAAAUCCAGCUUGUACAAGGCUCUAAAGGUUAACCGUAAAUUGUAUCCUUAAAUAUUACCUCUUUUAGAAGGUCUUACUGUUAGUUCUUGUCUCUUUAGAAGGAUCUUACAGUGAAUUACAACUGUUUCACUUCUAUUUUUAACACACUGAUUAUAACUAUUGGACACCGCAACUGGCCAAAGAAGUGAAACUUGUUUGAGAAAAUGGGCCUUGGGUUUGUUGUCAACUCAAAAAGUGAGCUCAUGCGAUGAUGACUGCCCAAGAUUACAUAAGAGACGACAACCCCCUCAACCAUUAUGGGACACUUAACAACACCCCCAUGCUAAGCUGUACAUUUGGUGCUUGGACAAUAUAAAUGGGAGCCCAAUUUUGGAUAAACCAAGAAUAGGAGGAAUGGUCCGGUUCUGGUACCAUAUUAACAAAAUAGACCUUGGGCCUAAGUCCAGUUUUGUCAAAGUCCAUUUGAGGCGCAUUUAAGCCUUGAAGCUCAAGGCAGAUGCUUCGUCUCACUUAGGUUGCGCUUUAGUUUAGACAAAGCACUAGGGUGUGCACCUCAUUGCUGAUAGGUUCUAUCUUGAAUAUAGCGGGUACUAAGCAACAAAUAUAUUUGUUGAAGUUGUCACUUUUUUCUUGCAUUAUAAAUAUUUUUUUUUCAUUGCGCCUUUUUUAUGUAAAUCUCGCACUUUAACUGCGCUUUGCACUUAAUACCAAAUAGACCUCUGGCACUUUUUGGCUUUUUUUGCCUAUGACAACACUGGGCCUAGCUCAAUCUCAAAAGGUAGCUCAUGAGGUGAGAAAACCCAAGAUCAUGCAAGGAGACAACAAUCCUUCCCUUGACCAAUGCAGGACACUUGACAAAACCAUUGUUCCCCAAAUAUGACAUACUGUCUAUAUCCAGGGACUGUCCUGAGGACUGCAGAGAAGCUGUGGCAUCAUUGAUGUUUGCUGCAGCAAGAUUCUCCGAUUUGCCAGAAUUGAGAGAGCUAAGGGAUAUAUUUCAGGAGAGAUAUGGGAACUCCUUAGGAUGUUUUGUUAACCAGAAGGUGAUUUGUUUAUUAUACUAUCCUGCACAUCUUAUUUUAUCUGUCUUUUAUAUCUGACUUCCUUCAGUGCAAUUAGUUUGUCGAGAAAUUAUCUUCCAGACCCCCUGCAACGGAGAAGAGAAUUCAGCUGUUGCAAGAUAUAGCUUUAGAAUGUUCUAUAAGGUGGGACUCCAUGGGAUUUCAACAAAGGAUGGCACUUGCACAGGUACAUCUUUUUUUGUUCAAAAUUGAGAUUACCAUUGGCCGCUAAAAUGUGUAAAAUUGUUGUUAGUGUUUGCCUCCAAAAUGGCCCUUGAUAGGAAAGUCUGGAGGUCUAGUAGCAGGGUUGUAGGAUAGGGACUUCUAGAAUUUUUCGUACUUCUUUCUGGGGCUAGGUGGGGUUUGGUAGGGCUCGCCAUAGAUGAUUUGUGUACUGUAUUGUUCCUCUUAUGGUAAAUACCGGUUGGUAUUAUUGCAUGCCAUUUUAUUUUUAGUUCUAUGUUUACAUAAUUAUUCAUUUGAUUUCUGCGAUUUACCAAUGCUCUCUUGUUUUUGUUUUGAUUUUCUUUCCAUUUCCUGAGCCGAGGGUCGGUCGGAAACAGCCUCUCUACCCUAAAGGGUAGGGGUAAGGCCUGUGUACGUAUUAUCCUCCCCUCCCCAGACCCCACGUUUUGGAACUAUACUGGGCAAUUGUUGUUGUUGUUUGCCUCCAAAAUGAAUGUUCAUCCUUAAGUAUCCUAAUUUACUACUUCUUUCAACAACUAUCUUGGGAAAUGAAACAUAACUUUUCCCCAAAUAUAGAAACAAGUGAAGUUUCACCAUUGUCUUUUCAUUGAUUAUUGUAGGCCAAACCAAACAGGAGUGGAUUUUCGCAUUCUUCUAGUGGCAACCACAUCCUACCAAAUGGCAAGGGUGGUGGUUCAAAAACUGAUAAAUUCGAUGUUGCACUUGGUGAAAGGCAAAAGGGCUUUAAUGAUCAACAUAAUAUACAUAAUGGCAGAGAGAGUAUCGUCUUAAAGAAAGAGCAGCGGGAUCUUCAUUCCUCUGAAACUAAAGAAUCAAGUAUGCAUGGAAAUAUACCGCUUAUAAAGCAGGAAGCUAGUUAUUCCAAGGGGCGAAAACAUGAUAUGUCGUUUGAUAAAGAGGUGGAACAGACAAGGACAAGAAACAAAGCAGUCCUAGAGAAAGAUGAUAAUUCAAUAAAGAAAGCAAAACCAGGCAGUUCAUCACAUGGAGAAAGGCUAGAAGGUUUUGAUAAAUUCACUAGAUACAAUGAAAAUCAUGGUCAGAUUCUCACGGAAAGAUCAGAGAGUAGGGGACUCCCUUUCAAAACUGAUGAUGUCUCUUCUGCUUGGAACACGGCCAUUGAAAAGAAUACUGUUAACUCAACAAGAAUGGUUCAGCAGGAAAAUGAAAAUAGGUUGACAUCCUAUGCCAACCUUGCUAUUCCUCCACCUUAUAUUAAGUCGAAAGAGAAAGCCGUUCCUCCUCCCUAUGUAAAACCGAGUUAUAGCAAAGAAAGAGCCCGUAAGGGUUCUAAGCAGUCUGCUUCUGAAUUUGAUGGGCAUUUCAGAAGUACCUCUCCACGCAAUAGACUUGACACAAACAAGACCAAUAAAGAAUCAGAUCUUCCUGGUCAUGAGGCUCAAACUAUUAAACCCCCUGUACCAAAUAGUCACGGUCAUGAGAAAGAAUUCUCUCGUAAGGAUGGUUUGACCUUGCCAAAACCAAGAUCUGUAAGAAGAAAGCACCAUAAAUCAGUGUCAAAUCGUGGCGAAGAGGGGAAGUCUGAAGAUGCCAGAGUGGUCAAGAAAAGUUCAAGUAGCCGGAGAAGGGAGCAUUCAAGGAAAGGCUUACAGAUUUUGUUCGAGGAUGAAAGCCAUCAGAAAGACGAUGAGGAAAGAAUGAUAGAUAAACUGUUGCUGCAUUACAGUAAAAAACCAUCAAAAUGUGAUGUGGAAACUCUGAGGAAAAAGCCACAAGCUCAUCUUUCAUAUCUGACAACUCCUGGUACUGGGGAAUCCUCAAAUAGUCAAACAACCAGAGAUCAACGUGAAAUGGGAUCAGAUAUGCUUCCUUUCCCCAAAAGAUCUAUUUCCCUCCCACAUGAGCAAACUGCUCCAUCAGAGGCAACAAAGGUAUUUGCUCGUGCCAAUUCAUUUCAGCCAGACAACCAGGCAUGUCAUGUGCAUCCAAAACUACCAGAUUAUGAUGAUUUGACUGCCCGAUUUGCUGCUUUAAGAGGCCGAUAAUUUUAAUAUAGGUUAACCUUGGGGAAUGGUAACCAUUUUUUUUUAUCCUGGUGUGUGUUACCUCUUCACAUUCAUUUACACAGGUUGAUCUUGUGCUUAACUGUUUACUGACAUAGGUUAACCUUGGGGAGUGGUAACCUUUUUUGGUUACUCUGGUGUGUGUUACUACCUCCUCACAUUCAUUUACACAGGUUGAUGUCCUUAGCUUGUUUACUGACUGGAACCUGUUAACUCGUAACCUGUAUUACUUGACAACCUGUACCCAAAAUAUUCAUCUUGAUGUUCUCAUAGGCACAUGUUUCCAAAUACUACAGGUAGGAGGCAUAGAGCUGCAUCAUAUAACAUGUUUCAUAACGUAAAUGAUGUCCAGGCACAAUUACAGCUUUAGCAGUUCCUUGCUCUAAAUCCCAUUUGUGUACUAGUUGAUUGUAAAACUGUAUACCAUUCAUGAUUCAUAUGUAACCUUGAUCUUUGAGGCUAUGAGAUUCUUUGAGUUACUGUUCCUACGUAUUCGUGCUGCUUUCGUGGAUAUUAAGAUAAAGUUGUAUUUUGCGUUAAAGAUUGAAAAUACUAUUGAAG